rnacentral:lncRNA from 1 species
CAAUAGAGGUCCAAUCUGAUUGCAAAUUUGUGGUGAGCCUAAUCAACUCAAGCAAUGUGCAGAUUGUAAGGUACAAACGAUCCUGGAAGACAUUGAAGACUUGAAGAAGAACUUUGAAAGCUGUUUGUUUUUGUUUGUUCCCAGAACUGCUAAUAGUUGUAGCCAUGCUAUGGCUCAAUUUGCAGUUAAGUCAGUUAGGAUGAUUGAAUGGGAGGGAGCAUUCCCAUUUUGGUUAUCAGAACUAGCUAGAAAGGAUAUGGGAGUAGUUACCCCUUUUUGUAAUUAACUCUUGUAAUAUCAAGUAUUAAUAUUUAUAAAAUUGGUAUCGUUUGGUUUUAGGCAAGUAAGCAUGAUCAGACUAAAACGAGAUUUUGUGUUUUGAGAUGAUGUGACCAGUUCUCUAUUGCUUUUGAAUUUUGUAAAGUUGCCUUUGUAAAAGAUCCAAAUUAAAAUCCAAAAAGCAGGUUUAUGCUAUCUUCUAAUUGAGUUAAGAGUUUGAUUUAUGUCAAAUGACUCCAUAUUAGAACACUUGAUUUUUACAAAAUAGUAGUACUAAAUGCUAAUGCCAAGGAAUUGUGAGUCGUUGGUGUGGAGGUUUGAAGGAUGAAACUGGAGAGCCGUCACUGCUGUGGAAGGACUCCCCUCUCCAUCCAUCCUGAACCUGAGCAGCAAAUUGCAAAUUCCAGAGGAUAUCCUCAACUGAAGGUCUAUCUGCAGGAUUCUGGAGCAAACAUUUGCAGCAAAUCUCGAUCAUAGUUUUCAGUGAUUCGUCUGAACAUGCAUCACUAACAGCCGGAUCGACCACUCUCUUUCUGGAUGCAUCAUCUGCUGUAAUGACUGCUUGUAGCUGCAUGACAGGAAAAAACAAAUUCUUUUCAUUCAUGGGUGUUGAGAACAACUUUGGUAGAACACUCAGUUCUGUACACCUAUAACUGAUGAAGUCAAUAAUUAUCAGUCAGGCUCACAGAUUCUGCUUUUCUAUAAAUGCCAACUUGUGGAUUCAAAAUAAAGAAAAUCUCCCCAAGAUAUCAGAAACCUAUUAGGAUGAUGCAUCUCUCUCUCUCUCUCUCUCUCUCUCUCUCUCAUGCGGCCGCACACGCACAAUAAGUGGAACAAAAAUGCUUAAAUUUGAUUAGGUGAAGGUCUCAUGUUUGUUUAUCAGUUAACAGAUAUUAGAGAUUACAUGGCAUGUCCUGGCCUAGGCACUCCUAUUAAGGUCCUUUUGAGAUGCCAUAUAUUGCUAAAUGCAAAUAUGAUUACCCUAAUUGAAGGUCUUACAACUUGCAGGGACUUCAUGACUAUAUUGUCUUCACUGUCAUUACAAAAUUGCAGUUUUGUUUUGUUCUUUUUUCCCUUAAGUGUGACAGGGAGGGGGGAAAUGCAACUGUUCCGGAAAGAUUUUGUUCAUUUCAACAAAAUAUAAGUUGAUUUUUUCAGAAUGCAAAUGACUUUGAAUAGAAGGUAAUUUUGGAUUAAUUUUAUGGACCAGACGUAUGGUGUUAAAAAGGAUGGACACACAUGAUCUUAAUCUUGCAUUUUUUUUCUUCUGGGCCAAUCAUUGUCAACCUUCAACAAAGGUUGAACUAGCCAACUAUUCCUGCCUAAUUGGUGUAUCAUAGGAAUUAUUGUCAAAAAAGGGAAGCAAUGUAUUUGUACCUGUCUAUAGCUUCUAUUCAAAGCAAAAUAGCAGCUUUGUAUUAUUCUCUUUUCCUAUGUAUGAUAUGAUUAUAUGAGUUAAUGUCUCAAGGGCAAAGCAAUAUACUUAAAGCCAGCAGCACCAGACAAGAGUGAGAGCACAAGUCUCAUUAACCUCAGGACCUAUGGAGCAUUUUUACCUGUCUACAGCUUCUAAAUUUCCUUUAAAUUUAGCAUUUCGCUAUUAGAUUUCAGCAGAAUUGGAUUCUGUAUCAUAUAACUCCAAAAAAAUUCAAAAGAAAAGAAAAGAAGAAGAACAUUCUGCAAAGUGGAGUUUGCUAAUUGAGAACAAACAAAACAUGGAAUCCAACACUACGCAAAUUGAGAACAAAGAAAAGAAAAUUUCGCAAUAUUGAUGCUGAGUAGUAUCUGUAACUAGUCCAAACCUGAGCGUUGGCUCCAAAGACAAGUUAGAUCUGAUAAAGUUACAUUUAUAUACCUGAUCUUUGAGAACCACCACUUCUCUCUCGGAAAUUAUUAGCCUUCCAGAGAUGAUCUCAGCAAUAUUAUCCCAAAGUCAUAGAUAUCGAACUUUUCUUGAUGCAUUACCCUGUGAACCAAGAGUGUAGUUUAAGCAUUUCUUAUCGAAAUUUUAAGAAGUGCACCACCUAUUUGGUAUCAGUUAUGUAAUUGAUGGUACAAGUCCAAGCACUUGUGACUUUAUACAAAAGGAGAGGACUUGUAACAACUGAUAGUUUGCAGAUUUUUCUCAAGUAUUUGACUUCCAAAAAUUAAAAAAAAAUGAAUAUUGAGUAAAUGCCAAUGAAAAUAUAUGUGGAAGACAAUACAAAAGAUGAAUGGUUAGUCAAAAACAGUUGAUGCAGCAGAAAAAGUUGCUGAGAAAGUUAAAUUCCCAGAUCAAUAGUUGUGCCCCUUGAGCACAAGGUUUUCAAGUAAAGGCUUAUAGUGUAAAGGUAUGAAUUUGGCUAUUGAUGAAUAGCAGUAACCAGAAAUCUUGCAAGUAAAGGAAGUCCUGUGUUGUUAACUAUUCGUCUCGUUAAGCAGAGACCAGAAUGCUGAAAGUUGGACAAGAACAAACCUUAGGUUCUUCAACUGUGUAGAUGUAUUCGAACUAUGAACAUCAUCCUGUAAAAUUAAGUAGCUUUCAACAUCUAUCUUGUGCAAGAAUAACAUCUUACAAUCCUAGAAUUUAAAAUUCUUCAUUCAAGUUUAUACCUUUCCCAUAUGCUCUGCUAGCAAAGGCAGGUUAUAGCUACUAACUUUUGCAACAAGGUUCUGAUCCAAUAGAAUAUCUGUUAUUUUCAAAUAAUUUGGAAAGAUACCAGGCACUAUUCCUGUAUGCAGGAAUUGUAUACCCUUUGCUACCCCAAUUGCAGCUGCAAUACGUUGUGUCCAAUUAAGUUUCGAUCCGGCACGUCUAUCUGUCAUAUAACAAUGAGAUCCACUUAAAAUUGUAAAAGAACAGAAAAUCAAAACAGUUUGCAAGUUGAAUAGCAUAGAUAAUCAACUAAUUCGUAAUUUGAUCAGACAGCGUGCUUUUCUUAAAAGAGUUUUAAAAGUUAGCUGAUGGUGAAUCCUCUAGGUGGAUGACUCACUGAAAUCAGAAAAUUAUACAUGCUACUAAUGCAAGUGAUAUUCUUUUAAAGAGAUGUCGGCUUAUAAGAUGUUAUCUACUGCAUCCAGCCAAAUCUUUUUUCAUGAAAGAACAUGAUUUGAAUAUGCAUACUGAUAUCAUAAAACAUUUGGAAUACUGAUAUCCAGCUCCUCAAUGUCCCAUUUGGAAUAUUCAAAAGACAAGGAAUAUUCUGCUCACACUUGAAUCAUCCAAGUAACACUCGAAGCAGUGGCCAAGAGCACUGACCAAUGCUGAUGUCUUAGUUUCGAUAUUAAUUCAAUGUGAUGCAAGAAAUCUUGAGUGCUGUGCCUUUCUUUUCAUUUUCAGGCAUCUAAUAGCAACGUAGGUACCAUCUUCAUCUGGCCUCUGUACAUCUGAGUCAAUGGCAAAGAAAAUUUCAGCUAUAGUCAUUUAAGUAGUCUAUGGCUUCAUAUUUUGGGAAGAACUAUCCAAAAACACAAUUGGCGGCAUGUGUCACAGCAACAGUUUCUGUAAUUUUGAAUUAGUCUAUAUGACUCAUUUCCACAUGUGAAGAACAGGUUACAGCCAUACUGCAUAGUCAUUUAAGUAGUCUAUGGCUUCAUAUUUUGGGAAGAACUUCCCAAAAACACAAUAGGCGGCAGGUGUCACAGCAAACAGUUUCUGUAAUUUUGAAUUAGUCUAUAUGACUAAUUUCCACAUGUGAAGAACAGGUUACAGCCAUACUGCAUAGUCAUUUAAGUAGUCUAUGGCUUCAUAUUUUGGGAAGAACUAUCCCAAAAACACAAUAGGCAGCAGGUGUCACAGCAAACAGUUUCUGUAAUUUUGAAUUAGUCUAUAUGACUAAUUUCCACAUGUGAAGAACAGGUGACGGCCAUACUGCAUAGUCAAUUUAUGCCAGAAGUAAAGUUGGUGUAUGCAUAUAACUUUCAGAUUCAGGUUUCAUUAACCACGCAUUAAUAUAUAUACCAAUUGUACCUUUUAUUUUUACCAGUUCUUAGAAUAUAAAACAUGAAGAUUAAAUAUCUAAUUCUUUACGAUUAUAUCCAAAAAACCAUUCUCUCCAACUUCACAACCUGCAGAAAGUUGAUUACCGAUUAGAUAAAAUAUCUGUUACAAAUUAACCUGAAAUGAUUGGUGAGAUGUGGGUCUUUUUACUGAGCUAUGUUCUGGAAGAAAUCAGUGUGAGAUCAGAAUGUAGCUCAGAGGAUAGAACUUGUGGUUACGGAUGACAAUGGCAAGGAUUCGCCCCUAACUCGCAUAGAAGGGAAGUAGAUUUUGCUUCAGGAGAAGAGUUGUCUAUACAGCAGACACAAAGCAAUGGAACAAAGAGUAUUGAUCAAGCAUUUUUGGCAGAAUCAUUUUUGGCAGAUAGGGUUUAUAUAAGUGAACUUAAACUUUUCUACACAAUUGGUUUCAUCAUCACAUAGUAUGGAGGGUAAGAUAAAAAUGGCGACUGUAAAGACAAACAAUGAGUUGAAUACUAGUAAGAAAUAUCAAUUGGAGGGAAUUACUCAACGUCUCAUACUCAAAUAAUUUCAGUUUCAUAUUUCUUCAACUGUCUUCUCAUAAACGGUUCGGGAGAACCCUAAGAUGAAGUGAAGACACUGAAAGCCAACAUAUUGAUGCUAGUACAACAAUUCAAUUUGCAUUGGAAAUUGUUAUGAAUAACACAUUUACCUGACCACAAGAGCCUUCCCCUAUGAAGGAUGAUGUGUCAAAGUUGUUUGUUGCCUCCUCAAGCUCUUCCAGUGAAAAGGUCCUGUAGGCUGGAAGACCUAUUGCUCCAAGCUUCAUUGCUUGUGUAAUAUAUCCUGGAGAACUUGCUGAUUAGUUGUUAAGACUCUCAUUAAUGCUUCAUAGCUGCUUUAGGAUCAAAGAUAUCCAGAUGACUAGAUAUAUUUCUAUUCUAGACUGAAUAUUCAUGGAUCCAAGAAAUAUUGUUAAAACAAGAGAACUGCAAUCAAUUAGUACGAUUGUUACAUUCUCCUUCUUCAGUUGAAUCACUCCAUCUCUUUCUGAGACCAGAUGGUUAUUCAGUUUAAUCAACCUGUAAGGUGGGUGCAGACUAUCGGAUGAGGGAGAGAGAGGCAAAUUUAAAGCCAAAUUUGUGACGUUGUCGUUGUGCUUUCACCUUUUUGGGCUUUAGGGUCAAAGAUAAAGAAUUUUGUUUCCUUAAACUCAGCUCUUGCCACUGCAGAAGCUUAAAAUUGAGUGUGCUGUUACAACAGUUUCAAUGUACAAUGAAGAAUUUACAAAAACUUGUGCUUUUCUAUGCAAGAUUGAUCACACAUUACAUAACCAGUAAACCAGUCCUGGAUUUGGUCCAUUGAGAUAACCUGUCAGGUAUGGUGAAUGCCAAUGAAAGGAAAAUUCAAGAAUGUGCAAAACUUGUACUUUGUAAGCACAGUCCAUUGAGCACAAUAUUUUGUGAAUUUAAAAAGAGCAAAUUCCAUUAUUAUAAGUAAAAAUCACAUUUCACACCAGCAAAUAAACUUCCCAUUAGCAGAUGAAAAGAUUGACGACUUACUUGCAUCUGAAAGUAUUUUUGAGGUGUACCCUGUUGAGGCAUUUUCUUCAAUUAUUCUAACAGGAAGCUUUUGUGCUUCAUUCUUUGCAAGAAAUUUUCUUACAAGAACAAAAGCUAGAGCGAGUAGUAGAACUGCACCUAUAGUACUUCCAGAUAUGCUCAAGGCCAGGAUUAUUUUUGAAGCUUCCUUUUGCCUUCUAUGAUGAGGCAGGAUUCCCACAGCCAAAGCUUGAUUCUGACAAUAUGAGUUCGGUUGUUGAGUUACAUCCUUCGUUGCCAACAAUUUGCAGCAUAUUGAAAAAUCCUGUUUCUUGAAUUGGACAGUAGACAGCUAGGCACCAUCCCAGUCAACAGAUUAGCAGACAAAUUCACAAACUUAAGUUCAGUAUUGCAAGACACAUCUUCGAAAAGCAUUCCAGUAAAUCUAUUAGCUGAAAUAUCCAGGUAUGUAAUUGAUGGCAUGGACAGAAGAUAUGAUGGAAAUGGCCCCACAAAUUUGUUGGAUGACACAUCUAGGUGAUCAAGCUGAUAGAAGGAUUUCACUUCAUCUGGAAUGCCAUAGGUAAAUUUAUUUUUCCUCAGUACAAGGCUUACAAUUUUUUUAUUAACUGGAGGAAAUUGAGGUCCAAGAGAAUUGUUUUCCAAGUCUAGAACCUGAAGGUUUUCCAAGUUUCUAAGAUCAGGCACUUCUCCAGAGAAAUUGUUAUUGGAUAAGGCAAGGAUUCUUAGAUUUUCCAAACUUCCUAGGGAAUCGGGCAGAGAUCCACUACAAGAAUUAUUUCUCAUACUCAAAACUGUCAAAACUGAUAGUGAUCCCAGCUCAUCAGGAAAUCUACCAUUAAACAUAUUGCCAUCAAAUAUGAGAGCUUGGAGACCUGUUAAUGACAAUAUUCCUCGAGGUAUGGUACCGUAAAAGAAAUUCGAACUUAUGUCCAAUAUUUCCAGAGAUGACAAGCGGGAAAGUUUAUCUGGUAAUGCCCCCCAUAAACCCAAAGAAACCAACCUGAGGACCUUCAAAUUGGGAAGUUUAACCAGUGUAGUAACAAAUGAAUCAAUAGAGAAGUUCUUAGAAAGCUUAUUAGUCUCUUUCUCCCCAAUUAUAUGCAGCUGAGUUAUACUUUCCUCAUAGCAGACUACUGUAAGAGUGGACCUUGGUUCUGGAUUGCAGAAAUCUGUAUCAUUCUUCCAGCCACUCAAAGACUCAGGAAAAUUCAAAAACUGUUGAAUCCUUAAAAGAGUUUGUGCCUGGGAUGACUGCAAUUUUUCUGAAUGGCCAACUAAGACUGACAAUGCAAAAAACAGAACCAGCGCUGCAUGGCCUACCUCUUUUCCCAUCCUGCAGAACAACAGAACAAGAGAUCCCACAAACAGAGCUGACUAAUUCAAAGCUUAAGUAUUCACUUGUUUCCACACAUGAAUCACUAAAAUCUUCAAAACUCAACUUUUGCAACAGCGGAACAGUUGAAAGCACAAAAGGGACAAUAGGAAAAGGAGCAAGUUAUUGUUUCAUCAUGGAUACCUGAAGGUAGAAAAAAUUAUUCACCUUCACUUGCUACUCUUUGGUUCUCAAAUGAUUUUGUUGAUAUCUACUUAACUACAACAAUUACAUAUGCUGAACGGGACUAAUCUAUCUUGUCUGCAUUAUAAACAAAAGAAACAACUGAAAUGAAAAUUUGAAGCUGAUAGAAGGCUAACCUCUAUACUGAGAAACAGAAGCCAAAUGUUAAUCUCCAAUUUUCCUUGGUGAAGUAAGUUUAACCUUCAUUUCCUUCAAAUGAAGAAAUAAACUACAGUUCCAACAUCCCAACUUCCUAAGUAGCUUAGAAACAAAGGCUGACCAUAAUCAUAUCAACCUACCACAUCUUCCACACAAUAGUCAAAAAAUUCAUCAGCACUCUCUCAUUCUCAUCUUUCUAUCUUCCUUUCACUCUCAAGCAAUAAAUGUCGUGUCUAUGGAGACAAAACCCCUGAAUCUUACUAGUAAACUCAGAGAGCCUUCUCUGAACAAGAGUUGUGAGACAUAACAAUUCAUCUAUUGCUAGCACAGAUGAAGACAUGAAACUCUGUGCCACACUUGUGAGCUAUACUACUUUUAAGUGCCAUAAUUACUUCAUAAGCCGACAAUAUUUUCAUAUGGGGUGUGGACACAAUGUUGCUAAAUUAUACUAUUGCUUUUAAGCUCUAAAGGGUCUCUUCCAGUUGGACUGAUUCGACUGAUGAGCCUCCCAAUAGAAAAGCAAAAAAACAAAAGGAAAGAUGCUUACUGAAGAGAACCCUUUAUUCUCUUGACCUCUAUUGUACAUCAUCUAGUCUUGCAUGUUUCUUUAACUAUUGACAUCAGUGGACGUACAGGACUAGAUUUUGCUAAUGUGGAUUUCUCCUUUUCAGACUUGUUCUAGAUUUGUCAAGGAACGUGGUGGAAUUUUAUAAGGUGGAUGAGUGUUGUCACUCUGGUUGGCAACUCAGUGGUUGAAUGUCCAUUCUAAGUACUCAAUAUAAUGAGUACUAUAGAUGGAAGAUGGAAGAAAAUUAAAAAGAAAGGGGAUUUUAGUGCAACCUUAAGAGGUAAAGCUAGUGGACUAUGGAUUAGGGCCAUACAAGUUGCAAUUUUCAUGUUAUUUAUGAAAUUGAAUUUACAUUUAUACAUUUAAGAUUUACAAAUUUUUGAGUAUGUACCCAAUAGAAAAAGAUUAGCUAAGUAUUAUCUCAUGACAAAAAUUAUACCUCAGAUUAUGUAAUAGCACUUGUUAUAUUUGACAACAAUAAUGUUCGCAUUGGGUGAGAUGUUGACCUUCUUGGAUACAAAAUUAGGGAGUGGGGUUCUUUAUAAUUGUUAGUACCACAUAAUUGAUGGCUACAUAGGCUUAAUUUGAAUUUGUACUAUUUUAAAUAUCAAAAUUUUUUAUUAGUGAUACAUUCAUUGCAUUUUUACACCAAGGCCUUGUUUCAAAAGCCAUCUUUCCUCAAAAAAUUUCGACCUUUUUUUAAAUAGAUUUUUCAAUCAUCUUUUUAUCUCACACAUAUAAAAUCACUGUAGUACAUUUUCUAUAAAAAAAAAAAAAAAAAUUGCAAUCCAAACAGGUCUAUAUUUGAUGGAUUUAGUGCAUGAUUGCAUAUAUUUUAUGGUGCAAUUAAUACUGAUAAUCUAAGUUCAAGAUCCAGAAAACUAGAAUUAGCAGAAUUUUUCUCUUUUUUUGCCUUUUUUUAAUUGGCAAAAAGGAAGAAAGCAAUACCUUAAUGGGAUUUGUCAUGCAGCGUAAGCUUUCACUUUCUGAGGUUGGCCAGCUUUGGCUUUUUUAGCGGUGGCCCCUUCAUUUUGGCACCGUUUGUUUGGCACUCUUUCUUCCUCCGUCGCUAAGCAUUUGCUUUGAAUUCAGUGCCAAGUGAUUAUUGGUUUUCAGUUAUUGACUGAUUAUUGACUGAUGGAAUUGAAUCACCACAUCUGUCCCUUUUCAGAGUUGUUUGAAUUUGUCCAAACUUUGCUAGCUUUUCAACUUGAAAUAGUACUAUGUACCAUGUAUCCUACGUCAAUCCUUUUUUUUUUUUUUAAUCCGCAUCUUUUACGUUAACCUUACUUCUAUUCUUACCAUAUAUUACAUCAACCAUCCUUUUUUUUUUAAUCAACGACUUCUACAUUAAUCUUACUUCUAUUUCUAGCUUAAUCUAUUUAACGGCAAUCACCAACUUCUACACACUAAUUCUAUUUUUACUUUUACUUUAACUUAUUUAAUGAAAAGUCGUUGAAUCAAGAGAAUUAGGAGGAUUUAUUUUCACAUGUAAUCUAGGGACGCAUAUUACACAUUCUUUCAAUUUUAGUAGAAGUCAUGUAUUAGUGACAAUUGAUCCGAUACAAGAUUUGAACAUUUAAAAGAAUCUUUUAAGAAUUCAAUUUGAUGGUAUGCAAUAGAGGCCUACUUCCAUAACUUAUGGUAGAAAAGCAUCCAGAAGGGUGCAAAAAAAGAAUAUGAUGCUAGAGAUGCUGAUUUUGAAAUCACUCUUUAACUACAAAAAAUUUUCAAAUCUAUCAUUAUUUUGUUUCUUUAUUUUUAUAUUAGAUAGUUUUAUUGUCUGAAUUUCAGACACUUUUACGAGUAUUUAACAUUUCAAAAGAUACGAAUAGCGAUUGAGGAGUCUGAUAUAGUCUUGAUACUAUUAGAAUCCAAAGAAUAUAUGGGAAAAUGAUGCUAAAUCCCAUGUUUUAAUUUUGGUUUAAAGAGACUACGAAUCCCAUGUUGAAGCUGCCCGCUCGUGAUUGACUGAGAUUGGUUCGGCUUUUAUAAGGAAUGGGCCAAAUGGGUCUACCCACCCAGGAUAGUUUCUUUUUCUCCACAUAGGCUACUAAAUAUUUGUACAUUUUCUUUUUAGUAUCAAAUUUAUUAUCAACUUUUUGAUUUCCUCCUAGGAUCUAAACGAGACUAAUCAAAUCAAACACCCUAAUAUAAUUUUAUUUGAUUUUUAACAAAAUUAAAAUUUUAUUCAAAAUUGGCUUAUUUAUUUGUCAAAUUGAGUUUGAACGAACUUUUAUCAAGUUUGAAUGUUAUCAAACGCAAAACACUGUUCAAAUUUGGUUUGAUUAGUUGACGAGUUUGAAUGCCAUCGAAUAUAAAAUGCUGUCUAAAUUUGGUUUAACUAGUUGCCGUAUCAAACUUGAAUGAGUUUUUACAAAAUCUCAAAUACCGAGUACUUUGAUUCGUUUUUUAAACCCCUAUUUCCUUCUCUUUUUAUCCUCCUUCAUGCACGGCUUAUACCUUAUAAUCCUUAUAUUCAUCUAGGCGUGGCAAUCUAGUCCAAAUCGGGUUGCGGGUCGGAUUGAUUCAAACCUAUCUAAAAAGAGCAAAGGGGGAAGAGUAUACAAGACCAAUUUUAUUUCAUAUGGAGUUCAAAGUACCAUGGAUAUUUUGUUGGAGUUUCAAGAUUCAUCAAGAAUUGGAAAAGCCUCUUCCAAUGUCAUUGGUUAGAGAAUUCAAAAUAAAAUGGUGGACCGGAUUCAAUCAAGAAUUUGGAGAUCAAACAAAUGUGAUAAGAUUUCUGACUACCGGAGACAAACUAAAAUGGACUGCAACUACUACCACUACUCAAAAAGAGACAAGACAGCAGACAAGUAUUCCAACCACUACAACCACUCCACCAACUCCAAAGAAAGAAAAAGAAAAGAUGACGGAAAUGGCAUCCGAAGAAAUAGCCAGUAACUUUUUGAUAAAGCAAAUGAUGCAGAAUCCCGAGAUGCUUAAAGAGUAUCUGAAUUAUUUACAAAAGCCAGUCAAAAAGGAAGAAACAGACAAAAUAGAGGAGUCAGCAGGAUCAUCCGAAUCAACUUUUGAUCCUUUUGAUGACCCCAUCGGUGGACAAAAUCCAAAUGACUUUUGAAAAAGAUGUCGGCCACAACAAAUGAAAGCAAAAUGAAAUUCAAAUGCCGAUGAAAUGAGAAGACCCGAGCUUCUAUAAAUAGAUUCAAGAUUCAGAAUGAAAGACAUCGGGCAAAAAUCAUACAAGCAGUUUUAGAAUUCCUUUGUAAAAUCCUCUCAAUCACUCUUACCUACUCCCAACUACUCUCAAUCCCUCUUUUCAAACUCUUGUACACAAUUGUCAAAUAUAAAGUCAAGGUUGAAGACUUAUAUUCUACAAAGCUUCCGUUAGCAACUCAAAGUUAUUCGUAAGUCCUAAUCUUUAUGCUUAUUGCAAUCCAAGUUCAUACUGACUUAAUGUUUGUUUUAUAUACCCUGGGUUAGAAGUGGUAUCAGAGCCACACCCUUGUUUAAUUUGCAUACGCAUAUUUAAACUUUGAUUUACUUUUACUUUAUUUGAAUUACGCUUCUAUUUUGACUUGGCUAUUUCAUGCAUUUAUGUUUGCAUAUUUUAUUAAACUUUUACUGAAAACGUUGGUAAGACUUGAUGCCUUGUUAGACCGUUGGUAAGUCCAGGAUAGGAUGUUCCAGGCAUAGUGCUCGGUUGUUCCCGUCUAAGUAAAAAUUUAAUUAAAUAUUAAACAUGGCUGCAUUUCUUAGACAAUUAAAAAUAGAAUCUAAUUCAAGGAAAGAUAAUGUAGUACAAAGUCAUGAAUAUCAUAUGCCUAUAAACAAUUCAGAUUGGACAAUCCCAGAGGAAAAAAUUGAACACAUUUAUAGAAUUGGCCCUUUAGAUUUCAAAACUGCUUUAUCAGUUAAAACUCAUGAAGAAACAAUAUCUAUUCAAGAAGAAUAUCAAACCAUACAAUUAUUAAAUCAUAAUACAAUUCAAAAAUAUUUAAGUAAAGAAUAUCGAUACAUUCAUAUAGGUUUAAUACAAAUUGCUGUAAAACCUUUAUUCCAUCUAGGAGUAGAUGCUCCUAUAUAUCUAGCCUUAAGAGAUACUAGACUCAAAAGAUAUAAAACUUCUUUACUAUCUAUGAUUCAAACAAAUGUAUGUAAUGGACCAAUAUAUUUUAACUGUACUCCAAAUUUUUCAAUAGAUCUAACAGACCCUCAUAUUCUAAAUUCUUUAAUAUUAGACAUUCAUCUACAAGGAAAUGAAUUCGAAAAACAUACAAAGAAUUUUGCAAUAAUAUAUAGAAUAUAUUACAGACCUUUAUCAUCUCAUUUAAAUCCAAAAUUUAUUAUGACUCCAACUCUUAAAGAUGAAACAACUUUAUUACAAGUAGAUGCAGAUAAACCUACAACAUAUACACCAAAAAGAUUAAAAUGGAACGAAAUAACUAUACCAAGUGAAUUUGAAAUUAAAAAUCCACAAAAAGCUAGAAACAUAGAACAAACUACUGCAGAAGAUAUUAUAGAAAAAGCAGAUGGAAGUACACUCAUAAGAUUCACCUCAUUAAGAGAAAGACCAGAAUCCUCUUAUUCAUGGUUACCAGCUAGACGUUCAAAUUAUGAGUCAACUGAAGUUAAUUUUCCUAUGGAAAGUACCUCAAAUUUUAGAUAUAAAACACCAAUACCAGAAGUUAUAAAUAAAAAUCAAUCAGAAUAUUCCCCAACUCAUUCACAAAUGCAAGGAGAAAUAAAUGUAAUAGAUAGACCAUAUAAAAUAAAUCAUAAAUAUUUACAAGAAGAUUUUGAUGAUGAAGAAAAUACAGAAAAAAGAAUUUGGUUUUUUCAAUUAGACUCCCAAUAUAAAGAAAAGUUAAUUAUAGAAUGGAAAAAUGAAAUAGAUAAACAAAAGUUUGAUUUUCCUUUCUUUACAUGGUUAUCAUUUUAUAUGUCAAAAUUAGGAAUAAAUGAUAUAUAUAAUACACCUCAAAUAAAUGUUCAAACCAAUUUAUAUAAAAAAUGGAAAUUAAAAGAUGAACAAGUUAUAACUUCAAUACACCCUCCAUUACAAGAAGUAAAAAUUAAUAUGGGACAAGGAGAAAUUAUAGCCUCACCUUUUAAAAAGGGAAGAGAAACAGAAUCAAGUACAAAUAAUUCAAUAAAUAUAGAAGAUCUUAAAAAAGUUUAUCAACAAAAUAAUUAUACAAAUCAAAUUUUACAUACAAUAUCUCAACAUAUGGAAGUAUUAAAUACAAAAAUUGAUACACUAAAGAAAUCAGAUUUAAAAUUCCCUAAUGAUAUAUCAGCACCUCAUUUCCAACCUAGAAGUCUGACAAGAGAAAAAGAACAAGAUUUAGUACAAAGUAUUAAUAAUCAAAAAAUAAGUAAUACAGACAAUUUAUUAAAUAAAAUAUCUAAUGCAUUACAAAAUCUAACUACAGAAUCUAAACCAUCAACACCAAAAAUAAACACAUUAGACCAAAUAAUAGAAGAAAAUUCUACUGAAAAAUUAGAAGAUUUAUCAGAAAAAUCAAUAAAAUCAGAAGAAGAAACAGAUAUGAUUUUACCCGUAGAAAACCAAUUUGAAGAAACAGAAGGAAAUCAAAUAAAUAGAAUAAAAAGAAAAAAUUAUAAUAACAAAAAUAAUUGGAAAAUGGUAAGUUCAAAAAAUUAUUAUCCUAGACCAAAUCCUCCGGAUAUUCAAUACGAAGAAAGAUCAAGAUUCAAAACUACUAAAUAUGAUGGAGAUUCAAUAUAUGAAUGGAAUAUAGAUGGCAAAACUGAAUAUGAAGUAUUAAAUAAUUUGCAAGAAAUGGGAAUGGCAAGACUAGCUUACAAAAUUAAAAACAUUCAAGAAAGAAAUAUUGCAACAUUAUUAGUCUCAGGAUUUACUGGACAAUUAAAAAAUUGGUGGGAUAAUGCUUUAACAUUACAAGAUAAAUUAUCAAUACUAGAUCAUACUCAAGAAAUAGAAGAUGAUCAAGGAAAUAUUCAAAUACAAUCAGAUGCUGCAGAAUUUCUAAUAGUAACAAUAGUAAUGUAUUUUAUAGGAAAUCCAAAAGAAGAAUUAAAUUCUAAUAAAACAUUUUUAACAAAUUUAAGAUGUCCAACUUUAUCAGAUUUUAGAUGGUAUAAAGAUAUGUUUUUAACAAAUGUCUUAAGAAGACCUGAUUGCAAUGCUUCAUUCUGGAAAGAAAGAUUCAUAACAGGAUUACCAAGUUUAUUUUCACAAAGAAUAAUGGAUAAUUUACAAAAGGAAAUGGGAACAGAUGUAAUUUCAUUUGAAAACAUUACUUUUGGACAAUUAUUUGCUUUUGUGAAAAAAGAAGGAUUAAUAUUAUGUUCAGAAUUACGAUUACAAAUAAAAUAUGGAUCUAAAACAAAAGAAGUAGGAUCAUUUUGUGAUGCCUUUGGAAUUAAAAGAAUUAAAUCACCAUCAGCUUAUAAAAAGAAAAUAAAAAAAUAUUCUAAGAAAACAAGAUAUAAAAACCUCAAAGAAAAUGAACCAACUAAAAAGAAAAGAUUUAUUAAAAAGAAAAUUAUUUGUUACAAAUGUGGAAAAAUAGGACAUAAAGCAAAUAAAUGUAGAUUAAAAGAAAAAAUUUCAGAAAUCUGUGUAGAUAAUGAAGAAGUUAAAAAUAAAUUAAUAAAUCUAUUAAUAAAUGAAAAAGAUAAAAGUUCAGAAGAAGAUUAUUAUGAUGAUAUUUCCAGUUCCGAAAGUGAAGAAGAUUGUAAUUGUAAUCCAAAAUAUAUAAAUGUUAUAACUAAAAAAGAAGACAAAGAAUUUUUAUUAGAUAUAAUAGAAAAGAUUGAUGAUCCAAUAGCUAAAAAAGAAUAUUUGGAAAGAUUAAAAAGUUUAAUUAUCCAAGAAGAUAAAUAUCCAAAUAUAAAUAUAAUGAAAAAGGAAACUACUAAAGAUCUUCAAUCCGAAAUUAAUACUCUUAAAAUUCAAGUAAAACAAUUACAACAAGAGAUAAUAGAAUUAAAAUUAAAAGAUUUAGAGAUAGAAUCAAAAAUAACAUUAAUAGAUAAUAAUCAACCUUCAACCUCUAAUAUUAAAACAAACGAAAUAUCAAUAGCCGAAAACCCAAUAAAAGAAGACCAAUAUAUAAAUACUAUAGAAAAAAUGACUUUUCAAAAAUGGUUUGCCCUAGUAACUAUCACAGUAGAAGAUUUCAAAGAAACCUUUGUAACUCUUAUAGACAGUGGAGCUGAUACAAGUUGUAUUAAAGAAGGAAUAAUUCCCACUAAAUAUUGUGAAAAAACAAAAGAAAAAUUAAUGGCAGCAAAUGGAGAAGAUUUAGAAGUAAAAUAUAAAUUUACAAAAGGAUCAAUAUGCAAUAAUGAAUAUUGUAUUAGACAUAAUUUCAUAAUUGUAAACAAUAUAAAUCAUGAUGUUAUAUUAGGUACACCCUUUUUAAUUCAAAUAUAUCCAUUUAUAGUAAGUCAUGAAGGAAUUUCAAUAAAUAUAAUGGGAAAAAUUAUUACCUUCAAAUUCUUAACUCCAAUAAGACAGAAAGAACUACAAACAUUACAAACAUCCUCAAUAUAUAAAACAAUAAAUACCAUUACUAAAGUACAACAACAAAUAAGUUAUAUUAAAGAGGAAAAAUCUUAUUUAAAAAUUGAAGAACAAUUAAAUGAUAUUAAAAUACAAAAAAGAAUAUCAGAACUAGAAGAAUUAUUUCAAAAAGAAAUUUGUGCAGAUAUUCCUAAUGCUUUUUGGAAUAGAAAACAACAUAUGAUAGAAUUACCCUAUGAAAAAAACUUUGAAGAAAAAAAUAUUCCAACAAAAGCUAGACCAAUACAAAUGAAUUCUGAGUUACUAGAAUAUUGUAAGAAGGAAAUAAAAAUAUUAAUAGAUAAAGGAUUAAUAACACCUUCAAAAUCACCUUGGAGUUGUGCUGCAUUUUAUGUUAUGAAUCAAGAUGAAAAAGAAAGAGGAGUUCCAAGAUUAGUAAUAAAUUAUAAACCUUUAAAUAAAGUAUUACAAUGGAUUAGAUAUCCUAUUUCUAAUAAAAAAGAUUUGCUUAAUAGAUUAUUUAAUGCAAAAAUAUUCUCAAAGUUUGAUAUGAAAUCAGGAUAUUGGCAAAUAAUAAUAGACCCAAAAGAUAGAUACAAAACAGCAUUUACAACACCUUUUGGACAUUAUGAAUGGAAAGUUAUGCCAUUUGGAUUAAAAAAUGCACCAUCAGAAUUUCAAAAUAUAAUGAAUGAUAUUUUCAAUCCUUAUAGCUCAUUCAGUAUAGUUUAUAUAGAUGAUGUAUUAAUAUUUUCAGAAUCAUUAGAACAACAUUUUAAACAUUUAAACAUAUUUUUAAAAAUAAUUAAGAAAAAUGGAUUAGUUGUUUCUGCUCCAAAAAUGAAAUUAUUUCAAACAAAAAUAAGAUUUUUAGGACAUAAUAUAUAUCAAGGAACAAUAAAACCGAUUAAUAGAGCUUUAGAAUUUGCUACUAAAUUUCCAAAUGAAAUAAAAGAUAAAAACCAAUUACAAAGAUUUUUAGGAUGUCUAAAUUAUAUAGCAGAUUUCUUUCCUAAAUUAAGACAAGAGUGUUCUAUAUUAUUUAAUAGAUUAAAGAAAAAUCCAAAACCUUGGACAGAGGAACAUACUCAAAAAUAAAAUAUUUAAAAGAAAAAAUUGAAUCAUUACCAUGUCUAUGUUUACCUCAUCCAAAAGCAUUCAUGAUAGUUGAAACAGACGCAUCAGAAUUAGGAUACGGAGGUAUAUUAAAACAAAAGGUAGAUAAUUCAAAAGAAGAAUUAGUUAGAUUUCAUUCAGGAACCUGGUCUGAUCCUCAAAAGAAUUAUUCAACCAUUAAAAAAGAAAUUUUAUCCAUAGUUUUAUGCAUAUCAAAAUUCCAAUAUGAUUUAUAUAAUAAGAAAUUUUUGAUUAGAAUAGAUUGUAAAUCUGCAAAAGAAAUUUUACAAAAAGAUGUUCAAAAUAUAGUUUCAAAACAAAUAUUUGCUAGAUGGCAAGCUAUUUUAUCUGUAUUUGAUUUCGAGAUUGAAUUUAUCAAAGGAGAAAAUAAUUCUUUACCAGAUUUUCUAACCAGAGAAUUCCUACAAGGACAUGGAUCCAGCAAUGAUGGCGCAAAGAAAUGCUCGUGAAUAUACAAAUUAUUUGAGAACUCAACGAGAUUCUCCCAGCCUUCAAAAUAAAGAAAAAUCGAUUCAAUCCAGAGGAUAUGUCUAUUCCAUUCAAACUCCGAAUGGAAGACAAUUCAUUCCAGCCUACCAAAUUCCUAAAUAUGAUGAAAUUUAUGUUCACAAAAGUCCUUAUGCAACCAUUACUCCAAAAGAAAAAGCCUUUCUCAUACAAAGACAAAUUCAGAAAAACACCAUUCGACUUCAUGUUCAUCAAAGAGCAAGCAGAAGUGGAGAUUUUCUUCACAACGAAUUUAUUCAACAUUACCAAGAACAGAAUAGACAAUUAUCUCAAAGAUGUUGUUUAUUAAUUUUGCAGGAGCAUGGAUUCAAAAGCAGGAAGUUCCAGGCCAAAGACUCCUCAAGAUUAUGAGAUGAGUCUAACCCCUGUUACUCAAAAUAGAUUUCAACUUUUAUCAGAUUUUCCAGCAUUGACUUAUAGUCAAGCUGCUACUCCAAUUGCUUCUCAAAUUAGACCCAUUCAACAACUACCAAAACCCCCAGAAAAAUCCUCAGCAAAUGCUUAUUUCACCAAACCAUUCACUCAACAUAUUACUCUAACCAGAUUUCAAGAAAUACCCAUAUACUCUACUCUUAAUCAAGUUACUCAAAGGAUCUUUCCUCCAAAAUGUUAUUGGCAACCAGAUGAUCCUUCAAAAAAUUUAGAUUAUUAUGAAUUAAUCCUUACAGAUACUCAAUCUGUAGAGAUUUACCCUAUUCCAGACAAAAAGAAUCCAAAUAUUAUUAGUCAUUCCAAAUGUAUUAUAAAGAAAGUUUGUUCUCCUAAUGAAUGGACUUCUCUUUAUUCCAAAAAAUCCUUUUCAGUAAACUUUAUUCCAGAUGGAUUUACAUAUCAAGAUUACAAAAUGGCAUGGUAUCGUGCUUUCCUUUUUAGACCAUUCAACCAUUCCUGGUUCUUCACAUUCAAAGAAAGUUGCAGUAAAGAAAUUCCAAUUUGGUUCAAUCACUGGUGGAAAUGGUUUGGACCACAGCCAGAGAUUUUACCUCCAAAUGUUCUCAUGGGAUUUCAAACCUAUCUAAAAAGAGCAAAGGGGGAAGAGUAUACAAGACCAAUUUUAUUUCAUAUGGAGUUCAAAGUACCAUGGAUAUUUUGUUGGAGUUUCAAGAUUCAUCAAGAAUUGGAAAAGCCUCUUCCAAUGUCAUUGGUUAGAGAAUUCAAAAUAAAAUGGUGGACCGGAUUCAAUCAAGAAUUUGGAGAUCAAACAAAUGUGAUAAGAUUUCUGACUACCGGAGACAAACUAAAAUGGACUGCAACUACUACCACUACUCAAAAAGAGACAAGACAGCAGACAAGUAUUCCAACCACUACAACCACUCCACCAACUCCAAAGAAAGAAAAAGAAAAGAUGACGGAAAUGGCAUCCGAAGAAAUAGCCAGUAACUUUUUGAUAAAGCAAAUGAUGCAGAAUCCCGAGAUGUUUAAAGAGUAUCUGAAUUAUUUACAAAAGCCAGUCAAAAAGGAAGAAACAGACAAAAUAGAGGAGUCAGCAGGAUCAUCCGAAUCAACUUUUGAUCCUUUUGAUGACCCCAUCGGUGGACAAAAUCCAAAUGACUUUUGAAAAAGAUGUCGGCCACAACAAAUGAAAGCAAAAUGAAAUUCAAAUGCCGAUGAAAUGAGAAGACCCGAGCUUCUAUAAAUAGAUUCAAGAUUCAGAAUGAAAGACAUCGGGCAAAAAUCAUACAAGCAGUUUUAGAAUUCCUUUGUAAAAUCCUCUCAAUCACUCUUACCUACUCCCAACUACUCUCAAUCCCUCUUUUCAAACUCUUGUACACAAUUGUCAAAUAUAAAGUCAAGGUUGAAGACUUAUAUUCUACAAAGCUUCCGUUAGCAACUCAAAGUUAUUCGUAAGUCCUAAUCUUUAUGCUUAUUGCAAUCCAAGUUCAUACUGACUUAAUGUUUGUUUUAUAUACCCUGGGUUAGAAGUGGUAUCAGAGCCACACCCUUGUUUAAUUUGCAUACGCAUAUUUAAACUUUGAUUUACUUUUACUUUAUUUGAAUUACGCUUCUAUUUUGACUUGGCUAUUUCAUGCAUUUAUGUUUGCAUAUUUUAUUAAACUUUUACUGAAAACGUUGGUAAGACUUGAUGCCUUGUUAGACCGUUGGUAAGUCCAGGAUAGGAUGUUCCAGGCAUAGUGCUCGGUUGUUCCCGUCUAAGUAAAAAUUUAAUUAAAUAUUAAACAUGGCUGCAUUUCUUAGACAAUUAAAAAUAGAAUCUAAUUCAAGGAAAGAUAAUGUAGUACAAAGUCAUGAAUAUCAUAUGCCUAUAAACAAUUCAGAUUGGACAAUCCCAGAGGAAAAAAUUGAACACAUUUAUAGAAUUGGCCCUUUAGAUUUCAAAACUGCUUUAUCAGUUAAAACUCAUGAAGAAACAAUAUCUAUUCAAGAAGAAUAUCAAACCAUACAAUUAUUAAAUCAUAAUACAAUUCAAAAAUAUUUAAGUAAAGAAUAUCGAUACAUUCAUAUAGGUUUAAUACAAAUUGCUGUAAAACCUUUAUUCCAUCUAGGAGUAGAUGCUCCUAUAUAUCUAGCCUUAAGAGAUACUAGACUCAAAAGAUAUAAAACUUCUUUACUAUCUAUGAUUCAAACAAAUGUAUGUAAUGGACCAAUAUAUUUUAACUGUACUCCAAAUUUUUCAAUAGAUCUAACAGACCCUCAUAUUCUAAAUUCUUUAAUAUUAGACAUUCAUCUACAAGGAAAUGAAUUCGAAAAACAUACAAAGAAUUUUGCAAUAAUAUAUAGAAUAUAUUACAGACCUUUAUCAUCUCAUUUAAAUCCAAAAUUUAUUAUGACUCCAACUCUUAAAGAUGAAACAACUUUAUUACAAGUAGAUGCAGAUAAACCUACAACAUAUACACCAAAAAGAUUAAAAUGGAACGAAAUAACUAUACCAAGUGAAUUUGAAAUUAAAAAUCCACAAAAAGCUAGAAACAUAGAACAAACUACUGCAGAAGAUAUUAUAGAAAAAGCAGAUGGAAGUACACUCAUAAGAUUCACCUCAUUAAGAGAAAGACCAGAAUCCUCUUAUUCAUGGUUACCAGCUAGACGUUCAAAUUAUGAGUCAACUGAAGUUAAUUUUCCUAUGGAAAGUACCUCAAAUUUUAGAUAUAAAACACCAAUACCAGAAGUUAUAAAUAAAAAUCAAUCAGAAUAUUCCCCAACUCAUUCACAAAUGCAAGGAGAAAUAAAUGUAAUAGAUAGACCAUAUAAAAUAAAUCAUAAAUAUUUACAAGAAGAUUUUGAUGAUGAAGAAAAUACAGAAAAAAGAAUUUGGUUUUUUCAAUUAGACUCCCAAUAUAAAGAAAAGUUAAUUAUAGAAUGGAAAAAUGAAAUAGAUAAACAAAAGUUUGAUUUUCCUUUCUUUACAUGGUUAUCAUUUUAUAUGUCAAAAUUAGGAAUAAAUGAUAUAUAUAAUACACCUCAAAUAAAUGUUCAAACCAAUUUAUAUAAAAAAUGGAAAUUAAAAGAUGAACAAGUUAUAACUUCAAUACACCCUCCAUUACAAGAAGUAAAAAUUAAUAUGGGACAAGGAGAAAUUAUAGCCUCACCUUUUAAAAAGGGAAGAGAAACAGAAUCAAGUACAAAUAAUUCAAUAAAUAUAGAAGAUCUUAAAAAAGUUUAUCAACAAAAUAAUUAUACAAAUCAAAUUUUACAUACAAUAUCUCAACAUAUGGAAGUAUUAAAUACAAAAAUUGAUACACUAAAGAAAUCAGAUUUAAAAUUCCUUAAUGAUAUAUCAGCACCUCAUUUCCAACUUAGAAGUCUGACAAGAGAAAAAGAACAAGAUUUAGUACAAAGUAUUAAUAAUCAAAAAAUAAGUAAUACAGACAAUUUAUUAAAUAAAAUAUCUAAUGCAUUACAAAAUCUAACUACAGAAUCUAAACCAUCAACACCAAAAAUAAACACAUUAGACCAAAUAAUAGAAGAAAAUUCUACUGAAAAAUUAGAAGAUUUAUCAGAAGAAUCAAUAAAAUCAGAAGAAGAAGUAGAUAUGAUUUUACCCGUAGAAAACCAAUUUGAAGAAACAGAAGGAAAUCAAAUAAAUAGAAUAAAAAGAAAAAAUUAUAAUAACAAAAAUAAUUGGAAAAUGGUAAGUUCAAAAAAUUAUUAUCCUAAACCAAAUCCUCCGGAUAUUCAAUACGAAGAAAGAUCAAGAUUCAAAACUACUAAAUAUGAUGGAGAUUCAAUAUAUGAAUGGAAUAUAGAUGGCAAAACUGAAUAUGAAGUAUUAAAUAAUUUGCAAGAAAUGGGAAUGGCAAGACUAGCUUACAAAAUUAAAAACAUUCAAGAAAGAAAUAUUGCAACAUUAUUAGUCUCAGGAUUUACUGGACAAUUAAAAAAUUGGUGGGAUAAUGCUUUAACAUUACAAGAUAAAUUAUCAAUACUAGAUCAUACUCAAGAAAUAGAAGAUGAUCAAGGAAAUAUUCAAAUACAAUCAGAUGCUGCAGAAUUUCUAAUAGUAACAAUAGUAAUGUAUUUUAUAGGAAAUCCAAAAGAAGAAUUAAAUUCUAAUAAAACAUUUUUAACAAAUUUAAGAUGUCCAACUUUAUCAGAUUUUAGAUGGUAUAAAGAUAUGUUUUUAACAAAUGUCUUAAGAAGACCUGAUUGCAAUGCUUCAUUCUGGAAAGAAAGAUUCAUAACAGGAUUACCAAGUUUAUUUUCACAAAGAAUAAUGGAUAAUUUACAAAAGGAAAUGGGAACAGAUGUAAUUUCAUUUGAAAACAUUACUUUUGGACAAUUAUUUGCUUUUGUGAAAAAAGAAGGAUUAAUAUUAUGUUCAGAAUUACGAUUACAAAUAAAAUAUGGAUCUAAAACAAAAGAAGUAGGAUCAUUUUGUGAUGCCUUUGGAAUUAAAAGAAUUAAAUCACCAUCAGCUUAUAAAAAGAAAAUAAAAAAAUAUUCUAAGAAAACAAGAUAUAAAAACCUCAAAGAAAAUGAACCAACUAAAAAGAAAAGAUUUAUUAAAAAGAAAAUUAUUUGUUACAAAUGUGGAAAAAUAGGACAUAAAGCAAAUAAAUGUAGAUUAAAAGAAAAAAUUUCAGAAAUCUGUGUAGAUAAUGAAGAAGUUAAAAAUAAAUUAAUAAAUCUAUUAAUAAAUGAAAAAGAUAAAAGUUCAGAAGAAGAUUAUUAUGAUGAUAUUUCCAGUUCCGAAAGUGAAGAAGAUUGUAAUUGUAAUCCAAAAUAUAUAAAUGUUAUAACUAAAAAAGAAGACAAAGAAUUUUUAUUAGAUAUAAUAGAAAAGAUUGAUGAUCCAAUAGCUAAAAAAGAAUAUUUGGAAAGAUUAAAAAGUUUAAUUAUCCAAGAAGAUAAAUAUCCAAAUAUAAAUAUAAUGAAAAAGGAAACUACUAAAGAUCUUCAAUCCGAAAUUAAUACUCUUAAAAUUCAAGUAAAACAAUUACAACAAGAGAUAAUAGAAUUAAAAUUAAAAGAUUUAGAGAUAGAAUCAAAAAUAACAUUAAUAGAUAAUAAUCAACCUUCAACCUCUAAUAUUAAAACAAACGAAAUAUCAAUAGCCGAAAACCCAAUAAAAGAAGACCAAUAUAUAAAUACUAUAGAAAAAAUGACUUUUCAAAAAUGGUUUGCCCUAAUAACUAUCACAGUAGAAGAUUUCAAAGAAACCUUUGUAACUCUUAUAGACAGUGGAGCUGAUACAAGUUGUAUUAAAGAAGGAAUAAUUCCCACUAAAUAUUGUGAAAGAACAAAAGAAAAAUUAAUGGCAGCAAAUGGAGAAGAUUUAGAAGUAAAAUAUAAAUUUACAAAAGGAUCAAUAUGCAAUAAUGAAUAUUGUAUUAGACAUAAUUUCAUAAUUGUAAACAAUAUAAAUCAUGAUGUUAUAUUAGGUACACCCUUUUUAAUUCAAAUAUAUCCAUUUAUAGUAAGUCAUGAAGGAAUUUCAAUAAAUAUAAUGGGAAAAAUUAUUACCUUCAAAUUCUUAACUCCAAUAAGACAGAAAGAACUACAAACAUUACAAACAUCCUCAAUAUAUAAAACAAUAAAUACCAUUACUAAAGUACAACAACAAAUAAGUUAUAUUAAAGAGGAAAAAUCUUAUUUAAAAAUUGAAGAACAAUUAAAUGAUAUUAAAAUACAAAAAAGAAUAUCAGAACUAGAAGAAUUAUUUCAAAAAGAAAUUUGUGCAGAUAUUCCUAAUGCUUUUUGGAAUAGAAAACAACAUAUGAUAGAAUUACCCUAUGAAAAAGACUUUGAAGAAAAAAAUAUUCCAACAAAAGCUAGACCAAUACAAAUGAAUUCUGAGUUACUAGAAUAUUGUAAGAAGGAAAUAAAAAUAUUAAUAGAUAAAUGAUUAAUAACACCUUCAAAAUCACCUUGGAGUUGUGCUGCAUUUUAUGUUAUGAAUUAAUCCUUACAGAUACUCAAUCUGUAGAGAUUUACCCUAUUCCAGACAAAAAGAAUCCAAAUAUUAUUAGUCAUUCCAAAUGUAUUAUAAAGAAAGUUUGUUCUCCUAAUGAAUGGACUUCUCUUUAUUCCAAAAAAUCCUUUUCAGUAAACUUUAUUCCAGAUGGAUUUACAUAUCAAGAUUACAAAAUGGCAUGGUAUCGUGCUUUCCUUUUUAGACCAUUCAACCAUUCCUAGUUCUUCACAUUCAAAGAAAGUUGCAGUAAAGAAAUUCCAAUUUGGUUCAAUCACUGGUGGAAAUGGUUUGGACCACAGCCAGAGAUUUUACCUCCAAAUGUUCUCAUGGGAUUUCAAACCUAUCUAAAAAGAGCAAAGGGGGAAGAGUAUACAAGACCAAUUUUAUUUCAUAUGGAGUUCAAAGUACCAUGGAUAUUUUUUUGGAGUUUCAAGAUUCAUCAAGAAUUGGAAAAGCCUCUUCCAAUGUCAUUGGUUAGAGAAUUCAAAAAAAAAUGGUGGACCGGAUUCAAUCAAGAAUUUGGAGAUCAAACAAAUGUGAUAAGAUUUCUGACUACCGGAGACAAACUAAAAUGGACUGCAACUACUACCACUACUCAAAAAGAGACAAGACAGCAGACAAGUAUUCCAACCACUACAACCACUCCACCAACUCCAAAGAAAGAAAAAGAAAAGAUGACGGAAAUGGCAUCCGAAGAAAUAGCCAGUAACUUUUUGAUAAAGCAAAUGAUGCAGAAUCCCGAGAUGUUUAAAGAGUAUCUGAAUUAUUUACAAAAGCCAGUCAAAAAGGAAGAAACAGACAAAAUAGAGGAGUCAGCAGGAUCAUCCGAAUCAACUUUUGAUCCUUUUGAUGACCCCAUCGGUGGACAAAAUCCAAAUGACUUUUGAAAAAGAUGUCGGCCACAACAAAUGAAAGCAAAAUGAAAUUCAAAUGCCGAUGAAAUGAGAAGACCCGAGCUUCUAUAAAUAGAUUCAAGAUUCAGAAUGAAAGACAUCGGGCAAAAAUCAUACAAGCAGUUUUAGAAUUCCUUUGUAAAAUCCUCUCAAUCACUCUUACCUACUCCCAACUACUCUCAAUCCCUCUUUUCAAACUCUUGUACACAAUUGUCAAAUAUAAAGUCAAGGUUGAAGACUUAUAUUCUACAAAGCUUCCGUUAGCAACUCAAAGUUAUUCGUAAGUCCUAAUCUUUAUGCUUAUUGCAAUCCAAGUUCAUACUGACUUAAUGUUUGUUUUAUAUACCCUGGGUUAGAAGUGGUAUCAGAGCCACACCCUUGUUUAAUUUGCAUACGCAUAUUUAAACUUUGAUUUACUUUUACUUUAUUUGAAUUACGCUUCUAUUUUGACUUGGCUAUUUCAUGCAUUUAUGUUUGCAUAUUUUAUUAAACUUUUACUGAAAACGUUGGUAAGACUUGAUGCCUUGUUAGACCGUUGGUAAGUCCAGGAUAGGAUGUUCCAGGCAUAGUGCUCGGUUGUUCCCGUCUAAGUAAAAAUUUAAUUAAAUAUUAAACAUGGCUGCAUUUCUUAGACAAUUAAAAAUAGAAUCUAAUUCAAGGAAAGAUAAUGUAGUACAAAGUCAUGAAUAUCAUAUGCCUAUAAACAAUUCAGAUUGGACAAUCCCAGAGGAAAAAAUUGAACACAUUUAUAGAAUUGGCCCUUUAGAUUUCAAAACUGCUUUAUCAGUUAAAACUCAUGAAGAAACAAUAUCUAUUCAAGAAGAAUAUCAAACCAUACAAUUAUUAAAUCAUAAUACAAUUCAAAAAUAUUUAAGUAAAGAAUAUCGAUACAUUCAUAUAGGUUUAAUACAAAUUGCUGUAAAACCUUUAUUCCAUCUAGGAGUAGAUGCUCCUAUAUAUCUAGCCUUAAGAGAUACUAGACUCAAAAGAUAUAAAACUUCUUUACUAUCUAUGAUUCAAACAAAUGUAUGUAAUGGACCAAUAUAUUUUAACUGUACUCCAAAUUUUUCAAUAGAUCUAACAGACCCUCAUAUUCUAAAUUCUUUAAUAUUAGACAUUCAUCUACAAGGAAAUGAAUUCGAAAAACAUACAAAGAAUUUUGCAAUAAUAUAUAGAAUAUAUUACAGACCUUUAUCAUCUCAUUUAAAUCCAAAAUUUAUUAUGACUCCAACUCUUAAAGAUGAAACAACUUUAUUACAAGUAGAUGCAGAUAAACCUACAACAUAUACACCAAAAAGAUUAAAAUGGAACGAAAUAACUAUACCAAGUGAAUUUGAAAUUAAAAAUCCACAAAAAGCUAGAAACAUAGAACAAACUACUGCAGAAGAUAUUAUAGAAAAAGCAGAUGGAAGUACACUCAUAAGAUUCACCUCAUUAAGAGAAAGACCAGAAUCCUCUUAUUCAUGGUUACCAGCUAGACGUUCAAAUUAUGAGUCAACUGAAGUUAAUUUUCCUAUGGAAAGUACCUCAAAUUUUAGAUAUAAAACACCAAUACCAGAAGUUAUAAAUAAAAAUCAAUCAGAAUAUUCCCCAACUCAUUCACAAAUGCAAGGAGAAAUAAAUGUAAUAGAUAGACCAUAUAAAAUAAAUCAUAAAUAUUUACAAGAAGAUUUUGAUGAUGAAGAAAAUACAGAAAAAAGAAUUUGGUUUUUUCAAUUAGACUCCCAAUAUAAAGAAAAGUUAAUUAUAGAAUGGAAAAAUGAAAUAGAUAAACAAAAGUUUGAUUUUCCUUUCUUUACAUGGUUAUCAUUUUAUAUGUCAAAAUUAGGAAUAAAUGAUAUAUAUAAUACACCUCAAAUAAAUGUUCAAACCAAUUUAUAUAAAAAAUGGAAAUUAAAAGAUGAACAAGUUAUAACUUCAAUACACCCUCCAUUACAAGAAGUAAAAAUUAAUAUGGGACAAGGAGAAAUUAUAGCCUCACCUUUUAAAAAGGGAAGAGAAGCAGAAUCAAGUACAAAUAAUUCAAUAAAUAUAGAAGAUCUUAAAAAAGUUUAUCAACAAAAUAAUUAUACAAAUCAAAUUUUACAUACAAUAUCUCAACAUAUGGAAGUAUUAAAUACAAAAAUUGAUACACUAAAGAAAUCAGAUUUAAAAUUCCCUAAUGAUAUAUCAGCACCUCAUUUCCAACCUAGAAGUCUGACAAGAGAAAAAGAACAAGAUUUAGUACAAAGUAUUAAUAAUCAAAAAAUAAGUAAUACAGACAAUUUAUUAAAUAAAAUAUCUAAUGCAUUACAAAAUCUAACUACAGAAUCUAAACCAUCAACACCAAAAAUAAACACAUUAGACCAAAUAAUAGAAGAAAAUUCUACUGAAAAAUUAGAAGAUUUAUCAGAAGAAUCAAUAAAAUCAGAAGAAGAAGCAGAUAUGAUUUUACCCGUAGAAAACCAAUUUGAAGAAACAGAAGGAAAUCAAAUAAAUAGAAUAAAAAAAAAUUAUAAUAACAAAAAUAAUUGGAAAAUGGUAAGUUCAAAAAAUUAUUAUCCUAGACCAAAUCCUCCGGAUAUUCAAUACGAAGAAAGAUCAAGAUUCAAAACUACUAAAUAUGAUGGAGAUUCAAUAUAUGAAUGGAAUAUAGAUGGCAAAACUGAAUAUGAAGUAUUAAAUAAUUUGCAAGAAAUGGGAAUGGCAAGACUAGCUUACAAAAUUAAAAACAUUCAAGAAAGAAAUAUUGCAACAUUAUUAGUCUCAGGAUUUACUGGACAAUUAAAAAAUUGGUGGGAUAAUGCUUUAACAUUACAAGAUAAAUUAUCAAUACUAGAUCAUACUCAAGAAAUAGAAGAUGAUCAAGGAAAUAUUCAAAUACAAUCAGAUGCUGCAGAAUUUCUAAUAGUAACAAUAGUAAUGUAUUUUAUAGGAAAUCCAAAAGAAGAAUUAAAUUCUAAUAAAACAUUUUUAACAAAUUUAAGAUGUCCAACUUUAUCAGAUUUUAGAUGGUAUAAAGAUAUGUUUUUAACAAAUGUCUUAAGAAGACCUGAUUGCAAUGCUUCAUUCUGGAAAGAAAGAUUCAUAACAGGAUUACCAAGUUUAUUUUCACAAAGAAUAAUGGAUAAUUUACAAAAGGAAAUGGGAACAGAUGUAAUUUCAUUUGAAAACAUUACUUUUGGACAAUUAUUUGCUUUUGUGAAAAAAGAAGGAUUAAUAUUAUGUUCAGAAUUACGAUUACAAAUAAAAUAUGGAUCUAAAACAAAAGAAGUAGGAUCAUUUUGUGAUGCCUUUGGAAUUAAAAGAAUUAAAUCACCAUCAGCUUAUAAAAAGAAAAUAAAAAAAUAUUCUAAGAAAACAAGAUAUAAAAACCUCAAAGAAAAUGAACCAACUAAAAAGAAAAGAUUUAUUAAAAAGAAAAUUAUUUGUUACAAAUGUGGAAAAAUAGGACAUAAAGCAAAUAAAUGUAGAUUAAAAGAAAAAAUUUCAGAAAUCUGUGUAGAUAAUGAAGAAGUUAAAAAUAAAUUAAUAAAUCUAUUAAUAAAUGAAAAAGAUAAAAGUUCAGAAGAAGAUUAUUAUGAUGAUAUUUCCAGUUCCGAAAGUGAAGAAGAUUGUAAUUGUAAUCCAAAAUAUAUAAAUGUUAUAACUAAAAAAGAAGACAAAGAAUUUUUAUUAGAUAUAAUAGAAAAGAUUGAUGAUCCAAUAGCUAAAAAAGAAUAUUUGGAAAGAUUAAAAAGUUUAAUUAUCCAAGAAGAUAAAUAUCCAAAUAUAAAUAUAAUGAAAAAGGAAACUACUAAAGAUCUUCAAUCCGAAAUUAAUACUCUUAAAAUUCAAGUAAAACAAUUACAACAAGAGAUAAUAGAAUUAAAAUUAAAAGAUUUAGAGAUAGAAUCAAAAAUAACAUUAAUAGAUAAUAAUCAACCUUCAACCUCUAAUAUUAAAACAAACGAAAUAUCAAUAGCCGAAAACCCAAUAAAAGAAGACCAAUAUAUAAAUACUAUAGAAAAAAUGACUUUUCAAAAAUGGUUUGCCCUAGUAACUAUCACAGUAGAAGAUUUCAAAGAAACCUUUGUAACUCUUAUAGACAGUGGAGCUGAUACAAGUUGUAUUAAAGAAGGAAUAAUUCCCACUAAAUAUUGUGAAAGAACAAAAGAAAAAUUAAUGGCAGCAAAUGGAGAAGAUUUAGAAGUAAAAUAUAAAUUUACAAAAGGAUCAAUAUGCAAUAAUGAAUAUUGUAUUAGACAUAAUUUCAUAAUUGUAAACAAUAUAAAUCAUGAUGUUAUAUUAGGUACACCCUUUUUAAUUCAAAUAUAUCCAUUUAUAGUAAGUCAUGAAGGAAUUUCAAUAAAUAUAAUGGGAAAAAUUAUUACCUUCAAAUUCUUAACUCCAAUAAGACAGAAAGAACUACAAACAUUACAAACAUCCUCAAUAUAUAAAACAAUAAAUACCAUUACUAAAGUACAACAACAAAUAAGUUAUAUUAAAGAGGAAAAAUCUUAUUUAAAAAUUGAAGAACAAUUAAAUGAUAUUAAAAUACAAAAAAGAAUAUCAGAACUAGAAGAAUUAUUUCAAAAAGAAAUUUGUGCAGAUAUUCCUAAUGCUUUUUGGAAUAGAAAACAACAUAUGAUAGAAUUACCCUAUGAAAAAAACUUUGAAGAAAAAAAUAUUCCAACAAAAGCUAGACCAAUACAAAUGAAUUCUGAGUUACUAGAAUAUUGUAAGAAGGAAAUAAAAAUAUUAAUAGAUAAAGGAUUAAUAACACCUUCAAAAUCACCUUGGAGUUGUGCUGCAUUUUAUGUUAUGAAUCAAGAUGAAAAAGAAAGAGGAGUUCCAAGAUUAGUAAUAAAUUAUAAACCUUUAAAUAAAGUAUUACAAUGGAUUAGAUAUCCUAUUUCUAAUAAAAAAGAUUUGCUUAAUAGAUUAUUUAAUGCAAAAAUAUUCUCAAAGUUUGAUAUGAAAUCAGGAUAUUGGCAAAUAAUAAUAGACCCAAAAGAUAGAUACAAAACAGCAUUUACAACACCUUUUGGACAUUAUGAAUGGAAAGUUAUGCCAUUUGGAUUAAAAAAUGCACCAUCAGAAUUUCAAAAUAUAAUGAAUGAUAUUUUCAAUCCUUAUAGCUCAUUCAGUAUAGUUUAUAUAGAUGAUGUAUUAAUAUUUUCAGAAUCAUUAGAACAACAUUUUAAACAUUUAAACAUAUUUUUAAAAAUAAUUAAGAAAAAUGGAUUAGUUGUUUCUGCUCCAAAAAUGAAAUUAUUUCAAACAAAAAUAAGAUUUUUAGGACAUAAUAUAUAUCAAGGAACAAUAAAACCGAUUAAUAGAGCUUUAGAAUUUGCUACUAAAUUUCCAAAUGAAAUAAAAGAUAAAAACCAAUUACAAAGAUUUUUAGGAUGUCUAAAUUAUAUAGCAGAUUUCUUUCCUAAAUUAAGACAAGAGUGUUCUAUAUUAUUUAAUAGAUUAAAGAAAAAUCCAAAACCUUGGACAGAGGAACAUACUCAAAAAUAAAAUAUUUAAAAGAAAAAAUUGAAUCAUUACCAUGUCUAUGUUUACCUCAUCCAAAAGCAUUCAUGAUAGUUGAAACAGACGCAUCAGAAUUAGGAUACGGAGGUAUAUUAAAACAAAAGGUAGAUAAUUCAAAAGAAGAAUUAGUUAGAUUUCAUUCAGGAACCUGGUCUGAUCCUCAAAAGAAUUAUUCAACCAUUAAAAAAGAAAUUUUAUCCAUAGUUUUAUGCAUAUCAAAAUUCCAAUAUGAUUUAUAUAAUAAGAAAUUUUUGAUUAGAAUAGAUUGUAAAUCUGCAAAAGAAAUUUUACAAAAAGAUGUUCAAAAUAUAGUUUCAAAACAAAUAUUUGCUAGAUGGCAAGCUAUUUUAUCUGUAUUUGAUUUCGAGAUUGAAUUUAUCAAAGGAGAAAAUAAUUCUUUACCAGAUUUUCUAACCAGAGAAUUCCUACAAGGACAUGGAUCCAGCAAUGAUGGCGCAAAGAAAUGCUCGUGAAUAUACAAAUUAUUUGAGAACUCAACGAGAUUCUCCCAGCCUUCAAAAUAAAGAAAAAUCGAUUCAAUCCAGAGGAUAUGUCUAUUCCAUUCAAACUCCGAAUGGAAGACAAUUCAUUCCAGCCUACCAAAUUCCUAAAUAUGAUGAAAUUUAUGUUCACAAAAGUCCUUAUGCAACCAUUACUCCAAAAGAAAAAGCCUUUCUCAUACAAAGACAAAUUCAGAAAAACACCAUUCGACUUCAUGUUCAUCAAAGAGCAAGCAGAAGUGGAGAUUUUCUUCACAACGAAUUUAUUCAACAUUACCAAGAACAGAAUAGACAAUUAUCUCAAAGAUGUUGUUUAUUAAUUUUGCAGGAGCAUGGAUUCAAAAGCAGGAAGUUCCAGGCCAAAGACUCCUCAAGAUUAUGAGAUGAGUCUAACCCCUGUUACUCAAAAUAGAUUUCAACUUUUAUCAGAUUUUCCAGCAUUGACUUAUAGUCAAGCUGCUACUCCAAUUGCUUCUCAAAUUAGACCCAUUCAACAACUACCAAAACCCCCAGAAAAAUCCUCAGCAAAUGCUUAUUUCACCAAACCAUUCACUCAACAUAUUACUCUAACCAGAUUUCAAGAAAUACCCAUAUACUCUACUCUUAAUCAAGUUACUCAAAGGAUCUUUCCUCCAAAAUGUUAUUGGCAACCAGAUGAUCCUUCAAAAAAUUUAGAUUAUUAUGAAUUAAUCCUUACAGAUACUCAAUCUGUAGAGAUUUACCCUAUUCCAGACAAAAAGAAUCCAAAUAUUAUUAGUCAUUCCAAAUGUAUUAUAAAGAAAGUUUGUUCUCCUAAUGAAUGGACUUCUCUUUAUUCCAAAAAAUCCUUUUCAGUAAACUUUAUUCCAGAUGGAUUUACAUAUCAAGAUUACAAAAUGGCAUGGUAUCGUGCUUUCCUUUUUAGACCAUUCAACCAUUCCUGGUUCUUCACAUUCAAAGAAAGUUGCAGUAAAGAAAUUCCAAUUUGGUUCAAUCACUGGUGGAAAUGGUUUGGACCACAGCCAGAGAUUUUACCUCCAAAUGUUCUCAUGGGAUUUCAAACCUAUCUAAAAAGAGCAAAGGGGGAAGAGUAUACAAGACCAAUUUUAUUUCAUAUGGAGUUCAAAGUACCAUGGAUAUUUUUUUGGAGUUUCAAGAUUCAUCAAGAAUUGGAAAAGCCUCUUCCAAUGUCAUUGGUUAGAGAAUUCAAAAUAAAAUGGUGGACCGGAUUCAAUCAAGAAUUUGGAGAUCAAACAAAUGUGAUAAGAUUUCUGACUACCGGAGACAAACUAAAAUGGACUGCAACUACUACCACUACUCAAAAAGAGACAAGACAGCAGACAAGUAUUCCAACCACUACAACCACUCCACCAACUCCAAAGAAAGAAAAAGAAAAGAUGACGGAAAUGGCAUCCGAAGAAAUAGCCAGUAACUUUUUGAUAAAGCAAAUGAUGCAGAAUCCCGAGAUGCUUAAAGAGUAUCUGAAUUAUUUACAAAAGCCAGUCAAAAAGGAAGAAACAGACAAAAUAGAGGAGUCAGCAGGAUCAUCCGAAUCAACUUUUGAUCCUUUUGAUGACCCCAUCGGUGGACAAAAUCCAAAUGACUUUUGAAAAAGAUGUCGGCCACAACAAAUGAAAGCAAAAUGAAAUUCAAAUGCCGAUGAAAUGAGAAGACCCGAGCUUCUAUAAAUAGAUUCAAGAUUCAGAAUGAAAGACAUCGGGCAAAAAUCAUACAAGCAGUUUUAGAAUUCCUUUGUAAAAUCCUCUCAAUCACUCUUACCUACUCCCAACUACUCUCAAUCCCUCUUUUCAAACUCUUGUACACAAUUGUCAAAUAUAAAGUCAAGGUUGAAGACUUAUAUUCUACAAAGCUUCCGUUAGCAACUCAAAGUUAUUCGUAAGUCCUAAUCUUUAUGCUUAUUGCAAUCCAAGUUCAUACUGACUUAAUGUUUGUUUUAUAUAACCUGGGUUAGAAGUGGUAUCAGAGCCACACCCUUGUUUAAUUUGCAUACGCAUAUUUAAACUUUGAUUUACAUUUACUUUAUUUGAAUUACGCUUCUAUUUUGACUUGGCUAUUUCAUGCAUUUAUGUUUGCAUAUUUUAUUAAACUUUUACUGAAAACGUUGGUAAGACUUGAUGCCUUGUUAGACCGUUGGUAAGUCCAGGAUAGGAUAUUCCAGGCAUAGUGCUCGGUUGUUCCCGUCUAAGUAAAAAUUUAAUUAAAUAUUAAACAUGGCUGCAUUUCUUAGACAAUUAAAAAUAGGAUCUAAUUCAAGGAAAGAUAAUGUAGUACAAAGUCAUGAAUAUCAUAUGCCUAUAAACAAUUCAGAUUGGACAAUCCCAGGGGAAAAAAUCAUACAAGCAGUUUUAGAAUUCCUUUGUAAAAUCCUCUCAAUCACUCUUACCUACUCCCAACUACUCUCAAUCCCUCUUUUCAAACUCUUGUACACAAUUGUCAAAUAUAAAGUCAAGGUUGAAGACUUAUAUUCUACAAAGCUUCCGUUAGCAACUCAAAGUUAUUCGUAAGUCCUAAUCUUUAUGCUUAUUGCAAUCCAAGUUCAUACUGAUUUAAUGUUUGUUUUAUAUAGCAAAUAUUUGUUUUAAAACUAUAUUUUGAACAUCUUUUUGUAAAAUCUCUUUUGCAGAUUUACAGUCUAUUCUAAUUAAAAAUUUCUUGUUAUAUAAAUCAUCUUGAAAUUUUGAUAUGCACAAAACUGUAGAUAGAAUUUCUUUCUUAAUAGUUGAAUAAUUCUUUUGAGGGUCAGACCAUGUUCCUGAAUGAAAUCUAACUAAUUCUUCUUUUUCUCCUUUCAUUCUUUGUUUUAAUAUUCCUCCAUAUCCUAAUUCUGAUGCAUCUAUUUCUACUAUCAUGAAUGCUUUUGGAUAAGGUAAACAUAAACAUGGUAAUGAUUCAAUUUUUUCUUUUAAAUAUUUUAUUUUUUGAGUAUGUUCUUCUGUCCAAGGUUUUGGAUUUUUCUUUAAUCUAUUGAAUAAUAUAGAGCAUUCUUGUCUUAAUUUAGGGAAGAAAUCUGCUAUAUAAUUUAAACAUCCUAAAAAUCUUUGUAAUUGAUUUUUAUCCUUUAUUUCAUCUGGAAAUUUUUUAGCAAAUUCUAAAGCUCUAUUUAUUGGCUUUAUGGUUCCUUGAUAAAUAUUAUGUCCUAAAAAUCUUAUUUUAGUUUGAAAUAAUUUCAUUUUUGGGGCUGAUAUUACUAAUCCAUUUUUCUUAGCUACUUUUAAAAAUAUAUUUAAAUGUUUGAAAUGUUGUUCUAUUGAUUCAGAAAAUAUUAAUACAUCAUCUAUGUAUACUAUACUGAAUGAACUAUAAGGGUUAAAAAUAUCAUUCAUUAUAUUUUGAAAUUCUGAUGGUGCAUUUUUUAAUCCAAAUGGCAUUACAUUCCAUUCAUAAUGUCCAAAAGGUGUGGUGAAUGCUGUUUUGUAUCUAUCUUUAGGUGUUAUUAAUAUUUGCCAAUAUCCUGAUUUUAAAUCAAAUUUUGAGAAUAUUUUUGCAUUAAAUAAUCUAUUUAGUGAAUCUUUCUUGUUUGGAAUUGGAUAUCUUAUCCAUUGUAAUACUUUAUUUAAAGGUUUAUAAUUUAUUACUAAUCUUGGAACUCCUCUUUCUUUUUCACCUUGAUUCAUAACAUAAAAAGCUGCACAACUCCAAGGUGAUUUUGAAGGUGUUAUUAAUUUUUUAUCAAUUAAUAUUUUUAUUUCUUUUUUACAAAAUUCUAGUAAUUCAGAAUUCAUUUGUAUAGGUCUUGCUUUUGUUGGAAUAUUCUUUUCAUUAAAGUCUUUUUCAUAAGGUAAUUCUACCAUAUGUUGUUUUCUAUCCCAAAAAGCAUUAGGAAUAUUUGCACAUACUUCUUUUCUUAAUAAUUCUUCUAAUUCUGAAAUUCUUUUUUGCAUUUUAUUUUCUUUUAAUUGUUCUUCAAUUUUUAAAUAAGAUUUUUCUUCUUUAAUAUAUCUUAUUUGUUGUUGUACUUUAGUAAUACUAUUUAUUGUUCUAUAGAUAGAAGAUGUCUGUAAAGUUUGUAAUUCUCUUUGUUUUACUGGAGUUAAAAAUCUAAAUGUAAUUGUUUUACCCAUUAUAUUUAUUGAAAUUCCUUCAUUACUUACAAAGAAUGGGUAUAUUUGAAUUAGAAAUGGUGUUCCUAUAAUUACAUCAUGAUUUAUAUUUUUUACAAUUAUGAAAUUAUGUCUAAUACAAUAAUUAUCAUUACAUAUUGAUCCUUUUGUAAAUUUAUAUUUUACUUGUAAAUUUUCUCCAUUUGCCGCCAUUAAAGUUUCUUUUGUUCUUUCACAAUAUUUAGUAGGAAUUAUUCCUUCUUUAAUGCAACUUACAUCUGCUCCACUAUCUAUUAGAGCUAUAUAAGUUUCUUUGAAAUCUUCUACUGUAAUAGUAAUCAUAGCAAACCAUUUUUGAAAUAUCAUUCUUUCUAUGGUAUUUAAAUAUUGAACUUCAUCAGUCAUUUUUUCUGAUAUAGGUAUUUCUUCAGUUUUAGAAUAAGAGGUUGAAGGCUGAUUUUCUAUUAAUUUUUUGUUUUCUAUUAAUGUUAAUUUUGAUUCUAUUUCUAAAUCUUUUGUUUUUAAUUCUAUGAUUUCUUGUUGUAAUUGUUUAACUUGUACUUUUAAUGUAUUAAUUUCUGUUUGAAGAUCUUUAGUAGUUUCCUUUUUCAUUACAUUUAUAUUAGGAUAUUUAUCUAUUAAUUUAGAAAUACUAAAGGGUUCUAUUAUUUUUGGCAUUUUAUCUUCUUGAAUAAUUAAACUUUUUAGUCUUUCUAAAUAUUCUUUUUUAGCUAUUGGAUCUUCAAUUUUUUCUAUUAUAUCUAAUAAAAAUUCUUUAUCUUCUUUCUUAGUUAUUACAUUGAUAUAUUUUGGAGUACAAUUACAAUCUUCUUCACUGUCGGAACUUGUUAGGUCAUUAUAACUUGUUAUAUAGUUAUCUUCAGAAUUUUGAUCUUUUUCAUUUAUUAAUAAAUUUAUUAAUUUGUCUUUUAUUUCCUCUUCAUUUGCACAAAUUUCAUUAAUUUUUUCUUUUAAUCUACAUUUGUUUGCUUUAUGUCCUAUUUUUCCACAUUUGUAACAAACAAUUUUCUUCUUAAUAAAUUUUUUCUUUUUAGUUAAUUUAGUUGGUUCAUUUUCUUUAGGAUUUUUAUACCUAAUUUUCUUUGAGUAUUUUUUAACUUUCUUUCUAUAUGCUGAUGGUGAUUUAAUUCUUUUAAUUCCAAAUGCAUCACAGAAUGAUCCUACUUCUUUGGUUUUAGAUCCAUAUUUUAUUUGUAAUCUUAAUUCUGAACAUAGUAUUAAUCCUUCCUUUUUCACAAAAGCAAAUAGUUGUCCAAAAGUAAUAUUCUCGAAUGAAAUGACAUCUGUUCCCAUUUCUUUUUGUAAAUUAUCCAUUAUUCUUUGUGAAAAUAAGCUUGGUAAUCCAGUUAUGAAUCUUUCUUUCCAGAAUGAAGCAUUGCAAUCUGGUCUUCUUAAGACAUUUGUUAAAAACAUAUCUUUAUACCAUCUAAAAUCUGAUAAAGUUGGACAUCUUAAAUUUGUUAAAAAUGUUUUAUUAGAAUUUAAUUCUUCUUUUGGAUUUCCUAUAAAAUACAUUACUAUUGUUACUAUUAGAAAUUCUGCAGCAUCUGAUUGUAUUUGAAUAUUUCCUUGAUCAUCUUCUAUUUCUUGAGUAUGAUCUAGUAUUGAUAAUUUAUCUUGUAAUGUUAAAGCAUUAUCCCACCAAUUUUUUAAUUGUCCAGUAAAUCCUGAAACUAAUAAUGUUGCAAUAUUUCUCUCUUGAAUAUUUUUUAUUUUAUAAGCUAAUCUUGCCAUUCCCAUUUCUUGCAAAUUAUUUAAUACUUCAUAUUCAGCUUUGCCAUCUAUAUUCCAUUCAUAUAUUGAAUCGCCAUCAUAUUUAGUAGUUCUAAAUUUUGGUCUUUCUUCAUAUUGAAUAUCUGGAGGACUUGGUCUAGGAUAAUAAUUUUUUGAACUUACCAUUUUCCAAUUAUUACUUUUAUUAUUAUUAUAAUUCCUUCUUUUAAUUCUAUUUAUUUGAUUACCUUCUGUUUCUUCAAAUUGGUUUUCUAUUGGUAAAAUUAUAUCUUCUUCACUAUCUGAAUUUAUUGAUUCUUCAGAGGUAUUUUCUAAUUCUUCUGUUGAAUUUUCUUCUAUUAUUUUUUCUAAGGUAUUUAUCUUAGGCGUUGAAGGUUUUACUGUUAGAUUUUGUAAUGAUUGAGAUAUUUUAUUUAAUAUAUUAUCUGUAUUAUUUAUUUUUUGAUUAUUAAUAUUUUGUACUAAAUCUUGUUCUUUUUCUCUUGUCAGACUUCUAGGUUGAAAAUGAGGUGCUGAAAUAUCAUUAGGGAAUUUUGAUUCUGGUUUCUUUAAUGUAUCUAUCUUUGUAUUUAAUACUUCCAUAUGUUGAGAAAUUGUAUGAAGGAUUUGAUUUGUAUAAUUAUUUUGUUGAUAAACUUUUUUAAGAUCUUCUAAAUUUAUUGAAUUAUUUGUACUUGAUUCAGCUUCUCUACCUGUUUUAAAAGGUGAGGCAAUUAUAUCUCCUUGUCCUAUAUUAAUUUUUACUUCUUGUAAUGGAGGGUGUAUUGAUGUUAUAAUUUGUUCAUCUUUUAAUUUCCAUUUUUUAUAUAAAUUAGUUUGAACAUUUAUUUGAGGUGUAUCGUAUAUAUUAUUUAUUCCUAAUUUUGAUGUGUAAAAUGAUAACCAUGUGAAAAAAGGAAAAUCAAAUUUUUGUCUAUCUAAUUCAUUUUUCCAUUCUAGAAUUAAUUUUUCUUUAUAAUCUGAUUCUAAUUGAAAAAACCAAAUUCUUUUUUCAGUAUUUUCUUCAUCAUCAAAAUCUUCUUGUAAAUAUUUAUGAUUUAUUUUAUAUGGUCUACUUAUAACAUUUAUUUCUCCUUUCAUUUGUGAAUGUGUUGGAGAAUAUUCAGAUUGUUGUGGAUUAUUUAUAACUUCUGGAAUAGGAGUUUUAUAUCUAAAGUUUGAGGUAUUUUCCAUUGGGAAAUUAAUUUCAGUUGACUCAUAAUUUGAACGUCUAUCUGGUAACCAUGAAUAUGAUGAUUCUGGUCUUUCUCUUAAAGAGGUGAAUCUUAUGAGUGUACUUCCAUCUGCUUUUUCUAUAAUAUCUUCGGCAGUGGUUUGUUCUAUAUUUCUUGCUAUUUGGGGAUUUUUAAUUUCAAAUUCACUUGGUAUAGUUAUUUCAUUCCAUUUUAAUCUUUUUGGUGUAUAAGUUGUAGGUUUAUCUGCAUCAACUUGCAAUAAAGUUGUUUCUUCCUUAAGAGUUGGAGUCAUUAUAAAUUUUGGAUUUAAAUGUGAAGAUAAAGGUCUAUAAUAAAUUCUAUAUAUUAUUGCAAAAUUCUUUGUAUGUUUUUCAAAUUCAUUUCCUUGUAGAUGAAUAUCUAAUAUGACUGAAUUUAGAAUAUGAGGAUCCGUUAAAUCUAAUGAAAAAUUUGGAGCACAAUUAAAAUAUAUUGGUCCAUUACAAAUAUUUGUUUGAAUCAUAGAAAGUAAAGAAGUCUUAUAUCUUUUUAAUCUAGUAUCUCUUAAUGCUAGAUAUAUUGGAGCAUCUACUCCUAGAUGGAAUAAAGGUUUUACAGCAAUUUGUAUUAAUCCUAUAUGAAUGUAUCGAUAUCCUUUACUUAAAUAUUUUUGAAUUGUGUUAUAAUUUAAUAGUUGAAUAGAUUGAUAUUCUUCUUGGAUAGAUAUUGUUUCUUCAUGAGUUUUGACUGAUAAAGCAGUUUUGAAAUCUAAAGGGCCUAUUCUAUAAAUAUGUUCUAUUCUUUCUUCUGGAAUAGUCCAAUCCGAAUUAUUUAUAGGCAUAUGAUAUUCAUGACUUUCAACUACAUUAUCUUGUCUUGAAUUAGAUCCUAUUUUUAAUUGUCUAAAGAAUGCAGCCAUGUUUAAUAUUUUAAUUAAAGUUUUACCUAGACGGGAACAACCGAGCACUAUGCCUGGAACAUCCUUCUCCGGACUUACCAACGGACUAACAAGGCAUCAAGUCUUACCAACGUUUUCAGUAAAAGUUUAAUAAAAUAUGAAAACAUAAAAGCAUAAACUAGUCAAUUUUAAAUAGAGACUAAAUUAAAAUGAGAAAAUGUAAAUCAAAGGGUAAAUAUGCGUAUGCAUAUAAAAGGGAGUGUGGCUCUGAUACCACUUCUACCCAGGACUUUGCAAUUAAUCAUAUACGUUAACUAAAAGCAAAUAUUGUAGGGACUUAGAAUGUUAUAAAUGAAACUUACUUGACUUUUGAGAGUACACAAUCGGAAGCUUGAAUUCAACAAUGGAAACUUGCCAAACUUUUUGACAAAUUGAUACAAGAGGUUUGAAUAUUUAGUACAAGGCUUUGACUAUCUAUGGAAAUAUGUAGGAGUAGUGAUUACAAAGAGUUUUUCUAACUUUGCUCUGAUGGGGUUUUCCGCCGAUGCCUGUCUUCUGAAUCUUGAAUCUAUUUAUAGAGGCUCGGAUCUGCAUUUCAUCUGCAUUUGAAUUUCAAUUUUGCUUUCAUUUGUUGUGGCCGACAUCUUUUCAAAAGUCGUUUGGAUUUUGUCCACCGAUGGGAUCAUCAAAAUGAUCAAAAGUAGAUUCGGAUGAUCCUGCUGGCUCCUCUAUUUUGUCUUCUUCUUUUGGCUUUUGUAAAUAAUUCAGAUACUCUUUCAGCAUCUCGGGAUUCUGCAUGAUCUGCUUUAUUAAAAAGUUACUGGCUGUUUCUUCGGAUGCCAUUUCCGUCACUUUUUCUUUGUCUCUUUUUGGAGUGAGUGGAGUUGGUGUAGUGGUUGGAAUGAUUGUUGACUGUCUUGUCUCCUUUUGAGUAGUGGUAGUAGCUGUCCACUUUAAUUUGUCUCCAGUGGUCAGGAAUCUGAUCACAUUAGUUUGAUCGCCAAAUUCUUGAUUGAAUCCAGUCCACCAUUUUAUUUUGAAUUCUCUUACCAAUGACAUUGGUAGAGGUUUUUCUAGUUCUUGAUGAAUUUUGAAACUCCAGCAAAAUAUCCACGGUACUUUGAAUUCUAUGUGGAAUAAAAUUGGUCUUGUAUACUCUUCCCCCUUUGCUCUUUUUAGAUAUGUUUAAAAUCCCAUGAGAAUAUUUGGAGGUAGAAUCUCUGGUUGGGGUCCAAACCAUUUCCACCAGUGAUUGAACCAUAUUGGAAAUUCUUUACUGCAACUUUCUUUGAAUGUGAAGAACCAGGAAUGGUUGAAUGGUCUAAAAAGGAAAGCACGAUACCAUGCCAUUUUGUAAUCUUGAUAUGUAAAUCCAUCUGGAAUGAAGUUUACCGAAAAGGAUUUUUUAGAAUAAAGAGAAGUCCAUUCAUUAGGAGAACAAACUUUCUUUAUAAUACACUUGGAAUGACUAAUAAUGUUUGGAUUCUUUUUAUCUGGAAUGGGGUAAAUCUCUACAGAUUGAGUAUCUGUAAGGAUUAAUUCGUAAUAAUCUAAAUUUUUUGAAGGGUCAUCUGGUUGCCAAUAGCAUUUUGGAGGAAAGAUCCUUUGAGUAACUUGAUGAAGAGUAGAGUAUAUGGGUAUUUCUUGGAAUCUGGUUAAAGUAAUAUGUUGGGUAAAUGGCUUUGUGAAAUAAGUAUUUCCUUGAGAUUUUUCUGGGGAUUUUGCUAAUUGUUGAAUGGGUCUAAUUUGAGAAGCAAUUGGAGUAGCAGCUUGACUAUAAGUCAAUGCUGGGAAAUCUGAUAAGAGUUGAAAUCUAUUUUGAGUUACAGGAGUAAGACUCAUCUCAUAAUCUUGAGGAGUCUUUGGCCUGGAACUUCCUGCUUUUGAAUCCAUUUUCCUGCAAAAUUAAUAAACAACAUCUUUAAGUUGGUCAGCUAAUUGUUUGUUUUGUUCUUGAUAAUGUCGAAUAAAUUCGUCGUGAAGAAAAUCUCCACUUCUGCUUGCUCUUUGAUGAAUAUGAAGUCUAAUUGUGUUUUUCUGAAUUUCUCUUUGGAUGAUAAAGGCUCUUUCUUUUGGAGUAAUGGUUGCAUAGGGACUUUUGAGAACAUGUAUUUCAUCAUAUUUGGGAAUUUGAUAAGCUGGAAUAAAUUGUCUUCCAUUCGGAGUCUGAAUGAAAUAAACAUAUCCUCUGGAUAGAAUGGAUUUUUCUUUAUUUUUGAGGGGUAUUGAAUCUCUUUGAUUUCUCAAGUAAUUUGUAUAUUCACGAGCAUUUCUUUGAGCCAUCAUUGCUGGAUCCAUAUCCUUGAAGAAAUUCUCUAGUAAGAAAAUCUGGUAAAGAAUUAUUUUCUCCUUUAAUGAAUUCUAUAUCAAAAUCAAAUACAGAUAAGAUAGCUUGCCAUCUAGCAAAUAUUUGUUUUGAAACUAUAUUUUGAACAUCUUUUUGUAAAAUCUCUUUUGCAGAUGUACAGUCUAUUCUAAUUAAAAAUUUCUUGUUAUAUAAAUCAUCUUGAAAUUUUGAUAUGCACAAAACUAUAGAUAGAAUUUCUUUCUUAAUAGUUGAAUAAUUCUUUUGAGGGUCAGACCAUGUUCCUGAAUGAAAUCUAACUAAUUCUUCUUUUUCUCCUUUCAUUCUUUGUUUUAAUAUUCCUCCAUAUCCUAAUUCUGAUGCAUCUGUUUCUACUAUCAUGAAUGCUUUUGGAUGAGGUAAACAUAAACAUGGUAAUAAUUCAAUUUUUUCUUUUAAAUAUUUUAUUUUUUGAGUAUGUUCUUCUGUCCAAGGUUUUGGAUUUUUCUUUAAUCUAUUGAAUAAUAUAGAGCAUUCUUGUCUUAAUUUAGGGAAGAAAUCUGCUAUAUAAUUUAAACAUCCUAAAAAUCUUUGUACUUGAUUUUUAUCCUUUAUUUCAUCUGGAAAUUUUUUAGCAAAUUCUAAAGCUCUAUUUAUUGGCUUUAUGGUUCCUUGAUAAAUAUUAUGUCCUAAAAAUCUUAUUUUAGUUUGAAAUAAUUUCAUUUUUGGGGCUGAUAUUACUAAUCCAUUUUUCUUAGCUACUUUUAAAAAUAUAUUUAAAUGUUUGAAAUGUUGUUCUAUUGAUUCAGAAAAUAUUAAUACAUCAUCUAUGUAUACUAUACUGAAUGAACUAUAAGGGUUAAAAAUGUCAUUCAUUAUAUUUUGAAAUUCUGAUGGUGCAUUUUUUAAUCCAAAUGGCAUUACAUUCCAUUCAUAAUGUCCAAAAGGUGUGGUGAAUGCUGUUUUGUAUCUAUCUUUAGGUGUUAUUAAUAUUUGCCAAUAUCCUGAUUUUAAAUCAAAUUUUGAGAAUAUUUUUGCAUUAAAUAAUCUAUUUAGUGAAUCUUUCUUGUUUGGAAUUGGAUAUCUUAUCCAUUGUAAUACUUUAUUUAAAGGUUUAUAAUUUAUUACUAAUCUUGGAACUCCUCUUUCUUUUUCACCUUGAUUCAUAACAUAAAAAGCUGCACAACUCCAAGGUGAUUUUGAAGGUGUUAUUAAUUUUUUAUCAAUUAAUAUUUUUAUUUCUUUUUUACAAAAUUCUAGUAAUUCAGAAUUCAUUUGUAUAGGUCUUGCUUUUGUUGGAAUAUUCUUUUCAUUAAAGUCUUUUUCAUAAGGUAAUUCUACCAUAUGUUGUUUUCUAUCCCAAAAAGCAUUAGGAAUAUUUGCACAUACUUCUUUUCUUAAUAAUUCUUCUAAUUCUGAAAUUCUUUUUUGCAUUUUAUUUUCUUUUAAUUGUUCUUCAAUUUUUAAAUAAGAUUUUUCUUCUUUAAUAUAUCUUAUUUGUUGUUGUACUUUAGUAAUACUAUUUAUUGUUCUAUAGAUAGAAGAUGUCUGUAAAGUUUGUAAUUCUCUUUGUUUUACUGGAGUUAAAAAUCUAAAUGUAAUUGUUUUACCCAUUAUAUUUAUUGAAAUUCCUUCAUUACUUACAAAGAAUGGGUAUAUUUGAAUUAGAAAUGGUGUUCCUAUAAUUACAUCAUGAUUUAUAUUUUUUACAAUUAUGAAAUUAUGUCUAAUACAAUAAUUAUCAUUACAUAUUGAUCCUUUUGUAAAUUUAUAUUUUACUUGUAAAUUUUCUCCAUUUGCCGCCAUUAAAGUUUCUUUUGUUCUUUCACAAUAUUUAGUAGGAAUUAUUCCUUCUUUAAUGCAACUUACAUCUGCUCCACUAUCUAUUAGAGCUAUAUAAGUUUCUUUGAAAUCUUCUACUGUAAUAGAUAAAUAUCCUAAUAUAAAUGAUAGAAGAUUUCAAAGAAACUUAUAUAGCUCUAAUAGAUAGUGGAGCAGAUGUAAGUUGCAUUAAAGAAGGAAUAAUUCCUACUAAAUAUUGUGAAAGAACAAAAGAAACUUUAAUGGCGGCAAAUGGAGAAAAUUUACAAGUAAAAUAUAAAUUUACAAAAGGAUCAAUAUGUAAUGAUAAUUAUUGUAUUAGACAUAAUUUCAUAAUUGUAAAAAAUAUAAAUCAUGAUGUAAUUAUAGGAACACCAUUUCUAAUUCAAAUAUACCCAUUCUUUGUAAGUAAUGAAGGAAUUUCAAUAAAUAUAAUGGGUAAAACAAUUACAUUUAGAUUUUUAACUCCAGUAAAACAAAGAGAAUUACAAACUUUACAGACAUCUUCUAUCUAUAGAACAAUAAAUAGUAUUACUAAAGUACAACAACAAAUAAGAUAUAUUAAAGAAGAAAAAUCUUAUUUAAAAAUUGAAGAACAAUUAAAAGAAAAUAAAAUGCAAAAAAGAAUUUCAGAAUUAGAAGAAUUAUUAAGAAAAGAAGUAUGUGCAAAUAUUCCUAAUGCUUUUUGGGAUAGAAAACAACAUAUGGUAGAAUUACCUUAUGAAAAAGACUUUAAUGAAAAGAAUAUUCCAACAAAAGCAAGACCUAUACAAAUGAAUUCUGAAUUACUAGAAUUUUGUAAAAAAGAAAUAAAAAUAUUAAUUGAUAAAAAAUUAAUAACACCUUCAAAAUCACCUUGGAGUUGUGCAGCUUUUUAUGUUAUGAAUUAAGCUGAAAAAGAAAGAGGAGUUCCAAGAUUAGUAAUAAAUUAUAAACCUUUAAAUUUACAACUUUAAUUUAUAUACGUUAGUGGUCAAUACACUUCUAGUAAUAAGUUACUAUUACAAGUAAAUUCUGAAUUUACUUGUAGUAAUACCCUCCAAAUUAAUCAAGAAUGAUCUUAAAAAAGUUUAUCAACAAAAUAAUUAUACAAAUCAAAAUUCCCUAAUGAUAUUUCAGCACCUCAUUUUCAACCUAGAAGUCUGACAAGAGAAAAAGAAGAAUUAGUUAGAUUUCAUUCAGGAACAUGGUCUGACCCUCAAAAGAAUUAUUCAACUAUUAAGAAAGAAAUUCUAUCUAUAGUUUUGUGCAUAUCAAAAUUUCAAGAUGAUUUAUAUAACAAGAAAUUUUUAAUUAGAAUAGACUGUAAAUCUGCAAAAGAGAUUUUACAAAAAGAUGUUCAAAAUAUAGUUUCAAAACAAAUAUUUGCUAGAUGGCAAGCUAUUUUAUCUGUAUUUGAUUUUGAUAUAGAAUUCAUUAAAGGAGAAAAUAAUUCUUUACCAGAUUUUCUUACUAGAGAAUUUCUUCAAGGAUAUGGAUCCAGCAAUGAUGGCUCAAAGAAAUGCUCGUGAAUAUACAAAUUACUUGAGAAAUCAAAGAGAUUCAAUACCCCUCAAAAAUAAAGAAAAAUCCAUUCUAUCCAGAGGAUAUGUUUAUUUCAUUCAGACUCCGAAUGGAAGACAAUUUAUUCCAGCUUAUCAAAUUCCCAAAUAUGAUGAAAUACAUGUUCGCAAAAGUCCCUAUGCAACCAUUACUCCAAAAGAAAGAGCCUUUAUCAUCCAAAGAGAAAUUCAGAAAAACACAAUUAGACUUCAUAUUCAUCAAAGAGCAAGCAGAAGUGGAGAUUUUCUUCACGACGAAUUUAUUCGACAUUAUCAAGAACAAAACAAACAAUUAGCUGACCAACUUAAAGAUGUUGUUUAUUAAUUUUGCAGGAAAAUGGAUUCAAAAGCAGGAAGUUCCAGGCCAAGGACUCCUCAAGAUUAUGAGAUGAGUCUUACUCCUGUAACUCAAAAUAGAUUUCAACUCUUAUCAGAUUUCCCAGCAUUGACUUAUAGUCAAGCUGCUACUCCAAUUGCUUCUCAAAUUAGACCCAUUCAACAAUUAGCAAAAUCCCCAGAAAAAUCUCAAGGAAAUACUUAUUUCACAAAGCCAUUUACCCAACAUAUUACUUUAACCAGAUUCCAAGAAAUACCCAUAUACUCUACUCUUCAUCAAGUUACUCAAAGGAUCUUUCCUCCAAAAUGCUAUUGGCAACCAGAUGACCCUUCAAAAAAUUUAGAUUAUUACGAAUUAAUCCUUACAGAUACUCAAUCUGUAGAGAUUUACCCCAUUCCAGAUAAAAAGAAUCCAAACAUUAUUAGUCAUUCCAAGUGUAUUAUAAAGAAAGUUUGUUCUCCUAAUGAAUGGACUUCUCUUUAUUCUAAAAAAUCCUUUUUAGAGUAUCUAACAUGUUAUUGGACAGAAGAACAAAGGCUCUGAUUUGGAUUUUUAGAGUAUCUAUUGAAUAAUAUAGAGUAUCUAAAAAUCCUUUUUAGAGUAUCAACAACAAAUCAGCCAAAGGUUUACAUUCAUGCACAUUUACAAUAUCAUUCAAUCAAUAAUCAAUCUUCGAACUCAACUAAGUCGAGUGCGAUAAAGUACACUCCCGACUUAGAAGGCGAGAGACCAUUGAUAUACACAUCACAAUAAAUCACUAGUAAAAUUCAUAACAAGCACAUUUCUCACAUAAAUUCAUUUAAAGAAACAUAAUCAAUUAAGCAUAUACAUUCGACAACACUCACCAAUUAUCCAAAAAAACUAAUCUUGAGUCUCGAGUCGGUUUUUUGGUUCACAGCUACUUCCUGGACAAGUUAAUAAUUCUAAUGUGAAUAUCCAAUUUAUAUACAGCCACUCAUCUUAUACCAAUUUAAGAUUUAAAUAACUAAAACCCAAGUUCCUAAGCUUAUAAAACAAGGUUAAUGCACACAUAUAUCAAAUUUUAAGAUCUUAUAAAACAUUUGAGCUAAGAUUAAAUCAUUUCAUUCUAAUCCUAAUAAUUAAAGCUGGUGGAACUUUUAUUUCUUCCCUUUUUUAUUUCUAAUCCUAAACUAGACUCUAGUUUGCAUACUAUUCCUAUUUGUUCCACUUCACUAGCCCUUCAGGUUUUAAGUUCUUUAAAGUAUUCAAAACAAGGUCAAGAUGGUAUAAACUGUUAUAUAUAUAUAUAUAUAUAUAUAUCUAUAUGUAUAUAUAUGAUUACAGCAAACUAUCCUAGAAUUUUUCGAAAACUUCAUGGAAAAUUCAACUCUUCACUGUUUCGGUCAUCAAGCAAGAUUUCCAGCAAUAUCAAUUCAAGAUGUUCAACAAAGCUCCAUGGUCUACUUGUUUAAACACUAAACACUCAACAUAUUAUUUGACCAGCCUAAACUAUAGCAGAUAACCCACCAUUUCAGCAAGUAAUUCCACCAUGAACCUCAAAAUAAUUCUGUUAUUUGCUAACUAUAACUUUCAGCCAUAAGACAGUUUAAAGAUUCAGUUCUUUCUUCACAUUUUCUUCAGUUUUAACUCCAACACAACAUGCAAGGAAUGAUUAACUUAUCACAGAGUAUUUUAAGAUGCAAGAUAAUAUUUUCAACCAAAGAUUCAAAGUUAAUAUUAAACAAAGCUUUGUUUCCCUUCCUCGGCCAUAUUAGAAAGGCUUUAGCAGCCAAUAGCUUUUAAAACAAGAAAAUUCUCCAAUAAUCUCUUCAUUUUAUACCCAAUCUCACAUGCAUGUUCAGACCAAACUAUUAUGCAAUAUAUAUAUUACACUUAACAUAGAAAUUCAAUGCCAAAAUUCAUGAGGACUGCUAGAAACCUCUUCAUUUCCCUCUCUCGGAUGAUGCUGGAAAAUUCCAACAAGUUUUCUUCCUACGGUGUCAACCCAAAAUUCCAACUUUAUUCCAACUUUUCCCCAAGUUUCUUCAACUAAAAAUCUUAUAAUACCUGAGAUAACCAUAUUGCAUGCAUUUCUUACAUUAGUUUCCAUUUUACAAUGAUAACAGGCUGCAACUCAAGUUUUCAAUCCAGUUCCAAUUUUUCUUCUUUAUCAGAUUUCCCUUCGGUUAAAACUUAUUAUUCCUUGCUAAAAACUAACAUGCAGCCCAUAUAUUCAGUUAUAUUCAAGAAAUAAAAGGGUGGUUACAAGAUUCUUACCUUUUUUUUGUUAAGUUUUAAUAGUGGCAGAUUGCUUCUGCUCCUAGCUUCAGUUCCUCCUCACUAUGGUAGCUGAUAUGUGAAGUUGUAAGUUAGCUUCCUCCUCUUAUCACUCACUUAGUUCUCUUACUCACUCGAUUGUGGUUGGAAGGAACCAGAAAUGCUCCUUCACUCCCACUCUUUCUCACGGUUUCAGGUAUGAAGAAGAAAGAAAGCUUCGUUCUCUGUUUUCUUUCAUUAGUUUCCUCUCGGUUGAUAAUACCAAAGUAGCUAAUCACUCCAACUCCCUCUUCAGUCGGUGGUUGAUAGAACCAAAGUUUCUCCACUCGGCCUUGUUUCUAAGGUUCUGAUACUAACUGGUCGCAUGGUAGAUUAGCUAGGAUGAGAGGUUAGAUAGGUCAUUUGAUAUCCACUUAUUUUCUUACUAAGGGCUGCAAUUUUUAUUAAUUCACACAUUAACUCCCAACCUUAAUUGUAUUUCCUUGAUCUCGUAGAUUCUCAUACAUUUGGUUUUAAAAAAAAUUAGCUAGACAUGUAACUUAUUCAACAAUAAUAUAUUCAAAUUACACAAAUUACGGUGUGCAUACUAGAUGUUUAUUUGAUUCAUAUAAUUUUUUGUAAAAUUUAAAUUUAAACACUUAAUUAAUCUAUUAGUUGUUAUAUAUAAUACUUCUAAUGGCAAAAUGAAGGUAAUACAUGCAAAGCUUAUACAAAAUUUUUCUCGAGUUUUCACAAAUUGUAUCGUAGGUAUAAUUGCAUAUUCAGAUAUCCAUAUUCUCUUAGCAUUUGAUAUCAACAAUGCUUGGGACAUUGUAAAAUUGCAUGACCGCAACCAUGUCACUAAUUCUGAGCACAUUUAUCAUUCUCAAACCUGCAAAUUUUUCAAAUACAUAUUCAUAAGGGUAUGAAAUAUUAUUAACAAUUUAAUAUUUUGGUAUUUGUAAAACUUACCAACAGUGUAGGUAUUGAGCAAAAUUCAAGUAGCAAUUGACAUACAAUUUGCUUGCUCGAAUAAUAUAAAGUGACGGUCCUGCACAAUGUGCUAUAUUUAUUGAUAAACUAUAAAAAUUAAAUAAAAUAAAGUGAAAAUAAAUUGAAUUACCUUUAUAAUUUCUCAUACAAAUACCACAGGCUAGCAAAACAUUAUUUUUUGUAACAGUUUGACGCAAGUGUUCACCAUCAUCAGUUGCAAAUCUAUCACAAAAAGUCAACUGAACUACUGUCAAACUUCAUUUAGAGAAUUUUGGUAAGCAUAAAUCAAAAUUUGUAGAAUACAAAAUAUUUUAAAGAUAUUGAAUCUAUUAACUAACCUUUUGUCAAGUGUGAACCAACAGAUACAAUUAAACCAAUUACAUCUGCAAAAGAUCAAAAAGUAUAAUUAAUACCAGUUCAAAUAUACAACUUAAAUAGAAGUAUGGUUAAUUAUGAAUGAAAUACCUAUCAAUUGCAAAUCAUUGUCCAUGUGCUGUUCUGUAUCUCUUAGUUUGACCAGAUUAAACUUGAAACGGGGUAUGGUUCCACAAUCAUCUAAAAUAUUCACUAUCUUCAUAUCGUUUCCAAAUGAUAAUUGGUACUGAUGUGAUGUAAGCUGAUAUUUAAGAUCUGUCGGAAUUACAUAUAUAUUUUGAAACCAGUAUACCUUGCCUUCAUGGAGAUGAUCUGUGAAAAUGUUUAUCAUAUUAUUGACUCUUAUAACUCCCUGCAUGACAAAUUUCUAAUAGUUUUCAACAGAUUAGUAAAUAUUUAAUAUUCAAUAUAAUAAAUAACAUAUGCUCUUAAUUAUUACCUGAUCAUCUACAAAAAGCAUCUUGAUACAUCCCGAAUAUUGAAGCACUCCAUAUAUGGCCAUAUUUAUUAAUCGAAACAAUCUAAUCUUUAUAUUCUAUAUAUAUCCGCAAGGAUCUUGAUAGAGUAAAGGUGUAUAUCAAAUAUCUGUAAAUUAUUAUAAUAUAGCAUGAAGGUUAAUUAUUUAAACACUGUAGUUGAGACAGCAAGUAACAUAAAUUCAAAGAAGUACAAACAAAAUGUCAAAGUGUGAAGCAUAUAUAGUACAUAUAAUAUGAAGUAAAUAUACUAUUUUUUUAAACAAAGCGAUGUCCACAAUUUAUCAAAGGGAGUCAAAAAUCUCACGAUAUACAAUAUUUUUGUGUAAUCCCAUGGAUCAUUAUCGCUAUUAACAUUGAGUAUUUUCUAUCCAACUGGCGAAGUAGCACGGGACAGAGCAACAUAAAAUUGACUAUGUGAAAACACAGAUUCAAGAAGGUAAACGCCAACAUUUUUCAAUGUUUGGCCUUGACUUUUGUUGAUAGUCAUUGCAAAUGCCACUUUCAAAGGAAAUUGUCUCCUUUUAAUUGGAAAAGGAGUCCGUGCGCUUGCGGUGUUAAAGAGAUCCGAGGUAUGAGUACUAAAUCUCUAAUAUUAGAUCCUGUUAUGACUUCUGCCUCGAGGACUUUAUCCCCCAUUCUGGUAAUGACAAGUCGUGUUCAUUGCAAAGACCUUCUGACUGAUUGAGAUUUCUCAAAAGAAUUAUAGGAGUUCCUUCUUUAAGUUCCAAAAAAUGAUUUGGAAGUCUAGGAAAAUUCAAAGAGUGCAACAUUUCAGGAGGAUUCAUAUUUUCAACAAUGUCACCUUCAGUAUUGCAAAAAGUAUCAGCCCUCAUGUAGGUACGUGAUUGUCCAAUCAUUCAACUUGUCAACAUCACCAUUUUUUUGGAGCCAAAAUAGCACGUUCAUUGAGGUAAGUGCUAUUUUCCUAUGAAUUUCUCAAAUUUGGAUAGACAGAAUCUAUUAACCGCAUCAAAGAUUGAUUGUCAUUUUUUUAUAAGAAAUUGCGACGGCAUCUGAAUCCAAUUUGAUUCCCCAAAUUCAGUAAGUUGCUGAAACCUUUCCUUCACCAAUAGACAACAACCAAUUUACAAAAUCUGUCAAUUGCUGACGCAUAUUUUCAGGAUGACGUAAAUUCAUUACACGCAUAUUUAUUUUAAGAUGCAGUACUCUACAGUGAUCCGAAAUCGUUGAUUUUUUUAUUGUAGCUGAUACUGUUGCUUCUCUCCUACCUUUAGAAACAAUCGAUAAUGUUUGUUGAAAAUCACCGCCCAAAACAAUCAAUUUUCCUCUGAAAAUACGAUCCUCAAAAUCAUUUUCACUCAAUUUUAAGAUAUCCUUUAAAGUUCUAUCCACCGCUUCAAAUCCAUGCUGAUGUGUCAUUGGAGUUUCGUCCCAAAUUAUCAAAGAUGUCUCUCUAAUUAAUUUGGCUAAGUCAGAAUUUUUAUUGAUUGAACAACUUGAUGACUCAUCCAAAUUAAUAGGAAUUUUGAAACGUGAAUGUGUUGUCCUUCCACUGGUAAGAGUAUUGCAGCAAUACCUGAUGAUGCAACUGAAAGAACAAUUUUUCCCUACGAUCUAACUCGAGCAAUCAAUGUUCUCCAUAAAUAAGUUUUACCCGUCCCACCACUUCCAUACACAAAAAAUAGUCCUUCGUGAUUAUGUGUGUAUGAUUCCAUAAUAAAAUCAUAUGCUUUCAAUUCAUCCUCAUUCAAACUUACAUAUAAAUUAUCAAAUAAUUGCUGCUCUGAUGUAAAAUCAUAAUCACACUCUUCUCUUAUAAGUCUAUUCAUGAAAAACUCAGCAUUUUCAAAUGACAGCAAUGGCAUUGGUGAAAAAUCUCAUAAAGAUCGACCAUUUUUAUUAAAAUGAGUUCGAGUUCAACUAAUCCCAAAUUUUGUAACUCAUCGUCAUCAAUGCGUAUUUGAGAGUUUUCAAUAUCCCUUCUGAUCUGAUAUUGCAAAUCAUCUGUUAUACUUUUCCAGUGACGCUGCCAUAUAUUAGAAGGGUUAGUUAUCUCAGAAUGCAUAAGUAUUGUACAAUACAUGGUUCGUAAUUUUUUGGCAGAUGCCCGUGUAGAUGCUUCAGCUAAAGUUUCGUUCCACUCAUUAUUAUCAUCUAGAAGACCAAGUGCUACACAUGUAGCUUUGAAUGUUAGAUGCACAACUCCAUUAAUAAUUCUCAAAUGUUCAAAACUUCGUGCACCACGAAUUGUGUGCAGCAACAUUCUCAAAUAGUAUCGCUCACCAGAAUGAGGAUGUGCAUAUGGUAGCUUUCCAAUACACCUACCUUGCAAUCUGGACUCCCAUUGGCGUUUAUUUUGGUUCCAAGUCCACUUACUCGGAAACUCCACAAAUAUCAAGUUUCUAGCUGAAACAUCGCUCUGAUUUAUUUCAAACCAUUUCGUCAGCAUUGUGUCAUGUAUGUGAUCACGAUCAAGAACGUCAUAAAGAUGAUUAUCAUCAUUAAAUAUCACAAAUUGAUGAUCAGGAAGAUGAUACUGCAAUCAAAUCACUGAUGGAUACUGUCUCUGCAUUUUGAAAUCAAAUAUCUUCCAACAUGACUCAAUUGGCGAUAAAUAUCAACAAUCUAAGUAUUGUUUAAUCUCAUCAACGCUUCUGUAACGACGAUGACCAUUUUCAUUUGCAAGUACAACGUUAUUCUCAAUUUGAACAUUUGCUCUAUCAACCCCCUUACUCAUGUACUUGUACAGAUAUUUAGUGAUUUCUGGACGUGCAACUUUGGUGACAUUGAUAUGACCAUCAAACAUCACAAUCAAAUCUCGAUUGUAAGAAACAACCCAUCUGUUGUCAAAUGUAAAACCAUUAAAGUUACCCUCUUACUUGGAUCAUCUCUAUGUCUGUAUGAUACAAAUCCAUCUUCAUCAAUAGUGGUUUCACUACAAAAUUUUUUUGGAUAGUGUUUAGAGCACUUUCCAUUCACCAUACACGGAGCAUUUGGAUAAGUAUCACCACAUGGUCCGUGUAACAUACCCUUGAUGACCGUAUCAUAAGCUAGUGUGUCAAUAUUUUUAUCAGGUAUUUCAGCACAAAUGAUAUCAUCAAUUUGUUCUGGAGUAAGGGGUUUAUCAUCCGGAGCUAAUGUUAAAGUGAUAUGAGUAUAUGGUAAACCACGUUUUUGAAAUUCAAUGACAGAGAUGUCUGCACAUUAUGGAAGUAAUCUUAGUGUAUAGCAGAAUAUAGGGAUUGGAAGAAAGAAAUUAAUGAUUUAAAUAAAGUAAAAUUUGUACCUGCAAGCACUUUUCCAAAUAGUUGGAUAUUUUUAAAACAUCCAUCAAUUUCUUUUGUCUUAUCCGAAAAACUCGAGCCGUAAUAUCGGGUUUGUCCUCAACUUUCUGUCCCGAUAUUCUUGUCAACUCUUGUUUAAUUUCUGGCCAAUUGGGAUUGCAAGUAAAUGUAAUGAAAAGAUCUGAAUUUCCAAUUGUCCUACAAAUUGUCAUCGCAUUCUGAAAAUGUUGUACCAUAUUUUGAGAUCCACCCGAAAAUGAAGAUGGUAGAACAAAUCUCCUUCCAACUAAUGAUGCAUCUGUAUCUCCAGCAAGUACAGCAUCUUCUAAACCUUGAUAUACAUUAGCAUGUAAUAUAGAUUGAUGGGUUUUCAUAAAAUUUAGGGUAAAAUACAAGAAACCCCCUUGUGGUUUCGCGAAAAGACAUCUUACUCCCCUAUUAUUUAAAAACCUCCACAUAAACACCCUAACUUUCAUAACUAAAGUGGAAAUUACCUUUUGAACCGACUGAGUUACUGGCAGCAGAUCAAAUACUCUCGUCUAACCCGUGGCCUACUAAAUUAGUAGGAAUUGACAAUCCAAUGUAUAUCCAAAAAUGUAAGCUUGAAAGCUUUGCCUUGGAACUUUGAAUCAAAUGCCAAUGCAAGUAUUAAACACACACACACUCACGGUGGCAAUUGUUUUGCUCUUCUCAGUUCUCCCCUGCCCCCAACCCUACCCUUAACCCAGAAACGAUAAAAGGAAACCCAUUUUUUCUAGCUUCCCACCUCAAACAUAACUCCACUGGAUUACGAUGGUAUAAUUCCCUUUCCCCUACUGCCGUUACUCGUCAACAGAUUACCGACAGCCCUGACUGGAGCAUUCAUUCUAAACCUAUGGAGCCAUCUCAAGUUGUUGGCCAUGGGAGCACUCGCCCAUCUGGGAGUCUACAAUCCACCCCCUGACCACCAAUAUCAUUCUGCCGACGAUUCCAACAAUUACAUCUUCAUUUUUUAUGAGGGCACCUGCCCAUCCCUCGUCCGCAUUCUCGUUCAUGUCGUCGCCGCUGCCAUCAAGACUAAAGUCCUGUACUCCAAUUUCAAGAUUUUCUGCUUUUACAAGAAGGGCGAGAGCCAGAAGCAGAGGAAGAAGCAGAAUCAUCAACCUCAUCAUCAUCAUCACCCUCAUCCUCACCCUCACACGACUGGGACAGAAAAGGUGAUGAUAAUAUUUUUCCGCAGAAGAUGUGCACCAUCUGCUUUUCUUACCAUCAUUUCUUCGUGGAAACGAAUAAGUUCCUAGGCAAUCUCCUCAGUUGUAGCUUCAAUCUCGAGGCAGAAGUCCAUAUUCUUCUCCUCAUCUGUAGCGGCAUGACCACUCCCCUUAUGAGUGGAUUCCCAAAUUUUUUCCAAAAAUCCCCAAUCAAUAAUUGAGUGGGCACUCAAUUCUGUGUUUACUACUACUACUGCUGAAGAAAAUUGAUCCCUUGUUCUCUGAGAUCCGAUUUUAGAGUGUUAAAAUUGUCAUUUUAGAGUUUGUCUACCAUUUUGCCAUCUUUGAGGAAGAAAAUCGUAUGAGUGGCUAUGAUUUCCCAAGCAUUACUGAGGCCCUGUUCCAAACUAAUCUCGCACACCCAUCGUCACUAGGUUACACACCCGGUUACAGGUCAAUUUCCGCUUUAGUUAUGAAGUUUAGGGUGUUUAUGUGGAGAUUUCUAAAUGAUAGGGGGUAAGAUGUCUUUUCGCGAAACCACAAGGGGGUUCCGUGUAUUUUACCCUAAAAUUUAAUCUGUAGUGUUCAAUAGCUACAUAACAAUCAACAACGAAUUGUUGAAAUAGUUUGGCACCUUUCAAAAGUGUAUGGCCUUCAUUUUGUCGAAAUUGCAUACAAUACGCAUAGAAUUCGCGCAUCGACACAAAUUCUUUCUUUCUAACGGCAAAGGGUGAAAAUCUUAUUGCACAAUGCCAUCCGUCUGUUCCAUAUGGAAAUAGUAAAGGGUAUUGAAGUGGCAUGUAUGAUGGAUGUGUCUCACUGAUUCUUUUCAAAUUUUCAUCUCAAGUGACAAGCACAAUAUUACGGUGUGUGACAUGUCCAGUAUCUUUACCGACAAUCAAAGCAGCAACUUCAUUUGCAGUUGGUUGGAUAUAUUGUCUGUCACCUCGAGCACUAAUUAUCUAUACUUGCAGAUUGACAAUAUUUUGAUUUCGAAGCAUGUCUCUUGCACUUCGAAAAACUUGUACAUAUGGAUUUAUUUCAUCUAUCAUAUUUUGCAAUCCUUCAACUAUUGAUGCAUCAAUCCCAAUUGGAUUGCCAUCAUGACUGUUUAGAAGAUUCAUAUGAUUCUGCAACUCAUUAUCGGUAUCAUGAAUGUAUAAUUGUAUGAAUCUACCUAAUUCUCCAAGAGGUGGCAAAGACUAUCCGAUUUGAUGAUAAUUUUCUCCACUAAUUCGAAAUGAAUACAGUCCGAUAGAAUUGACUACAAAAUGAUCUAUUUUGCCUCCCGUGGAUGUAAACCUGAAUAGUGCAUUCAGCAAUCGAAUCUUCUCUUUCAAUGUUGGAGUCGUAAAUAUAUGUUGUAAAACUUGGGGAGUUUGAGGCAAUAACGGUAAAACAACAUCCCCAUCUUGACAACAUAAAUUGAAUCUUGGAUUUUGUUUUGUACUACUUUGAAUUCUUUCUUCCACCCACAUUAGAGAUUGACAUUUGUGACAGAUUACUGUUCUUAGACCAAAUGUCCAUCUUCUUGUGAUUCUACAUCGUCGUCGCGUUCGGCCUAUUUGGUCUAAUUGAUUGAUGAAAUAAGUAUAAUAAAGUACAUACCUAAAACUAAUAAAACUAAGUAUGAAAGACAUAAUGUAAAGUUGUUGUAUGAAAAUAAAGCACAUAAUAUUUGUAUGCCUAAGAACAUAUAGCAAGAAAUAUUAAUUAUGGUAACAUGAGAAAAGUAUUAGUAGAUUACUGAUUUGUUCUGCUCCAGCUGUUUUAGUAGACACAAUGUCUUGUGUAGCAGGAACAAAUUCUUCGGAUGAACCUGUAUGUGUAAUGGAUUUUAAGAAGUCAAAUGCAAAAAAUAAAUUGAAAGAAAUUGAAUUGCAUAAAUAAUAAUUGAUUACUUAGUCAAGAUACAUGAGAAAACUUGGACAUACCAUCAUCGAGACCAUUAGAUGAUGACGUAGGUGUAAUAGGAACUUCAGUAGUUGGUGAGUCAUUAUGCAAUUCAUCUACCAUUAUGUAAUAUAGAAAGUUAAUAUAAUAAUGUAGCGCGUUAAAAACAUUAAUGGUUAAGCAUGAAUUUGAAAUUGUGGAAAAAUUUGAAGUUACCAUGAUCAUGGUGAAUCGCAGCUGCAGUCGAUGGAUGUUGAAGUUGAAAAGAUGUUGAGUAAUCAUUUGUUUGAUCUAAAAGUAUAUUAAAAUAAUUGUAUUAAAAGACGUAUUAAAUUAAGUUACAAUUAUUAAUGUAAUACUCAUAAAAAAUGUAAUGAUCUAAUAUACUGUAUGAAUAUUAUAAAGGACCAUGAGUAGUCUGAUGUAAAACCAUAGUAAGAUCUGAUGAACAUAGCAAUACUUGUUAACACAAAUUACUUUAUGUGCAAAGAUUAGAAAUAUUGAAAAGAAGUAUUUUAGAUUGAAAAAAUAAUUUUUUUUAAUUAAUGAAUGAUAAUAUGUGUAUUUAAUAGUCAGAUUUGUGGAAAUUUAUCCUUAAUUUGGUAAUGUUUAUGAUAGUAGUUAGUAAUGUUUUAUGUUUGAGAAAUUAUUUAGUGGGUGAAAUUGAUGUACAAUGUGAAGCUUGAUUGAGAAAAUUAAAAGUUUUGAGUCACUAUAUUUUUAUGGUAUGUAAUUAAACAUUUAGAAUAGUAAAAAAUAUUUUUUAUUAUGUUAAUUAUUGAUCCAAACAAAUUGGCAAUUUUGGUAGUAGAAGCGACGAUAUAUUUAUGUGAAUCUAUGAUAUUAGAUAAGAUUAUAGUGAUCCAAAGAAAGGUGAUCUUUUAUAACUUCAAGAUAAGAUUGCAGUGAUUUGAAAAAAGAUUAAAGUUUAUAACCUAUCGAUUGCAUCUUUAGUGUUCAAUUUUAGCAUGAAUCAUAUAACCUCACGGUUGCAGCUUUACUAUCCAUACCCCCAAAUACUGGUCACCUAGUACUUUCGCACAUUACUAUGUAGUAAAUGACUUUCGAACCUAUUCAUUAUGGUUGACUACUGCACAUGCAAUAAUAGUUUUUAGUACUAUUUGUUAACAUGUAAUAUUUUAACAAAGCAAUUGGGUAGCUUUUGGUAGUAUUUAUUAAAGUGCUUAUAAGCAAUUGGUACUCUUUCCACAUUCUUAUAAACAAUAAAAACAAUAAUAAUAUUAUAAUAUUCAAAAUAUUAUUAAUACUUAGAAGUACAAUAAAAAUGCCAAUGUUUAAAGAAUAAAUAAUACCAAAAUUUGUAACUUGAUUCUUAUGAACAAUGAAAACAACAAUAAUAUUAUAAUUGUCGCGCCCCAUUUUUUGCGAUGCAAAAAUAAAGAUAAAAGGAGUUUAUAAAAAGAUGUGAUUUAUUAAUAAUAAAUGAAAAAGGACCUAGAAUGGGAGUUAAAAAAAUGCGACAAUUUGGGUCCAAAAUUUAGUCCAAAAGGGUUUUUAAGGAAAAUAGGAGUCGCCACUUGGUAUGGAGUUUUGGUGUACCAAGUCACCCAAAAAAUAAAGUAAAAUAAAAUAAAACCCUUUUGACAACUCCAGGUCUUUGAAAAAAAAAUAGAGAAAAUGGGUUCGGGGGUCACGAUUGAAGAAAGGGAAGGCAAAGGUUUGAUUAAAUCAAACCUAAGGCACCCUUUCAACCUAGUCUAAGUUAGUUGCGAGGUUUAGUCAAAAUUUUCCUAAUCUAACCCUUAAUUUUAUCACAUUUGGAUGUUUCCUACAUGGAUGCAAUCUAAAUUUAUAAAAAUAUCGAAAGGGACAAAAUGUUCAUUGAAGGGUUUAAUUGAACCAAUUGCAUUAAUUGCAAAUGCCAAAAUAAUUCCUUGAAGGUGCCACGAGUAUGCAAAUGAUGAAAUUAAAAGAAAAGAAAUUAAAUUAAAUUAUAUACAUAGAUAUAAGUGAUUGAAGAAAAAAAUGAAUGCAACAUAAAAGGUACGGGAGGCAAAAACUCGUGACAUGAUUUUCUUUGUAGACACCAAAUUUUGAAUUAAUGCUUUGUGUUUAGAUGAUUUGCGUUUUAGUUCAUUAUGUGUUUGUCUAGCCCUUUUAGGUUUUAUUUUAUUUUAGUUUUAUUCCCUUUUUAGUUUUUAGUUGUUUUUGUAGUUUUUAUUUUGUAAGUUUAGCGUAGAAUUUUUAGAGAAAAAGAAAAAAAAGGAAAAGUGAAAAAUGAAAAAAGGGGAAAAAGAAAAUCAUGAAAAAGAGGGAAAAAGGAAAAUUGUUCACAAAAAUACGUUCAAAUUCAAUCUUUUGGCAUUUCGGUUUAUUUUUGUUAAUUUAUUUUUGAAAAAUGGAAAUGAUGAAAAAUGGAAAAAUGAAAGAAAAGGUCGAAAAUGGUAAUUUUGUUAUUUUUAGUUUGUUUAUUUUGAUUAAAAUUGUUGUUUUGUUAUUAUUUAGUUUUAUUUAGUUUACUAUUAUUUUUGUUAAAUCAUUAAUUUAAAAAAAAAAAAAAAAAAGAGAGAGAGAAGCCAAAAGCUGCAUUUUUGCCGCAGCUUGCAAAUGAAAGUUGCGGGAGGUCCUGGGGGAAAUUUUUGGCUGAAGAGGCCAGGUGUCUAGGACACCUGGAGGGGGGAUGAAUCUAGAAGGAGGGGGGCUAGGUUUUUGAGCUAACAGAGAGAGAGUCGGUGGGCUAAGGAACCAGGGGAAGUGACGGCCGCAAAAAAAAUCUAGAGGGAAAAAAGGAAGAAAACAGGCUGAGGAAAGGAGAGAGGUUACCGGAAGAGGCUAAGGGUUCAAAGGGGGCGGCUGAGAAGAAAAAUCUGGAACGGCUAGGAGAGAAACGAUAGAGAGGGUUUUGGAACAGCUAGAAAGAAAACAGCGGUAGAGAAGAUAGGUUUUGGAACAAGGGCUGAGAGGUCUUUGACGGAAAAAGAAAGAACGGAAGAGUCUGGGCGGCGGAAGGAAGAAAAGACCAGAGGAAUAGAAAAAUCUGAAGAGCAACCAGAGAGUUUGAUCCUGGGGCGGUGAGCUCCGCCUCUGGAGCCUUCUAUCUGGCACCACCUCCACCUUCAUCAUCAGUCCACCGCUGUCCACUCUUGCAACUCGCAUCUGCCGCCUCUGCUGUCCGUCAUUUCAACUCCCGCCGCCACCUUAGCCAUCAAAGCAGCCGGAGCUUCUACCGCUACCUUCACCAAGCCGUCUACCAUCAGCGCUUCCAGAGUCUCUCGUCAGCUGUUUCUUCAUCGGCUCCUCUUCCGUAGAUGACUUGAGCAGCGACGGCAGCGGAGGUCUCUAAUUCACCAAGCUGCCACCACCAUCAUCACCUGCGAAUUGUCAUCCCGAAAGCGCCGUAAGCUACCUUUCUUGUUCCCCCCCUUGAAUUUCAGUUUUGCCUCAGGCACAAAUGUUCAGAGUAUGUUUAUUUUUCUCUUUUCUGUUCUGGUUCCUUGCGCUAGAAUGGUUAUGAGUUCGGUUGGAAUAAAUGUUGAUGUUUUCUUUGCUGCAUUUUUUUUGUUUUCCUUGAUGCUAAAACUGAUGUUUGGAGGCACGUGGGCUAGGUGGAUAAAACAAAUAAGUUUUGUACAAAGUUUUGGCUUCUCCCUUGUGCGAGUUGAGCUGCAAAGUUGCAGCAGAAAAUUGCAGCAGGAAAAUGCAGUGUCUUGCGUUUUUUUUCUGUUUCUUCCCUAUGACUGCAGUUGGUUAUUGGAUGUUAAGGUGUUGUAUUUGGAUUAAAGCUGUGUUUUUUGCACUGAAAUCUGGUUUGCUUGACAUGGAAUGCAGCUGUUUCUGGCGCAUUUCAUAACAAAAAUACAAUGGCAGCAAACUUCAUUUUUGUUCAUGGUGUGUUUUAGAUUUGUUGGAAGGAAUCGAUUCCCUGGUUGCUGAAAUGUUUGAUGUUUAAAUGAUAGUUAGCUCACUUGUAUAUUAUAUGAAUCUGCUUUGCUGAAAUGGUGGAGUCUUUGUGCAUAGAGAUGUGCAUCAGAUGUUCAUGUAGGAACCCAGCAAAUAGAAUUACCGAAAUCUGCUAUGUUGCAUGCAUGAAAUGUUUUCUGAAAUUGGACUUUAGCCCCCUAAGUCUCCCCGUGUUCCACUAAAACCCGAUAAAUUGAAUAACUUCAUCAAUUGGGUCCUUGGUAGUUUUAACUUUUGCAACUUCAUUGUUUGUGUGAUUCAAUUAGUCGCCUUGCUUCAUUUAAUUUGCUAUUAAUGCAUGAACUUAAGAGCUUUGCGUCCAAGUGAGAUUAUGUUUGCCUAUUUUCUUUAAUUUCUCUUCAAAUAAAUUGGUACCUUGACCAUUUCUUUUAUUUUGGAGGAUAAAUAAGUGAUUUCACUCCAUGUAGAGCAUCAAUUCAAGGUGGCGGUAUAAUUUCUUUUAUCCCUCUUUGUGUCUUUCCUAUGUGACCCAACGUGCUAAGUGCAUUACAUGUCUACUUUGCUUUCCUAGCUUUUCUUUAAUUCCUUUUACUUAUGUCAUUUACUUUUUGUUUUCAUUAAGUUAUUCUUUUAAUGGGGUAUGUGUACACCCCUUGGCUUGUAAUAGAUAGGGCUGUGGCGAGCAAUUUGGUCCAUUUUCCCUUUCCCCUUUUGUUUUAGUUAGUGAAUGUAAUAGGUUCAUUAGCUUGAUUGCAUGCCUACGUGUUAAGUGUUAAUUUGCUUUGUUAGGGCCUUGCAUCUAGUCGAGUAUGCUAAAUGUUAUGUGCUAUGUGUUUAUGAGUAUUUGGCAUGUCUACUCGCUUCCCAUAGCCAUGAAUGAAUGUGAUGGAUGAAUGUACGUUUCCGCUAGUCCAACGCUAGUCGGAAUUCAUAGAAUGGGCUAGUCCAACGCUAGACCCUUAGGAAUUUUCCCUCGUUAGCAUAUCAUUUGCUUGUUCACCACAUAUCACGCAUUUUUCCUUAGUUUUAUCAUUUGGCAUGAUCCUCGAACCCCUUUUCCUCUCAUUUUAGGUUUUGCAUCCCAUACUAGCUAUAGGGUUCAUUUUGCUUGAGUGUCCCCUUAAAUAUGGGAUAUAGACGAGUGUGGCUUUUUCUAAGCCUUAGCACGCUUGUAUUCCCUCUACAAAAGGGUAAAUUGAGUCACGAUUUAGGUCUCCCCGUACCCAAUAUGCGUGCAUUCCCUAGGCUCAUGCAUUCUAAAUCCACUCUAUCAUUACACUUUCAUUUUAUCCCUCCAUUUGCACACGUACACCUUUUAUCCCUUCAUUUGCACACGUACACCUUUUAUCCCUUCACUUACACACGAACACUUUUAUCAUCACUUGCACACAUGUACUUCAUAUUAUCAUUUCACACACCGCACCUUGCCCACUCACGUGCACAUUUUCACUUACAUAUUAUUGCCUUUUAUUACAUUUUUUUUCAAACUCAUGUCCUCACAUUGCAUACAUGCAUUCCAUUCAUUUGCAUCGCACUCGCAUUAUUCGUGACUUCUUCAAAAGGAUCGUUAUUGGGCUUCACAAUUAAUGUGAUUGGCACCAUUCAACCUUUGAAGGGAAAUUUCCCCUAAUACCCCUAGGUCUAGGGUUUGCAUUCAUGUAGUGCAUCCAAAUGUAAUAAAUUCUUUGGUUAAAACAAGAAAAUCUUUGAUUAAAUCAACGCAACUAGCCUUGGCUAGGUCGAAGGGGUGCCUUGGAGUUUAUCCUUGCCUUCCCCUUUGUCAAAUGUGACUCCCGAACCUUUUUCUUUGGUUUACGUGGACUAGGAGUCGUUUAAAAGGGGUUUCUUACUACUUUUUCCUAAUUUUUUUCUUAAAAAUUCAUUUUUGGGUGACUUGGUACACCCUAACUCUAUACCAAGUGGCGACUCCAUUUUUCAUAUAAAAAACCCUUUUUGAACUAUUUUUCUUGGGUCAAAUCGUCGCAUUUUCAAAAGUCCCAUUUAGACCCAUUUUUUUCUUUUAAAUCACAAAUCCAUUUUUCAAACCAUUUAUUUAUUUCAUCAAAAAAUGGGGCGCGACAUUCUUAUACAGGGAUUAAGGGGAUAUUUAAACUAAAAAAUUAUAAUCACCCAUUUCCCAUGUUUGAAAAAUAUUUCUCCUAAUAUGCACAAGCAAAUGAGCUAACUUAUUAUACAAUGUCCUAAAUGAAAUGCAAUUCUAAAUGACAUGAUUAGCACCUAUAGCGGGUAGGGGAUAAUAUAAUAGGGGAAUAUCAUACAAAUGAGAAAAGAUCCUAAAAAUGAAAAUAUGCAUGAGAAUGCAGUGAAUAACACACAAAGAUGAAUCUAGCGCAAGACGACCUAAAGGGUCUAGCGUUGGACUAACCCAUUUCUAAAAUCCUUACUAGCGUUGGACUAGCAAGUAAGCGGAGGGGAAAAGCCACAACUAGCAUUGGACUAGUGUGGUGACGUCGUGCAUUAACAAUUCAUAGUGAAACAAAUAAAGCAUAAAUUAAAACAAAUAAACACAUAAGAGCAUGUAGCACAUAACACAUAAGCAUAAUAUCUAUAUGCAAAAAAAAAAAUCCUAAGGAAAGUGGGUAAAACACGUAACACAUAAGCCACAUAAACACACAACCUAUCUAUUAUAUCGGGGAAUCUAACUACAAUCUAAAAUGGGAAAGGUAUGGUAAAAUAAAAUUAGUUAUCCUAUCUAUUACAUUUUUUUGAGGUAUUUAAAUGCCUCUCAAAUAAUUAUAAAAAAUUAACUAAACAAAUAUAAUAUAAGAAAAUUUAAAUGAACAUUUAAAUCCAAUAAAUAAAACAUAUAAAAAUAUAUAAACACAUAGGAACACAUAGGAGCACAUAAGAGUACGUAAUUGACAUUGAAAUAAUAAAAAUAGGGGUACCUCCCGUUCGAAGUGGUGACUAAAUGGAGUCAAAUUGUCCUAUUUAUACUCACAAUGAACAAAAGAAUCACGGCACCAAUUUAAUUGAAAAACAAUAAUAAUAAAAGUACUAAAUUCACACUAAUAUGUCAAAUAUCAAAUAUAAAGAAAUUUAAAACAUCUAAAAAUUACAAGUCGAAUAUGUUCAUAAGUAACAUAAUUAGUUAUUAAAGAAAAGAAACAAUCAUAACAAAGAGAGCCAAAAUUUGCCAAGGACUGAAUUGCAAAGAUUGAAAAACUUUUGGGGACGAAAAUUAUAAUUUUUCCAAAGUUCAGGGGUCAAAAUUAAAUAAAAGAUAAAAUUCAAAGACCAAAGUACAAUUAAUUUAAGGACCUAAGUGAAUCAAAUUUAAAAUGUUCUGCGCUGAAGUAAAAUUACCCCAAAGAUCAGGGGCCAAAGUGCAAAUCGUAAUCAGAUCUUCUUAAGAAAACAGGCCACUGGACCAUUAUUUUAUUUUCUUGGGCCGAACACUACCCAAGCCCAGUCGAAAGUCCAAGUCAAAACACAUAGGUCAGCCCUGUUUUCAUCACUCAAACCCAACCAAAAAAUGCAUGGGCUCUGACCUUUUAGCCCAACCGAAAACCCAAAAGAAAUAAACAGAGAUCCAUUUUCAAAACCCAACCAAAACUAACUCUUGGCCCAUCAGAAAAAAAAAACAUUAGCCCAAUUUCCUUUCUUUUCUUUUCUUUCUUCUUUUGUCUUUCUUUUCUUUCUUCCCCGUUCGUUUCUUCUUCUCCUCUGGCCAUCCGAAACUCACUCCAGUUGGCGGCCAUGGUGGUCGCCGGUGGCGCCACCGCCGCCACCGCCUCCGGCGGCGGUCGCCGGCGACUUCUCCGGUCAUCAAAAUUUUUCAAAAUAUAAUUCCCCACUCCAUUUUUCGCGUAGAUUUCAUUUCCGGAUUUAGUUUUUAUAAAAAAUGAGCCGAAAGUGGUCAAAAUGCCAAGAAAUCAGUUCAGUUUUUAUUUUUUUAAAACCCUCACAUCUUCACCAAAAAUCAUAAAAAUUAUACCAAAACCCUCCUGAUAACUUCUACAAUACAACUAUAAUCUUAGUUUGACAAGUAAACAACAACAAAAGAAUGCAUUAAAUCAAAACAGCCCCAAAAAUGAAGAAAAUUAUUCUAAUGCUUUUAAGGCUCAAAAACUCCCAAAAUUUUGGAUAACCAAGCAUUUUCAGAUCUUGGCUAGCUAAUGGUCUUCCAUUUAAGCAAAACAUACACGCCAAAUUCACUUCUUUGAUUCAUUUUUUCAUUUGGACAUUUUUUCAAACAUUUGGCAUGCAUUCACAGCACCGUUUCUUUUUUUCUAAUUUUGUUCAGUGACCCAUCCCAAAAUUUUAUCCAUACAACACCAACAAAAACCAGCAGAAAUAAGCAAUAAAAAGGGUAACCACACAUACAUUCAAUCUAGUUAAUUAAAAAAGAAAAGCUGGAAAAAAGGGAGAUAAAUACCUCAAUGAAGAGUUUGGUCCCUUUGCCAAGAUUUUUGAUGAAAUUGCCAAGCUCCAAUCCAACCGAUUGCUGCCUUGUUGUGUGCAAAUGUGUUGGAAAAAAUUUGGGAGAGAGGACAGCUGAGAGGGAGAGAGGAGUUUUUCUCUUUUUUUUUCUUCUUCUUUUCGGUCCAACCCAGAGAGAGAGCCGAGAGCCUCCCUUUUAUUUUUUGUGUGUUUUUUUUUUCUCUCCCCUUUUCUAGAGAGAGCCCAGAGGGACUUUGUAGCAAAAAAUGGGGCUUGUGUGCUGAUUUUGCCAAAAUGAUGAUUUCUCAACUAAUGAAAGGACAAGUCCAUGGCCAUUGAGUGUGAAAUGGGUUAAUAAUUAAUUUGGUUAAACAAAAUGAUCAAAAAUGAAUUUUUUUUUUAUUUUUUGGUUUUUGUUGUUUUUUUUUUCAUAAAGCAAACCUGCAAAAAUGAGAAAAUGCACAUUAAAAUGCAAGAAAAUAAAUAACUCAUUAAAUAGGAAAAACUUGAGAAAAUAUUAAAAAUUGACAAAAAUUUGGUGUCUACAGCUUGCCCCUCUUUGUCUAGAAUUUCAAAGAAACUCAAGACAAAGACGUAGACACCAAAUUGCUUACCUGCCUUUUUCUAGCUGUACCUGAGCUAAAAUAAACAAGCCAACACUUGGCUGAAAUUAUUGGACAAAAUCAUGCAAUAACAUUGCAGAAAAAAUGAUCGAACCGAUGUAGAGUUGCUUACGUAUCCCACCAUGGGAAUCAGGUCAAACGUAAUUCGAUUGCAAGUGAACCACAAUGAAACAAGUGCAUUGACCAACUGUGAUCUUUGCAAAGUCGAAAAAGUCUGAGCUCUUAGAGCUUCACAAAAUGAAUGAAAAAGCACAAUUAUUAAUCAAAACAGUCAAGAAAAGUAACUUGUCAUAACUAGAAAAAGAUGCGCGGAGGGACGCGGUUACGCUCCAAGAAGGGGGAUAGAAGGGUGCGCGGUGAACGCUGACACUCACCAACAAAAAAUUAAAUUUGUCUUUUAGAAAAAAAAAUGCGUGGAGGGACGCGAUUACGCUCCAACAGAAAAUUAAAUUGUCAAGAAGGGGAGAUAGAAGGGUGCACGGUGGACGCUGAGACUCACCAACAGAAAAUUAAAUUGAUGUGCGGAGGGACGCGAUUACGCUCCAACAGAAAAUUAAAUUGUCAAGAAUGUGAGAUAGAAAGGUGCGCAGUGAACGCUGAGACUCACCAAAAGGAAUUUAAAUUGUCGAGAAGGGGGGUAGAAGGAUGCGCGAUGGACGCUGAGACUCACCAACAGGAAAUUAAAUUGAUGCGCGGAGGGACGCGAUUACGCUCCGACAGAAAAUUAAAUUGUCAAGAAUGAGAGAUAGAAGGGUGCGUGGUGGACGCUGAGACUCACCAACAGGAAUUUAAAUUGUCAAAAAGGGAGAUAGAAGGGUGCGCGGUGGACGCUGAAACUCACCAACAGGAAAUUAAAUUGAUGCGCGGAGGGACGUGAUUACGCUCCAACAGAAAAUUAAAUUGUCAAGAAUGGGAGAUAGAAGGGUGCGUGGUGGACGCUGAGACAUACCAACAGAAAUUUAAAUUGUCAAGAAGGGAGAUAGAAGGGUGCGCGGUGGACGUUGAGACUCACCAACAGAUGCGUAGAGGGACGCGAUUACGCUCCAACAGAAAAUUAAAUUUGUCAGGACUGGGAGGUAGAAGGGUGCGCGGUGGACGUUGAGACUUACCAACAGGAAUUUAAAUUGUCAAGAAGGGAGAUAGAAGGGUGCGCGGUGGACGCUGAGACUCACCAACAGGAAAUUAAAUUGAUGCGCGGAGGGACGCGAUGACGCUGAGACUCACCAACAGGAAAUGGACGCGAUUACGCUCCAACAGAAAAUUAAAUUGUCAAGAAUGGGAGAUAGAAGGGUGCGCGGUGGACGCUGAGACUCACAAACAGGAAAUUAAAUUGAUGUGCGGAGGGACGCGAUUACGCUCCAACAGAAAAAUAAUUUAUCAAGAAUGGGAGAUAGAAGGGUACGCGGUGGACGCUGAGACUCACCAACAAGAAAUUAAAUUUUUCAAGAAGAAGAGGUAGAAGGGUGCGCGGUGGACGCUGAGACUCACCAACAGGAAUUUAAAUUUGAUCUUCUGACUUUUUUUGAUUUUUUUUUAAUUGAAUUUUUUUUUGAUUUUUUUUGAUUUUUUUUUUGAAAUAACAGAUUGGUGGGAUAGACCCGGGUCCAAUGAAAUACUGAAAGAAAUGAAAACGCAAGUCCAAUACUAUCAAACUGAAAGAUUAAAAUGCAUGUUGCUCAAGUUGGUGGAUUUGCAAUCUUUUUUUUUUUCAAACUUUAGAAGGAAUGAAAGAAACACACUUUUUUUUUUUUGAAAAAAAUCAAAAGUGACGAAUUUUAAAACUUGAAGAAUACCAAUAACAACUCUCCCUUCAAGAGAUUUGAAAGGUACAUACAUAUGUCACUAUCUUCUCGACUUUAAAAAAACUCUCUUUUUUUCACAAAGCCGAUUUAGAAUGUAUUACCAAAAUUGGAGCUCACUCCUUUUGAUAUUUGUCCCAGUGCAAAUCAUGUUUAAUGAAUGCCACAUUUUUCAUGCUUUUGAAAAAGCAAAAAGAGUGAUCAUAUGAUACCAAUACCAUGUGAUUCCUUGUGCUCCUUUUGGCCCUGAGAACCAUGCAAGCAUGAUCUUUCGAUGUCAAAAUUGCUCCUCAAGAGUUGUGCUGCAACUUGUUUUGAAUCUUCUCAAUUUUCCAGCAUCAGUUAGCCAUACCUCACUUUGUACCACAAAUCAACUUUUCUAAUGACCAGAUUUGAAUGAAUGGCCAGUAUCUCAAGUGUCAGCAACCCGCUUUUCGUUCAUGAUUCUCUUGUGCUCCAAAAUCUCACCUUGAUGACCUUAACCUUUCGGAUUUCACAAAGGUCACACCUUUUUAUUUUAUUUUGUUUUCAUUUUCUUCUAUUUUUUCUUUUUCAUCCUUCUCUUUUUUUUUUCAAUCCCUUUUUUUUUUUUUUUCAUUCUUUUGAAGACACCCUUUCAGGUUUUCACCUAAUGAACAAAUCUUGUUAACGACCUUUAUCAACUCAGAAAUGUAUUUAAAGAAAGGAUGGCAUCAGCGCGACAACCGUUCCCAUGUAAAAAUGGUGAAGGUGUAUUGACAUCAAUUGCCAUUUGAUUAAGUGAUUUUUAUUAGAAAUACCACUAAAGCGGAAGUCGAGACUUUAUGAUUUUUAUGAUGGGGUCAUGUGGGGUGUAGAAAAAGUGUUAAGGCUUCAAAGCAAAAUCUUCAAAGAGGCUUCAAAAACCCUAAGACCGCAUUCUAUCAAUAUUUGCCCCAGUAUGAAGGUAUUAAAACCGAAAAAAUUGCCCCAAUUUGGCUUUUGACUUCUUUUUUUCUUUUUUUAUGACAAAUAGGAGAUAAAAAUUUACCCAGUAUGGGGUUUGCAAUCUUUAGGAGGGCUAUCAAAUGAAAGGUUAAAUUAUUCUGGAGGUUCAAUGGGGAAAACUAGGAAUAAGAUGUUCAAAGAGAAAAGAAGAAAGCUUGCCUUUGAUCCGCCAUAGAUGGUAUUUCAAAAAGAAAAAUCACAUAAUCAGAUAAAGAAUUUAUUACACAUGUCUGAAUUGAUUGGCAGAGGAAAGACCUGUCCAUCCAGUUCUGUAAGAAUGGACGUUCCUCCGGAUAGCACUCUUUGAACAAUAAAUGGCCCUUGCCAAGUUGGAACAAACUUUUCUUUAACCUCCUCUUGAAUCGGAAGAAUUUACUUCAAAACCUUAUCUCUCACUUCAAAUAAGCGAGAUUUGUCUUUCUUGUCAUAACUAACAAACCAUCCUUUGGUGAUAGCAUUGUCCAUGACAGGUAAUAUUCAACCUCUUUUUCAUCCAUUGGAGACAUCAACUCAUUAUGCUUCUUGAUCCAUUUGAUUUCUUCUACUUGAGCCUUCGUCCCAAUGCGCAAGGACGGGAUCUCGGUUUUGGCAUGUAUUACCACUUCCAUUUCGAAACAUAAGAGGGUAAGAUGUUGCCCCAACUUAGAAAUGUAAUCUCCAAUGAAAUGCUCCCAGAGUUCAAUUGCAAAAUUUGCAAAAUCGAAGGAAAAACUCUCUUUUUCUUUUUCUUUUUUUUUCAAUCCCUUUUUUCUUUUCUCUCUUUUUUUUGUUUUUGUUUUUAUUUUUUCCUCCUUUUUGUAUUUUAUUCCCCCUUUUUCUUUUCUUUUUUUAAUUAUUUUUUUUUUCAUUUUUUCUCAGUCCCCCUUUUUCUUUUUUUUAUUCCCCUUUUUCUUUUUUUUUCAUUCCCCUUUUUCUUUUCUUUUUUCUUCAUUUCAUUCUUUUUUUCAUUCCCUUUUUUUCUUUUCUUUUUCUAUUUUUUCUUUUCUCUUUUUUCUUUCAAAUUGGCUGCCGAAUUAUGUACUCCUUUUGCAAAAAUAGCCGAUCCUCCACUUUGCAAGAUAGUAUUACCGCCCCCUUUUAUUCAUGAUUGCUCUCCAAAUUUACAAGACUUUCACUUGCGUCCUUUCCUCGAUCUUAACCAUAAACACCUGCACAAAGGGGGGAUUUUUCGAAACAAUUGAAUUUUCAGAAUUCUUUUUUUCUCUUCUUGUUUUUUUUUCUCUCUUUUUUUUUGAGCAAUGAUAUAACAAUUAAGAUUCAUGCAAAGUGUUGACUUAUCAAGAUUUGAAAAAUAUAUACUUGACUUUGGACAUAUCCUACAAAUGUGUUAUAAAAUUUUGCCUCAGUUGGAACUUAUUUAAUGAAGUCUCACAAAUAUAUUACAAAAAAUUUGCCCCAAUUUGGGCUUAUUUUAGUUGCAAAAUAAUCACAUACAAUGUGAAUAGAAACUACAUUUUUCAAAUGAAGAAUUCAAAUGUCAUAUCCGAACUCAUCUAGAAGAUUUCAUGAUAAAUCUCUCAAAAUAAGACCAAUUUGCAAAAAAAAUCUCUUCCUUAUUUUGGGAUCGGUGCUGAGGAAAAAGGGUCCCUUUCUUGUUAGCUCAUCUUUUAGGAUCAAUCAAAUGGGUAUUACUCUUGAUUUUGAGGUGACUCAGGGAGAUGGUAUGCCAGGAUCUGUCUCUUUUUUUUUUUUUUAUGCCCAAAUUGUAUCUAACACAUUCAAUAUCACAUUUUGGUGAAAGCAAAUAGUUUAUCACUCUUAUUUCUUGAGAAAACUCAGUCAACAUAUAAGCUAUAUAUGCUUGUAAUAUAUGGGUAGAAACGAUAGUUAAACGUAUGAAAACAGGUUAUGGCCUUCUGAUCAUGAGUGAUUGGUGGAUCCCUUAGAGGCAAGAUUUUCACUUCAAAUUGUCAUGAAAGACAAGUCAGCAAUGGACUUUAUGAGCUUGUAAUGUAGUUUAACAACGAUAGUUAGAAAAAAAACUUUCAAGGACAAUGCACUUAAAAUCGCAUUUCUUCCAAAAAAUUGCCACAGUUUUGGGCUUAACAUCCGGAAUCCCAUUUUGACUCCCUUUUUCUUAUCAAUCUUCUUUUUUCUUCAACAAUGACUAAGGGGAAUGCAGCAUUGGAUGACUUCGCAUUUUUCUUUUUUUUUUUUCUUUCAUCAUUUUUCAUUUUUUCACAUUUUUCUUUUCUCUCUUUUUUUUUUUACCAAUACUAAUAUCCCAAUGUCAAUGACAAAAUUGAAAACUCCCUAAUUUGGAGUGUAGAUGGCCCCUCUUUCUUUUUGAUAUCGAAGACCAAAUAUCAAUGGUAGAGUCAAAUUCCCCAACUUGUAGCAUUUUCUCCCUUUUUCUUCUUUUUUUUUUUAAAUCUCUUUCCCCAAUAUGAGGGUGCAAUUAUAAGUGCUUUUGAAAUGAACCACCAAUUUAGGAUCAAAUGAGGAUGCAAUGGAUAAAGUAUUUAGAUGGUAGAAACGAUGGCCAAAGCAUCAUUCUUAUUUCUCAUGACAACCAAAGUAAAGAAUAACCCGUUGGGAAAAUCCGUCUCCAUUUGACUUUCGAAAAUUUUUCCAUGGAGGGUCAUGAUCAUUGAGACUUUUAUUUGAAACGAAAUUCUAUUUUUAAAGGCUCAAAUGGGAAAACAAAUGAUAGAAUCUGUAUAGAUAGAGAAACAAAAGCCUAAAGUAUCAUUCCAAAUUUUCAAAACAAAUAAAAAGUAAUGUACAUUUUUGCUUUCACUCAGAUGUGGAUUGAAUCUGGUUAGACACACCGGAUAUUUUCACGAAAAAAAAUUAUCUCACUUUGAAGCUAGUCAGCCAAUGCGACUGAUCUUGGAGGUUCAAUAGAAGUGGACAAAAAAAAUGAAAAUGAAAAGUGUUGGGGUUGAUCUUUUAUGACAAGCUAUCAAAUUUGAAUGACCUCUUUUAUUUUCGACUACUCUAAUUGAGUAGUUUAUACCACAAAUCUAGUGUAUGCAAAGAAUUUUGGGGAUUGGACAUAAGUCAUGAAUUUUUGAACAAGAGGUCGAAAAUUUACAAUUUAGCCUUAUUUCUUAAAAUCUAUCAUGAAAUCUCCCAAUGAGUAAAUAAAGAAUGAAUAUAUACAAAACAAUAAUUGUCUAAAUAAAAACUUUAUUAUUCAAAUGUUUGAAAAAAUUUUUCUCAAAUAUAAUACAUGUGAGAAAAUAAAAAUCUUUAAAAAAUACACUUUCAAAUAUAUAUACACUUUCUCUUUCUAUCUGUUGAGACAAAAUGUAUUAGAAACAAUGAAUCAAAAGAUUUUUGAGAUGCUUUAGAUUGGCAUUUUCAGAUGGAAUUUUUCAUUCAUCAUUAAAUUUUUUUUUGUAGGAUCUGUCCAAAAUCAAGUAACACUUGUAAUUUUCAAAAUUUAUCAGAUCAAAAAUAUUAUCAGAUAUAGGAAAAAUAUUUUUACCUUAUUAAAACAACUUUUAUAAAUGUAGGGAAGGGGGAAAAUUAAAAGGAAAAAAAAAUCAGAGUUAGUAAUCAAAACUGUAAAAUUGGUAUGCAUGUCCUAUGGGAGAGCCCUUUUAUGCCAAGGGUUGGUCUAACAUGAAAAAUGCAAUCCUCUGGGGUAGGCACCAUACAAUACCUGAUGGAUCCGAUCGACUUAUUGAGAUUCAAUUGAAGAGCAUUUGAAAUUGGACUAAAUGGAUCUCUUUUUUCGGAAAUGAUAGAUAACUAACAAAAUGAGGACAAAGUUCGAAUGUAUUGAUUAUUUUGAUUGACACAUAAAGUGAUAUUAAAAAUCAAUUUAGUGUGAAAAACUUAUUUUUGAAAGGAUUGAAAUGUCUCGACUAAUUUCUUCGAUGAACCAUAGAUCGAAACUUUAAAAGAGAAUAAAUGGGUUAAAUGAAUCAAAUGAAAUUGAUGGUUAGUUCAAAAAUUGAUUGGAUUAUCCUAAAAGUGAAUAAAACUGGUCAAAUGGAUCGAAUGAAAUUGAUGAUUUAUAAAAAAAUUGAUUGAAUUGUCCUAAAAAGAAUAACGAAUUGGGUGGAAUUGAUGAUUUAUUCAAAAUUGACUGAAUUAUCCUAAAAGUAAAUGAACGGAUCAAAUGGAUUGAAUGAAAUUGAGGAUUUAUUCAAAAAUUGGUUGGAUUGUCCUAAAAAAUGAAUAAACUAGUAAAAUUGAUUAGAUGAAACUGACGAUUUAUUCAAAAUUGACUGAAUUAUCCUAAAAGUGAAUGAAUAGAUCAAAUGGAUUGAAUGAAAUUGAGGAUUUAUUCAAAAAUUGGCUGGACCACCCUAAAAAGGGGUAAAUUGGUCAAAUGAAUUGAAUGCAAUUAAUGAUUUAUUUCAAAAUUGACUAGAUCACCUUAAAAAUAAGUAAACUGAUCCAAUGAAUUGAAUGAAAUUUAAUUUAUUCAAAAUUGAUUGAAUCACCCUAAAAAGGGGUAAAUUGGUCAAAUAAAAGAAAAUGACGAUUUAUUCAAAAUUGACCAAAUUGUCCUAAAAAUGAAUGAAUUGACCAAAUAGAUUGGAUGAAUUUGAUGGAUAAUUUGAUUAAAUGAAUUGAAUGAGUUUAUUGAAUUGGCUACCUAUUGGUAGUUUCAAAAAAAUUCAUUGCGAUGCAUCAGUUUAUGAGCCUUCUAAAAUCAAGAUUUGGCCUCAAUUAUAUUUAUCGUCUUAACAAUAUGAAAUUUUUUGUGAAUUUUUUCAAAUUAAUAUCUUUUGCGCAAAGGAAUUUUAUCAAAUAUGUUAAAAUGGCCAAAAGAUGAUUGUCAGAUGCUCAUAUUCUAAUGCGUAAAAACUGUUCCAUCAUUCUCAAUGUCGUCACACGAAAAUGAUCGAAUCCUACCUUAUCUUGUGCACUACCCCUUUGGAUGGUACAAAAAAUAUAAAUGUGCAAGUCUCAUUGGAUUACAUAUCCGAGACACAAGGCAGCUUAUUCCUAACGCGGGAUCCCCUAUGCGGCAUUCCCUCUAAAGUUGAUGUAUGAUGCCAGUUUAUUAAAGUGGUUAAAUAUGCAAUGAAAUAAUUGACAUAUGAUCUAAAAGUGCCCCAUUUAAAUGCCGGGGUAGGUCUAAAAUGAAAUGUAUUCAUGCUACAAAUGCGAAGUAUUGAAUUUAAACAUGUCACAUCAAAUAGGGUAGGCUCCUAGAGAGUACCAUGCCGGGACUCUUAUUUUCUAGGGCUUAUGAAUGCAAUGGAGACAAAAACUAAGAAAAAUUAGUUCAAUCAGACAAAUACACAUAAUAUAUUGUAGCAAAGCAAUACAAAGAGAAAGUAAUAAAAGGAAAAUAGGGGUUGGAUCCCUCCCCUCGUGAAUAGUGUCCCUAAUAGGGUAAGGCGAACUCUACCUUAGGUAAACUAUCAUGGAUGCAUGAGGUAUCGGCUCACUAAUACAUCUAGACUCGAUAGGUUUUAGGUCCCCGAGCCUUCAGACUUAGAAAUCAAAGGUCAUCAAUCCCAAGGUUCGUUGUCGGUGGCUCGAGCGAUUCCCCAAACACCGCUAUGUACACAUCGUGUCACGGCUACGUGUUUGAGCGAAUCUAUCAAAAAUCCUCAACUUUCGAUUAAAAACUAAAGGCAAUCAACCCAAAGCUUAAAAUGGAAGAUUGAGUGACCCCUCGGAUCAUGCUACGCACACAUCGUGUCGCAAUCACACGUCCAAGUGGGUCGCCUAAUCCUAAUAGGGAAGAGUGGCGUGACAAGCCACUAAAAGAAAAAUAAAUGAGGGAUAAAAAAUAAAGCGUAUGCACGUAUGCUAGUGCUCGUUUGGAGGGGAGGGAUCGAAAACCAACGCGAGACUCUAGGGAAAUAUCCCCCCACCCAAAUGCAAUGCUAGGCGCGAGAUCACAUCACAUAAAUAAACAAUCCAUCCAUCACAUCAAUCGUACGCAUAUAGGUGAGGGAAUGAGUUGAUAUGCGCGAAAUGCCAAAAAACCUAAAAAGAAAAAUACAAUCUAAAACAUCCAAAUAUGAUAAAUAAAAGGGUUAAAAAGAGAAAAAACAACUAAACCAAGUGCUCGGACUCUCUAGCGGUCCCCAGUGGAGUCGCCAAGUUGUCGCGCCCCAUUUUUCGCUAUGGAAAAAUAAAGAUAAAAGGAGUUUAUAAAAAGAUGUGAUUUAUUAAUAAUAAAUGAAAAAGAACCUAGAAUGGGACUUAAAAAAAUACGACAAUUUGGGUCCAAAAUUUAGUUCAAAAGGGUUUUUAAGGAAAAUAGGAGUCGCCACUUGGUAUGGAGUUUUGGUGUACCAAGUCACCCAAAAAAUAAAGUAAAAUAAAAUAAAACCCUUUUGACAACUCCAGGUCUUUGAAAAAAAAAAACAGAGAAAAUGGGUUUGGGGGUCAUGAUUGAAGAAAGGGAAGGCAAAGGUUUGAUUAAAUCAAACCUAAGGCACCCAUUCAACCUAAUCUAAGUUACUUGCGAGGUUUAGUCAAAAUUUUCCUAAUCUAACCCUUAAUUUUAUCACAUUUGGAUGUUUCCUACAUGGAUGCAAUCUAAAUUUAUAAAAAUAUCGAAAGGGACAAAAUGUUCAUUCAAGGGUUUAAUUGAACCAAUUGCAUUAAUUGCAAAUGCCAAAAUAAUUCCUUGAAGGUGCCACGAGUAUGCAAAUGAUGAAAUUAAAAGAAAAGAAAUUAAAUUAAAUUAUAUACAUAAAUAUAAGUGAUCGAAAAAAAAGGAAUGCAACAUAAAAGAUACGGGAGGCAAAAACUCGUAACAUGAUUUUCUUAUACAGGGAUUAAGGGUAUAUUUAAACUAAAAAGUUAUAAUCACCCAUUUCCCAUGUUUGAAAAAUAAUUCUCCUAAUAUGCACAAGCAAAUGAGCUAACUUAUUAUACAAUGUCCUAAAUGAAAUGCAAUUCUAAAUGACAUGAUUAGCACCUAUAGCGGGUAGGGGAUAAUAUAAUAGGGAAUAUCAUACAAAUGAGAAAAGAUCUUAAAAAUGAAAAUAUGCAUGAGAAUGUAGUGAAUAACACACAAAGAUGAAUCUAGCGCAAGACGACCUAAAGGGUCUAACGUUGGACUAGCCCAUUUCUAAAAAUCCUUACUAGCGUUGGACUAGCAAGUAAGCGGAGGGGAAAAGCCACAACUAGCAUUGGACUAGUGUGGUGACUUCGUGCAUUAACAAUUCAUAGUGAAACAAAUAAAGCAUAAAUUAAAACAAAUAAACACAUAAGAGCAUGUAGCACGUAACACAUAAGCAUAAUAUCUAUAUGCAAAAAAAAAAAAUCCUAAGGAAAGCGGGUAAAACACGUAACACAUACGUCACAUAAACACACAACCUAUCUAUUACAUCGGGGAAUCUAAUUACAAUCUAAAAUGGGAAAGAUAUGGUAAAAUAAAAUUAGUUAUCCUAUCUAUUAUAUUUUUUUGAGGUAUUUAAAUGCCUCUCAAAUAAUUAUAAAAAAUUAACUAAACAAAUAUAAUAUAAGAAAAUUUAAAUGAACAUUUAAAUCCAAUAAAUAAAACAUAUAAAAAUAUAUAAACACAUAGGAACACAUAGGAGCACAUAAGAGUACGUAAUUGACAUUGAAAUAAUAAAAAUAGGGGUACCUCCCGUUCGAAGUGGUGACUAAAUGGAGUCAAAUUGUCCUAUUUAUACUCACAAUGAACAAAAGAAUCAUGGCACCAAUUUAAUUGAAAAACAAUAAUAAUAAAAGUACUAAAUUCACACUAAUAUGUCAAAUAUAAAGAAAUUUAAAACAUCUUAAAAUUACAAGUCGAAUAUGUUCAUAAGUAACAUAAUUAGUUAUUAAAGAAAAGAAACAAUCAUAACAAAGAGAGCCAAAAUUUGCCAAGGACUGAAUUGCAAAGAUUGAAAAACUUUUGGGGACAAAAAUUAUAAUUUUUCCAAAGUUCAGGGAUUAAAAUUAAAUAAAAGAUAAAAUUCAGGGACCAAAGUACAAUUAAUUUAAGGACCUAAGUGAAUCAAAUUUAAAAUGUUCUGGGCUGAAAUAAAAUUACUCCAAAGAUUGGGGGCCAAAGUGCAAAUCGUAAUCAGAUCUUUUUAAGAAAACAGGCCACUGGACCAUUAUUUUAUUUUCUUGGGCCGAACACUACCUAAGCCCAAUCGAAAGUCCAAGUCAAAACACACAGGUCAGCCCUAUUUUCAUCAUUCAAACCCAACCAAAAAAUGCAUGGGCUCUGACCUUUUAGCCCAACCGAAAACCCAAAAGAAAUAAACAAAGAUCCAUUUUCAAAACCCAACCAAAACUAACUCUUGGCCCAUCAGAAAAAGAAAACAUUAGCCCAAUUUCCUUACUUUUCUUUUCUUUCUUCUUUUUUCUUUCUUUUCUUUCUUCCCCAUUCGUUUCUUCUUCACCUCUGGCCAUCCGAAGCUCACUCCAGUUGGCGGCCAUGGUGGCCGCCGGUGGCGCCACCGCCCCUGGCGGCGGUCGCCGGCGACUUCUCCGGUCGCCAAAAUUUCUCAAAAUACACAUCCCCACUCCAUUUUUCGCGUAGAUUCCAUUUCCGAAUUUAGUUUUUACAAAAAAUGAGCCGAAAGUGGUCAAAAUGCCAAGAAAUCAGUUCAAUUUUUAUUUUUUUUAAAACCCUCACAUCUUCGCCAAAAAUCAUAAAAAUUAUGCCAAAACCCUCCUGAUAACUUCUACAAUACAACUAUAAUCCUAGUUUGACAAGUAAACAACAACAAAAUGAUGCAUUAAAUCAAAACACCCCCAAAAAUGAAGAAAAUUAUUCUAAUGCUUUUAAGGCUCAAAAACUCCCAAAAUUUUGGAUAACCAAGCAUUUUCAUAUCUUUGCUAGCUAAUGGUCUUCCAUUUAAGCAAAACAUACACGCCAAAUUCACUUCUUUGAUUCAUUUUUUCAUUUAGACAUUUUUUCAAACAUUUGGCAUGCAUUCACAGCACCGUUUCUUUUUUUUUUUCUAAUUUUGUUCAGUGACUCAUCCCAAAAUUUCAUCCAUACAACACCAACAAAAACCAGCAGAAAUAAGCAAUAAAAAGGGUAACCACACAUACAUUCAAUCUAGUUAAUUAAAAAAGAAAAGCUGGAAAAAAGGGAGAUAAAUACCUCAAUGAAGAGUUUGGUCCCUUUGCCAAGAUUUUUGAUGAAAUUGCCAAGCUCCAAUCCAACCGAUUGCUACCUUGUUGUGUGCAAAUGUGUUGGAAAAAAUUUGGGAGAGAGGAGAGCCGAGAGGGAGAGAGGAGUUUUUCUCUUUUUUUUUUUCUUCUUUUUUUCGGUCCAACCCAGAGAGAGAGCCGAGAGCCUCCCUUUUAUUUUUUGUGUGUUUUUUUUUUCUCUCCCCUUUUCCAGAGAGAGCUCAGAGGGACUUGUAGCCAAAAAUGGGGCUUGUGUGCUGAUUUUGCCAAAAUGAUGAUUUCUCAACUAAUGAAAGGACAAGUCCAUGGCCAUUGAGUGUGAAAUGGGUUAAUAAUUAAUUUGGUGAAACAAAAUGAUCAAAAAUGAAUUUUUUUUAUUUUUUGAUUUUUUUGGUUUUUGUUGUUUUGUUUUUUUUUUUCAUAAAGCAAACCUGCAAAAAUGAGAAAAUGCACAUUAAAAUGCAAGAAAAUAAAUAACUCAUUAAAUAGAAAAAACUUGAGAAAAUAUUAAAAAUUGACAAAAAUUUGGUGUCUACAAUAAUAUUGGGAAUAUUAUUAAUACUUGAAAUUACAAUAAAAACACUAAUAUUUAAAGAAUAAAUAAUACUGAAACUUCUAACUUGAUUCUUAUAAACAAUGGAAACAACAAUAAUAUUAUAAUAUUGAAAAUAUUAUUAAUACUUGAAAUUACAAUGAAAAUGCCAAUAAUUAAAGAAUAAAUAGUACAGAAACUUCUAACUUGAUUCUUAUAAACAAUAGAAACAGCAAUAAUAGUAUAAUAUUGGGAAUAUUAUUAAUAAUUGUGAUUACAAUGAAAAUGCCAAUAUUUACAGAAUAAAUAGUAUCGAAACUUCUAACUUAAUUGUUAUAAACAAUGGAAACUACAAUAAUAUUAUAAUAUUAGGAAUAUUAUUAAUAAUUGAAAUUACAAUGAAAAUAUCAAUAUUUAAAGAAUAAAUAGUACUGAAACUUCUAAUUUGAUACAUAAGAUUACUGUCCAUAAGAUUACAUCUAGGAAGUAUGUUAAUUUUUAGGUGCUAUAGUCUCAUAUGUUCUUGUAAACAAUUUUUGGCAAGAAUUCAUGGGCUAGUGUUAAAAAUUCUUAAGAUAUGUUUUUUUUCAGGUGAUUCUGUCAAACAGUAUCCUCUGAGUUUGACAGUCUUAUAAAUUUUUGAAUCUCUGAAAAUGGAUAUCAUUCAAAGCACCAAACGUCUUUUAUACUUCUUAUGCUCAACCAUCUCAUUCUCAUGAGCUUAUAUGUCGAUGGCACCUUUCAUAAAUAUUAGUAUGUGAUUUUGCACAAAGUUUAAUUUGAAAGAAUAAUCAAUUAUGAAUUUUGAAGGUUUGUUUUCUUAGGUUUUAGCUCCCACAUUUUUUUACAGAUAUAAUGAGUCAAACUUUUUUGUAAAUCCUUGCAAAAAGAAAAUUCCUAUGACAAGUGUUCUCAAUGUUGACGCUGACUUCCUGUCAUCAUGAUUGCAUAACUAAAUUUUGUAAUGAGUAAGCAAUACUCUUUUGAUAGCUCAUAUACCUACUUAAUUAUGUUCAAAACGUCUUGAACAAUUUUGUAAUAAUCAUGUUGUUCAAUACUAUGCUAACUUGUAAUAUGCUGAACCUUAAGUAGAACACUUUUGCAACACUAUCUUCUUUUGGAGGUCUAUUGAUUGAAAGUAUGUGCAAAUGUAAAGGGGCUUGCUGGAUGGUACUGGUAGGCUUUUUGAAGACUGAGGUGUUGGCAUAAUCUAAAUUGUCUAAGUACUUUCCUCACCUCUAACCUCUAAACUUGACCACCCAAAAUAACUGAGUUCUUUAGAUACUUUAUGAUAAAUCUAAAUUUUCUAAAUAUUAUAAUGUGUAGGCUAUGGCAUGGAAGCAUGGCAGAUAUAUGACCCAGCCACGGAUUUUUAUCUAUCUACCUACCCAAUUAUUGUGUAAUCUAUUUUUAACUUAAUGUUUUACGAAUUCCAUCAAUUGGAUUCCAGGUUAUUUUAGUCAAUCCUUAAGUUAAACAUUACCUCAAUUUAACUGGAAAGGCAAAAUUUUUUGUUGUUUCUUGGGAUCCUCUAGUUUAUGCAGAUGCAUGUGAAAUAGAGGUAAAAUUGUUACUCAUUGUCGUCUCAGUUUGGGGUGUUCUUGACGUCACCUUUUACCUUUCCGUUUGUAAUCCAAAAUUUUUAACGCACAAAAUCCUUUGUGCGUAGAAAUAAUACAUUUCUUUUGAGUAUUAUUACAUAUAAUUAUAAUUUCCUUUAUAAUGUAUUGUAUACACACAAUUGUAUUAUACAUCUAGGUUUUAUCAAUAAGAUGCCAUCUAGUUUAUACUGCGGAUCGCACUUCUACUUUAUACUACUGGGAAUUGGAACCUCCAUUAAAGGUCCUUGCCCCGCAUUAAAUUGCAAGGCUCAUGACUCUUCUUGGCUAAACCAAAGUCUGCCAUCAUAUUCUCUCUCAACCUUCAUUCUCCCAUUUGGCAUUUGCCCGCCAAUUCCCUACUUCAUCUCCUUUCUUUCCGUUAUGCCCACUAUUCAUAAAACAGUCACGGGACUAUUUCAUAAAAGAGACAUUUCAUGAAAAAAUAUUUUUUCUUUAAUCCAAGCUAUGACCAUGUUCCGGGACUAAUCUGACUAAUUACUAAUACAAUGAGAACUAUAUGUCUAAAUGUCUAAGCCCACAUAAAAGCCACAGUACCAUACUUUGUUGAUUCAACAAGCAAGGAUUAGUAACAUGUGAAGAAGGAGAAUAUUUAAAGAAUGAAUAGUACCGAAACUUCUAAUUUGAUUCUUAUAAACAAUAGAAACAACAAUAAUAUUAUAAUAGUGGGAAUAUUAUUAAUAAUUGAAAAUACAAUGAAAAUGCCAAUAUUUAAAGAAUAAAUAGCACCGAAACUUCAAAUUCGAUGGGCGAGAUGUUUGAAUCGGUGUAGUCGAGAUUUUAUCCAUCAUAGUUGAUGUGAGAUUUCUCUUUCGUCGAUGUAAAGUUGUUGGAACUUUUCCAAUUCUUGUGCGGGAUCGUUGUGGCGUACGUUUCGUUUUGUUAGCAAACGUUUUCUCCUUUACAAUCUUGCGAGUUUGAAAUUGAGGCGUUGUUGACCUGCCUGUAAACGGCCAUGUUCCAUUAUGAAAUUAAUUUGAGAGCUACUAACAAUACCAGUAUAAAGUGGAAAAAGUACUUCCAAGGUUGUAAUCUUAUUAUGGCAUUGACAGAGUAGAAAGGACAAUAUAUGGCAUUGGAAGAGUAGGAACGAUAAUAUAUGGCUUUGGCAAAUUCACAAAUUCUUGAUUGGAAGGGUUUCAAUUGUAGUGGAAAGGUCUGUGUGGAGUGAAAUUUAACUGGAGGGCUAAUAAGGAUACCAACAGCAAGUGGAAAGAGAUCUUGUGCAAUCUUAUCAUGGAAUUGGAAGAGUUUUAAUGUAAGUGAAAUUCUUGAUUAGAAGAAUUUUAAUUGCAAUCUUAUCAUGGAAUUGGAAGAGUUUUAAUUGUAAUGGAAAGGUGUGUGAGGAGUGUAAGUUGGAGUAAGGUGCGUAAAGAGUGUUAGUUGGAGUUAACUUCUUGUUUGAGGGAAACAUAGGGGUGUAAUGUGCCCAUGAUGUUUUUUGUGCAAUAAAUUAAAUGUAAAAUGCUAGAAAAAUAGAGUUGAGAGUGGGAAGGUUUGUGAAGGAUUGUUGCUAAAAAUCCCUUCUCUAUCUACCUACCCAAUUAUUAUGUAAUCUACUUUUAGUUUAAUGUUUUAUGAACUCCAUCAAUUGGACUCCAUGUGACGCCCCCACAUCUCCCUAAGGCGAACCAAAGAGUAUCCGCGGGACGCCUGCCCAACUCUCGUCAGGACUCAGGCAAUUUCUGUUCAAGUUUAAUGUAGUACUAGACAUCACAACCAUAUAAUGAAAGGCAAUUGAUGCGGAAGCUUUCAAUCUUAACAAUAUUUAACAAUUAUCCAACCCUUGUAUCGGGUUUCUAGAAUACAUCUUAAACCCCAAAAUAACAACAACCACAAUGCCUAGUCAAAUACAUCAAAAUUCCAUUACAAAAUACAUCAAAAGGGGAUUUCCUUCGAGUCUCAUUCCAAACUCAUUCCCGUUAAGAAAAACAAAUCUACAGGAUGAGCAAAACACUCGUGAGACCAAGAACACACAUGCAAGUGCAUAUUCCAAGUGACAAGCUCAGGUAACAAGUCAAAUGAGAAUAUACAUGAAAUUCACAAUUCUAGUGAAAUAUAAACAGAAACAAUUCAAGGAUAUGGUAGCUCUUAGGAGUUAAGUUCCACUUGCUUUGUCGAUAUCGUUUGUAUACCUUCCCAUGAUGACACUCCGUCAACCGGGUGGGUAUUUUCAUUCCGUAAAUCACCACUUACUUCCAUCCGUCCACCGUACACCACACCGAACCCGCAAGAUAUUUAUAAGGCGUGAUACUUCACGAGUAUGCCAAGCAAGAGCUCUCAUUAGGUCGAGCUUAUUUUAGUCUCAUGGCUCACCAAGGUUCCCGACCAAACCCAUGCUGGAUCGAGUCCAAGGUCGGCCUAUGAGUUUGGGCGUCCCCCAUGUAUUUGUGUGUCGAGGAGAUUCACUCCAACGACGUAUGCAGCCAUAGCAUACUGUUUCAUGUUAAGCAAGCAUUUGAUACAUUCUAGUACCCAUGUCAUAUCCAGCAAGUCAUUCAUUACAUGUCAAGCAAGUCAUUCACGAAUUAUUAGUUUCGAAUGAGAACGAGUGCGAUAAAGUACACACCCGACUCCAUUUUCAAAACUUACAUCAUUGGUAACAAGUAGACAUGUAUCAAGUUCACAGGAGUUCAAGUAAACAUGUACUUGACACUCACCAAGUAAAACAAGAAGAAAUGUCACUCGAAGUUCAAGCGUCCACCGGGGUAUCCUCUUAAAGUUCCUUUUGUGUGCCUGAGCAAUUAAUAAUGGACAAUUAUUGAUAAAUCCCUAUCGAUGAGGAAGGUCGUAUACUAGUACAAUUUAGAAAAUAUCUCGAAAAUUGGACCUAGGUUUCCUUGAAUACCGAUGCUCAAAAGGGGUUUUAAAACUCAAGUAAAAACGGACCGUUAUCCUUAAAAUCAUUGGAUGGGAACGAGUACGAGUAAAUUAAUUUCAAAACGAACGACCGAAGUCGGAACAGGGCAGACCACGUCACAAUCCGGCCGUAUUCCUAGCCGGAUUGGAGGCAAUGACCAAACUCCUUUUUUUUUUUCAAAUCCCAACACAAAUCCAGCCAACUAUCUGGCCAAGAAUUGGCCGGAUUCAAGGCCGAAUUUUGGUGAACAGUUUCCCGCGCGGAUUUCUUUUCAAAAGGCCAAGAAUUUUCAAUUUUUGGGUAUUUUUUGAAAAAUCAUAACUCACUCCCUGAUUGUCCAAAAUUUAAAAAUUUAAUACCGUUGGAACCAUCUUUUAAAGUUCUAAAAGUUUCUAGCAGACACAUUUCCAUGAAUCCAAGUGGAAGGCAUUCAAAUUUUGAUUUGAAGUUGAUAACUUAAGUUAUCAAGACAGAUUUAAGUUGAUUUUUGGCCAACUUUGAAAAUUCGGCAAAAUUUGCUCAAUUUGAACUAGCAUUUGAAAUUUGGAACUCUAUUAGAGUUACAAUCCAAAUUUAAAACAAAUCAAGCGAGGCUAGAAUUGAAGUUUUGAACACCAAGAUAUGGUGACCCAAAGUUUCCAAAAUUUCCUUGUUAAACAAGGGGUUUUCCAAGUGUAAAUUAUACACUUUGAGAGUUUAGUUGUACAUUGAAACGACAUUGGAAUAGCACCAAAUUUGGUAUGAUUAUAUUACCAUAUAAGGGCUAUUCAUCUACCAAAUUUCAUAGAUAAACAAGCAUGGAAACUUGAUUAACCAAAUCACCAAAGUUUCAAAAAUUCUAAGGCAAAUCUGCCUUGUGAGUUCCGUUUUCUGUUUUCAAGACGUUUGGCCAACAGAGUACCUCAAACAUGGUCCAUUUGCAUAGACAAUAUCUAAAAGGUAUCCAAAACACAAUUUGGGGUGAUUAACACCAAGAAUUUGGAGUACAAGUCCCAUAUAAGAUCAAGACAUUGGCUUAACCGAAAGAAUGUUGUGUUCAACACUGGGUCAGUUUUGAUCUUUGGUCACAACUCAUUCAAUUCAACAUGAUUUCUUUUGAGAAAUUGUAGUUUUAUAAAUGAGUUUUCCAAUGCUACCAACCAUGUUCAAUUCAGCUUUAACCUGUUGACAGUCUAUCCACUAUUACCCAAAUAGCAUCCUGGCCUCUCUGUGUCCUCGAUAAUCCUGAUACAAAAUCUAUAGUGAUAUUCUCCCAUUUCCACUUAGAUAUUUCUAGAGGUUGCAAAAGUUCCGAUGGUUUUGAUGCUUGACUUUAACCUGUUGACAGGCCAAGCAAGUCUAAACAAAUUGGGCAAUCUCCUUCCUCAUACUCUCCCACCAAUAUAAAUUCUUCAAAUUUUGAUACAUUUUAUUUCUUCCAGAAUAUACCGUAAACUUUGAUUGGUAUGUCUCUUCUAAAAUUUCCUUCUUAAAUCCCUCAUCUUUUGGCACUACUAUCCGAUUUCGAAACCUCAAAAUACCAUUUGAUCUCAAGUUAAAAUCCGAUUUUCUCCCCUUUUAAAAUUUUCUACCCAUUUUUGCACUUCGCCAUCCUUUUCCUGAGAUUCUUUGAUACACUCCAACAAAGUGGAGUUUAAUAUAACAUUCCCCAAAAUUACUUUCUUUGGUUCAAGUCUAAAAUUCCAAUAACUAACUUCCUCCAACAAAUGUAAUUCCUUAAUUAUCAAUCCGGCCACUAGUACUUGACGACUUAAAGUAUCGGCCACUACAUUGGCAUUCCCUGGAUGGUACUUUAUAGUGCAAUCAUAAUCUUUCAAAAAUUUUAUCCACCUACGUUGCCUCAAGUUUAACUCUUUUUGAGAAAACAGAUACUUAAGGCUUUUGUGGUCAGUAAAAACCUUAAAUGUCACUCCAUACAGGUAAUGUUUCCAUUUCUUUAAAGCAAAUACCACCGCUGUCAACUCCAAGUCAUGAGUCGGGUAAUUUCCCUCAUGUGGUUUCAAUUUUCUAGAGGCAUGCGUUAUCACUUUGUCAUUUUGCAUUAAAACACAUCCCAAUCCUUCCUUAGCUGCAUCUGUAUAAAUCACAAAACUAUCCUUUCCAUUCGGUAGAGCUAAUACAGGUGCUCUCGUCAAACGUCUCUUUAAUUCCUGGAAACUCUCUUCACACUUAGAACUCCAUAUAAAUUUUUCACUUCUCUUGAUCAACUCAGUCAUGAGUCCAGCAAUUCGGAAAAAAUUCUGAAUAAACCUCCGGUAAUACCCUGCUAGUCCAAUAAAACUUUGAACCUCAGUAGGGUUUUCCGGUCGUUUCCACCUUGCGACAGCUUCAACCUUAGUCGGAUCCACCUUAAUUCCAUCUUUAGAAAUUAUGUGCCCCAAGAAUGUCACCUCUUUCAACCAAAAUUCACACUCGCUAAACUUAGCAUACAAUUUGUGUUCCCUCAAGAUUUGCAAAAUAAUUCUCAGGUGUUUCUCGUGAUCUUUCACAUUCUUAAAGUACAUCAAUAUAUCAUCAAUAAAGACCACCACAAAUUGAUCUAGAUAAAACUUAAAAACCCUAUGCAUUAAAUCUAUGAAAGCAGUAGGUGCAUUAGUCAAUCCAAAUGGCGUUAUUGCAAACUUAAAGUGUCCGUAUCUCAAGUUAAAAGCAGUCUUGGGUAUAUCCUUCUCCAAAAUUCUCAAUUGGUAAUAACCCUGUCUCAAAUCCAAUUUCGAGAAUACUACCGCCUCUUGCAAUUGGUCAAACAAUUCAUCAAUGUGGGGCAAUGUGUACUAAUUCUUAAUUGUGACAUCAUUCAAGCCUCUAUAGUCUAUACAUAGUCUCAAACUCCCAUCCUUUUUCUUAACAAACAAAACUGGGGUUUUUCACGGAGAAUCACUCUCUUUUAUAAAAUCCCGUUUCAGCAAAUCCUGUAGUUGCAAUUUCAAUUCCUUCAAUUCAGCUGGAGCCAUUCGAUAUGGCGUCUUAGAGAUAGGUGCUGCUCCCGAAGUCACAUUAAUCUUAAAAGUUAUUUCUUGUUCCGGGGGUAAAGACUCUAACUCUUCAGGAAAUACAUCAGAAAAAUCUUUCACUACAGGCAUGUCUUCCAAUUUCACCUUAUCACUAGGGGUGUUGAUAAGAAAAGUCAGAUAUCCACGAGCUCCCUUACUUAACAAUUUUCUAGUCCGGAUUCCUGAGAUAAGUUCAGAUGAAACUAACAUACCCUUUACAUCUAAUUUCAGGGUCGCUUCUCCUGGAAUACCCAAUUCUACAAUCUUUGUUCUACAAUCCAACUGGUUAUUAUAACGGACUAACCAAUUCAUUCCAAAAAUCACAUCAUACCCCUUAAUUGUUAAACCUAUUAGAUCGACCAAUAAUUUUCAUUCUCCGAUCCAGAUUUCACAAUCCCCAUACAUCAAGUUAGCAACUAGAUUUUGAUCCCCAAUAGGUGUUUUAACUUUCAAAUCAUACAGUAGCUUAAUUGGCUUCUAAUCUAUCCCACUCAUAAAAUUAGAGUUUACACAAGAAUGUGUUGCACCCGAAUCAAUUAGAACCCUAGCUAAACGGUGAAAUAUUGGAAUUAUACAUUCAACCACCUCAGUCGCCUCAGGAAUUUGUUGAUAAUCCAGUGCAUAAACACUAGCCAGUACUUUCGGUCGAUUUCCUCAGGCACUUGUCUGUUUAGAGGUGGACUUUUUUGGUCUCUGAUUGUUACCUCCUAUUUUUGGCGAUUUCGGACAAUUGGCGACUUGAUGUUCAGCACUACCACAAAACAAACAUUUUCCCAACUUCCUCCAACAAUCAUUUUCAAAGUAAUUGGAUUUACCACAAUACCCACAAGUAACUUGAGGGGUCACAGCGGAACCAGUAGAAGGUGCUCCCUUAGCUCGAAUCGGUCCACCACGACCUCCUCUUGAUAAAACUUCCCUAGCAGCUCCAGCAAUCUUUAUUCCUCCCAUACCUCUUCCAAUUUUGGAAGGCUGUGAACUUUUACUAGUCUAUCCAGAUGUACGACUAGAAAAGUUCCUCUUCCUAUUCUGAAAGUCCUUAACUUGCAUUCUCACAUUUUCAACCCUUUGUGCUUUCUCUAGGGUCUCAGUAAAAGUAGAGAUUUGAGCCCCAACCAAACCUUCCUGGAUUUCCACAAUAAGUUUCUGUAUAAAUUGUCUGAUUCUCCUUCGUUCAUUAAUCAUCAGUUCAGGGGCAUACUUAGAAAGUUUAGUAAACUUCCCUUCGUACUCAGCUACACUAAGGAUCCCUUGUUUCAAUUUGAUAAAUUUAUCUUCUCUCUUUUCUUGGAUCAAGGGCGGAAGAAAUUUUUCAUUAAAAUCUUUCAUGAAAUUCUCCCAAAUCCAAGAGUCUGAGCUCUCUCCCAUUUUCCUUUUAUCAUAUCCCACCAAGCACAAGUCACUCCCUCAAAUUGGAAAGUAGCAAAAUUCACUCGCCUAUCCUCAGUGUAGUUUAGAGGGCGAAUAUGUUGGUCAUCCUCUCUAACCAAUUCUCCGCUAUAUUAGGGUCGGGUUCACCAAGAAACUUAGACGGGUUGAACUUUAAGAAUCUCUCGAAAGCUCUAUCUUCCCCUCUGUCCUGUCCCCCAGGUUGGUUAAAUGGUCCAGAACCUUGUCUAUCAAUUAAGCGCUCUAAGAUAUCAGUCAUUCUAUUAAUGGCAGUAGCCACUUGAUUUCUCUCUACAUUUUCCUGUCCCUGGUUCAGUCCAAUUGCCGAUCCCUGGUCAUCACCAUGAGGUUGGGCUUGUCUAGUCCCUCGCCCACGGCUUCGACCACGGUCUCGACCACCUCUUAGUCCUUCCAUUAUCCUAGGCGUGCCUAAUGCAAGAAAUGAAUCAACUACGCGAGAAAAUAUUUAAAACAAGAACCAAUCACGAAAACAUUGAAAUUAAUAAUAAUUUAUAUUCAUUAACAUGUUAGAAUUCAUACAAUUAGCAAGUCAUGGGGGAAUCACAAAAAUAUAGCAUGUAAGUGCAACAAGAAUACUUUUAGUCACAGAAUACUAAAGUAAAAGUAAGUGUCUCAAAAGUAGGCCACACAGUCAUGCAAAAUACAAUGGUCUCAGCACUUAGCAUCACCCCUGCUAAACCAAACUGUACCAGUCAAAAGUCAAAAGGUCAAUCACUAAAGGCCUAGUCCACAGUAGGACUACCAGGCGGAAUCUCUUCCUCAAGAUUUUCCUCCGGGUCAAAGCUCUGGACUACCUCCAUCGCCUCAUCUACUAGCCUAGUAGCAUCAGUUAGGAUUCCGGAAGCCCGAUCACGGACCUCCUCCCCUAAUCUAAUAAGUUGAGCCCUAGUACUCUGGAGCUCCUCACGAGUGACUGCAGCAGUAGCCACCUCGCCCUUUAUAACCUCCUCAAGCUCUACAAUUCGCUCUUCCUGAGCGCUAACCAUCUGCCUUAGCUCAUCCACCUCUACCUGUAAGUCCAAGUUGGCAUUCACCAACUGAUGACGCUAGUCGUCUAAGGCCAGUACAACGUGGUUCGGGUAGGCAAAAGUCAACCUAUACGAACAUCGAGGGUAGCUACUAGAGGGUGAGUAGUGCACUCGAGCCCCUCCACCAAGGGAUCGGUAGUAAUUAGGUUUAGGAGGCUCUACGUGACCAUUAGCAUGGCAAUUCCCGUUAGCUGCCGGGGUUUCAUUUUCAUUUUCCAUCCCUGCAAAAUAAUCACACUUUUUUUGUUAGAAAAUUAAUCACUGACUCGCUCAGAUGUCACUUAUGCAUGUCUAACCUAAUCACUAGUUUGCCCCAAGUACCACUUAAGGUAUAACUUAGUUAUUCGGUUUCAGGUCAUAAGGGUAGAGUAUUCCCAUAUAGAUCUCUAAUCUAGUGCUCUAAUACCAAUUGUGACGCUCCCACAUCUUCCUAAGGCGAACCAAAAGGUAUCCACGGGACGCUUGCCCAACUCUCGCCAGGAAUCAAGUAAUUUCUGUUCAAACUUAAUGCAGUGCUAGACAUCACAACCACAUAAUGAAAGGCAAUUGAUGCGGAAGCUUUCAGUCUUAACAAUAUUUAACAAUUAUCCAACCCUUGCAUCGGGUUUCUAGAAUACAUCUUAAACCCCAAAAUAACGACAACCACAAUGCCUAGUCAAAUACAUCGAAAUUCCAUUACAAAAUUCAUCAAAAGGGGAAUUCCUUCGAAUCUCAUUCCAAGCUCAUUCCUGUCAAGGAAAACAAAUCUACAAGGUGAGCAAAACGCUUGUGAGGCCAAAAACACACAUGCAAGUGCAUAUUUCAAGUAACAAGCCCAGGUAACAAGUCAAAUGAGAAUAUACAUGAAAUUCACAAUUCUAGUGAAAUAUAAACAGAAACAAUUCAAGGAUAUGGUAGUUCUCAUGAGCUAAGUUCCACUUGCUUUGCCGAUGUUGUUUGUAUACCUUUUCGCGAUGACACUCCGUCAACCGGGUCAGUAUUUUCAUUCCGUAAAUCACCACUUACUUCCCUCAGUCCACCGUACAACACACCGGGCCUGCAACACAUUUAUAAGGCGAUACUCCACGAGUAUGCCAAGCAAAACCUCUCAUUAGGUCGAACUUAUUUGUCUCAUGACUCGCCAAGGUUUCCGACCAAACCCAUGUCGACUCGAGUCUAAGGUCAGCCUAUGAGUUUGGGCGUCCCCCAUGUAUAUUUGUGUGUCGAGGAGAUUCACUCCAACGACGUAUGCAACCAUAGCAUACUAUUUCAUGUUAAGCAAGCAUUUGAUACAUUCUAGUACCCAUGUCAUAUCCAGCAAGUCAUUCAUUACAUGUCAAGCAAGUCAUUCACGAAUUAUUAGUUUCGAAUAAGAACGAGUGCGAUAAAGUACACACCCGACUCCAUUUUCAAAACUUACAUCAUUGGUAACAAGUAGACAUGUAUCAAGUUCACAGGAGUUCAAGUAAGCAUGCACUUGACACUCACCAAGUAAAACAAGAAGGAAUGACACUCGAAAUUCAAGCGUCCACCGGAGAAUCUUCUUGAAUUUCCUCUUGUGUGCCUGAACAAUUAAUAAUGGACUAUUAUUGAUAAAUCCCUAUCGAUGAGGAAGGUCGUACACUGGUACAAUCUAGAAAAUAUCUCGAAAAUUAGGCCUAGGUUUCCUUGAAUACCAAUGCUCAAAAGGGGUUUUAAAACUCGAGUAAAAAUGGAUCGUUAUCCUUAAAAUCAUUGGAUGGGAACGAGUACGAGUAAAUUAAUUUCAAAACGAACGACAGAAGUCGGAACAGGACAGGCCACGUCACAAUUCAGCCGAGUUCUGGCGGGAUAUCCGGCCGGAUUCCUGGCCGGAUUGGAGGCAGUGACGAAACUCCUUUUUUUUUCAAAUCCCAACACAAAUCCGGCCAACUAUCGGGCCAAGAACUGCCCGGAUUCAAGGCCGGAUUCUGGUGAACAGUUUCCCGCGCGGAUUUCUUUUCAAAAGGCCAAGAAUUUUUAAAUUUUGGGUAUUUUUUGAAAAUCAUAACUCACUCCCUGAUUGUCCAAAAUUGGAAAAUUUGGUACCGUUGGAACCAUCUUUUAAAGUACUAAAAGUUUCUAGAAGACACCUUUCCAUGAAUCCAAGUGGAUGUAUUCAAAUUUUGGCUUGACGUUGAUAACUUGAGUUAUCAAGACAGAUUUAAGUUGGUUUUUGGCCAAUUUUAAAAAUUCGGUAAAAUUCACUCAAUUUGAACUAACCUUUGAAAUUUGGAACUCUAUUAGAGUUACAAUCCAAAUUUAAAACAAAUCAAUCAGGGCCAGAAUUGAAGUUUUGAACACCAAGAUAUAGUGACCCAAAGUUACCAAAAUUUCCUUGUUAAACAAGGGUUUUUCCAAGUGUAAAUCAUACACUUUGAGAGUUUAGUUGUACAUUGAAACGACAUUGGAAUAGAACCAAAUUUGGUAUGAUUAUAUUACCAUAUAAGGGCUAUUCAUCUACCAAAUUUCAUAGAUAAACAAGCAUGGAAAGUUGAUUAACCAAAUCACCAAAGUUCCAAAAAUUCCAAGGCAAAUCUGCCUUGUGAGUUCCGUUUUCCGUUUUCAAGACAUUUGGCUUGGAAAGUACCUCAAACAUGGUCCAUUUGCAUAGACAAUAUCUAAGAGGUAUCCAAAACACAAUUUGGGGUGAUUAACACCAAGAAUUUCGAGUACAAGUCCCACACAAGAUCAAGACAUUCGUUUAACCGAAAGAAGGUUGUGUUCAACACUGGGUCAGUUUUGAACUUUGGUCACAACUCAUUCAAUUCAAAUUGGAAUUGAACGUGGUUGGUGGCGUUGAAAAACUCAUUCAUAAAACACAAUUUCUCAAAAGAAAUCAUUUUCAAAAUCCAUCCACAACUAUCCCACAUUUGAGCAUCAAGUUGUAGUUCCUGUUCUGCCUUCCAAGGAAACAAUGAAACAAGGCAGCCAAGUUCAAAUGAUUGGUUUGGCUUACUCGGGUGGAAUCAGAACAUGUAUUUUAUACCAAUGGAAAGUUGGGAAUGUCUAGUUUCCAGUACCGCUAACGGCACUCGAUUUCGAUAUCGGAGCAAAGAGUUAUAGCCGAAACAAAAGGACUGCCUGGGCAAUCCGCUAAAAUUUUUCAGUUUUGCUAUCCUCUACAAAUCAAUACAUUUGGCCUACCAAACCAUAUUAUUUUUUAAUGAAACUUUCUACGCCAUCCAUAUAACAUGUAUACAUCAUAAAUAAGUCAUUAGAACCUCAAAAAUUCGCACCAAAAUGCCCGAAUAUGGCAGGGGUAAAAUGGUCACUUUUGCUCAUUGCACUUCCUUGAGUUUCUAUCAACAAUACAACAUUAUCCCACUACUUUAAGCGCUAAACCAAUAUUAAUAACAUCAUCAUUCAUCAAAUCAGUCCAUCCAACCAAAGUGGGAGUUCAUAAAGCCCACACAAUAAUUUUUUCAAUAUAAACAAGUUACCCACAUGCAUGCAUGUGCUUAAAUAUGCACUACUACUUCCCUAGAGCAAUAUUUGAAGGGUUGAUCGUCACUUACCCUCCUAGAUGUGCAAGGCAGAAAUUUUUGGCCCUCCUUAACUCAAGAAAACCGUGGAAAGCAGCUCCCUUUUGUAGCUUAAAAUGAUCACCAAGUGUUUAGCUAAGUAUGGGUAAAAUUUGAGGUGAAAUGGGUGAUGAUUUUGUGAAGAAUUGGAGAAGAAAAAUGGAAGAGCUCCUUGGUGUUUUCCUCCUCUUGAUGGCCGGCCAAAUGAGAGAGAAAAGAGAGGGAGUGUUUGUUCAAAUGAAGUUUUCAAGAGAAGCUUUAAUGUGUGGCCCAAGUUUACCCAAAAGUCAACUCUCCUUUGCGCGCGCGCGCGUUUUGUGCCCGAUUCCUCUCGAGUUUAUUUCACUAGUGCACUAAACUUUUAAUUCAUUUUCAUUCAUAUUAUUAUUAUCCACUCUUAUGGGUUUAAAAAUAAUGGUCUAAAGUCCCUCAAUUAAUCGCGCGCGUAAAAACGCGUACUUCCUGUUUAAGCGCAAUGAAGUGAAAUUUUCAAGAAUUUCUUAUAACGCUAGUACCACUAACUGUCACUUGAAUAUUUCAAGAUAACAAUACCCAUUUUAAGACCAGUGUGCAAGUCUCUAAUUUUUCAAGGUUAUUGUACCCCCAAAUCAGCUAUAAUCUCCAAACGCGUAUUUACUAUUCUCACUUAACGAGUUUCCAAAAUUAAAUUUUGAGACAAGUCAUUAUAUAAAAAAAAUACAACGAAACUAUAAAUUCAUGUAAUUAGGUCUAAUGAGAUUAAAAAAUAAUAUUCAGAGUAAAUGGGCAAUUAAAUAUUUAAAUAAUCUCGAAAUGGAAUUUAAAAUAUUAAAUUUUGUGAAUUCUCACACUCCAGGUUAUUUUAGUCAAUCCUUAAGUUAAACAUUACCUCAAUUUAAGUGGAAAGGCAAAAUUUUUUGUUGUUUCUUGGAAUCCUCUAGUUUACGCAUAUGCAUGUGAAAUAGAGAUAAAAUUGUUACUCAUUGUCGUCUGAGUUUGGGGUGUUUUUGAACUCACAUUUCACCUUGCCGUUUGUAAUCCAAGAUUUUUAACGCACAAAAUCCUUUGUGCGUAGAAAUAAUACAUUUCUUUUGAGUAUUAUUACAUCUAAUUAAAAUUUUCUUUAUAAUGUAUUGUAUACACACAAUUGUAUUAUACAUCUAGGUUUCAUCCAUAAGAUGCCAUAUAAUUUAUACUGAGGAUCGUACUUCUACUUUAUACUACUGAGAAUUGGAAGCUCCAUUAAAAGUCCUUACCACGCAUUAAAUUGCAAGGCUCAUGACUCUUCUUGGCUAAACCAAAGUCUGCCAUCAUGUUCUCUCUCAACCUUCAUUCUCCCAUUUGGUAUUUGCCCGCCAAUUCUCCACUUCAUCUCAUUUGUUUCCGUUAUGCCCACUAUUCAUAAAACAGUCACGGGACUAUUGCAAACAAGAGACAAUUCAUGAAAAAAUAUUUUUUCUCUAAUCCAAGUUAUGACCAUGUUCCGGGACUAAUCUGACUAAUUACUAACAUAAUGAGAACUAUAUGUCUAAAUGUCUAAAUGUCUAAACUCACAGAAAAGCUAUAGUACCAUACUUUAUUGAUUCAGUCAGCAAGGAUCAGUUAUAUGUGAAGAAGGAAAAUAUUUAAAGAAUGAAUAGUACAAAAACUUCUUACUUGAUUCUUAUAAACAAUAUAAACAACAACAAUAUUAUAAUAUUGGGAAUAUUAAUAGUAAUUGAAAAUACAAUUAAAAUGCUAAUAUUUAAAGAAUAAAUAGUACCGAAACUUGUAAUUCGAUGGGCGCGAUGUUUGAAUCGGUGUAGUCGAGAUUUUAUCCAUCGUAGUUGAUGUGAGAUUUCUCUUUCGUCGUUGCAAAGUUGUUGAAACUUUUCCAAUUCUUGUUCGGGAUCGUUAUGGCGUACGUUUCGUCUUGUUAGCAAAUGUUUUCUCCCUUGUAAUCUUGCGAGUUUAAAAUUUAGGCAUUGUUGACAUGCAUGUAAACGGUCAUGUUCCAUUGUGAAAUUAAUUUGAGUGCUACUAACGAUACCAGUAUAAAGUGGAAAGAUUACUCGCAAGGUUGCAAUCUUAUUAUGGCAUUGGCAGAGUAGAAAGGACAAUAUAUGGCAUUGGAUGAGUAGAAACGGCAAUAUAUGGCAUUGGCAAAUUCGCAAAUUCUUGAUUGGAAGGGUUUUAAUUGUAAUGGAAAGGUCUGUGAAGAGUGAAAUUUAAAUUAAGGGCUAAUAAGGAUACCAACAGCAAGUGGAAAGAGAUCUUGUGCAAUCUUAUCAUGCAAUUGGAAGAGUUUUAAUGUAAGUGAAAUUCUUGAUUGGAAGAGUUUUAAUUGCAAUCUUAUCAUGGAAUUGAAAACGUUUUAAUUGUAGUGGGAAGGUGUGUGAGGGGUGUUAGUUGGAGUAAGGUGUGUAAGGAGUGUUAGUUGGAGCUAACUUCUUGUUUGAGGGGAACGUGGGGAUGCAAUGUGCCCAUGAUGUUUUUAUGAAAUAAAUUAAAUGUAAAAUGCUAGAAAAAUACAGUUGAGAGUGGGAAGGUCUGCGAAGGCUUGUUGCUAAAAAUCCCUUUUCUAUCUACCUAACCAAUUAUUGUGUAAUCUACUUUUAGCCUAAUGUUUUACGAACUCCAUCAAUUGGAUUCCAGGUUAUUUUAGUCAAUCCUUAAGUUAAACAUUACCUCAAUUUAACUGAAAAGGCAAAAUUUUUUGUUGUUUCUUGAAACCCGCUAGUUUAUGCAGUGCAUGUGAAAUAGAGGUAAAAUUGUUACUCAUUGUCGUCUGAGUUUGGGGUUUUCUUGACGUCACCUUUCACCUUGUCGUUUGUAAUCCAAAAUUUUUAACGCACAAAAUCCUUUGUGCGUAGAAAUAAUACAUUUCUUUUGAGUCUUAUUACAUCUAAUUAUAAUUUCCUUGAUAAUGUAUUGUAUACACACAAUUGUAUUAUACAUCUAGGUUUCAUCCAUAAGAUGCCAUCUAGUUUAUACUGAGUAUAGUACUUCUAAUUUAUACUAUUGGGAAUUGGAAGCUCCAUUAAAGGUCCUUGUCGCGCAUUAAAUUGCAAGGCUCAUGAUUUUUCUUGGCUAAACCAAAGUCUGCCAUCAUGUUCUCUCUCAACCUUCAUUCUCCCAUUUGGCAUUUGCCAGCCAAUUCCCCACUUCAUUUCUUUUGUUUUCGUUAUGCCUACUAUUCAUAAAACAGUCACGGGACUAUUUCAUAAAAUAGACAUUUCAUGAAAAAAUAUUUUUUCUCUAAUCAAAGCUAUGACCAUGUUCCGGGACUAAUCUGACUAAUUAGUAAUACAAUGAGAACUAUAUGUCUAAAUGUCUAAACUCACAGAAAAGUAAUAGUACCAUGCUUUGUUGAUUCAGCCAACAAGGAUCAGUUACAUGUGAAGAAGGAGAAUAUUUAAAGAAUGAAUAGUACCGAAACUUCUAACUUGAUUCUUAUGAAUAAUAGAAAAAAUAAUAAUAUUAUAAUAUUGAAAAUAUUAUUAAUAAUUAAAAAUACAAUGAAAAUGCCAAUAUUUAAAAAAUAAAUAGCAUCGAAACUUAUAAUUCGAUGGGCGCGAUGUUUGAAUCGGUGUAGUGGAGAUGUUAUACAUUGUAGUUGAUGUCAGAUUUCUCUUUCGUCGAUUCAAAGUUGUUGGAACUUUUCCAAUUCUUGUGCGGGAUCGUUGUGGCGUAUGUUUCGUUUUGUUAGCAAAUGUUUCCUCCGUUGCAAUCUUGCGAGUUUGAAAUUUAGGCGUUGUUGACAUGCCUGUAAAUGGCCAUGUUCCAUUGUGAAAUUAAUUUGAGAGCUACUAACGAUACCAGUAUAAAGUGAAAAGAGUAAACGCAAGGUUACAAUCUUAUUAUGGCUUUGGCAGAGUAUAAAGGACAAUAUAUGGCAUUGGAAGAGUAGGAAUGGCAAUACAUGGCAUUGGCAAAUUCGCAAAUUCUUGAUUGGAAGGGUUUUAAUUGUAGUGGAAAGGUUUGUGUGGAAUGAAAUUUAACUUGAGAGCUAAUUAGGAUACCAACAGCAAGUGGAAAGAGAUCUUGUGCAAUCUUAUCUUGGAAUUGAAAGAGUUUUAAUGUAAGUGAAAUUCUUGAUUAGAAACGUUUUAAUUGCAAUCUUAUCAUGGAAUUGGAAUAGUUUUAAUUGUAGUGGGAAGGUAUGUGAGGAGUGUUAGUCGGAGUAAGGUGUGUAAGGAGUGUUAGUUGGAGUUAAUUUCUUGUUUGAGGGGAACGUGGGGGUGUAAUGUGCCAUGUUAUUUUUCACGAAAUAAAUUAAAUGUAAAAUGCUAGAAAAAUAGAGUUGAGAGUGGGAAGAUCUGUAAAGGUUUGUUGCUAAAAAUUCCUUCUCUACCUACCUAACCAAUUAUUGUGUAAUCUACUUUUAGCUUAAUGUUUUACGAACUCCAUCAAAAUUGGAUUCCAGGUUAUUUUAGUCAAUCCUUAAGUUAAACAUUACCUCAAUUUAACUGAAAAGGCAAAAUUUUUGUUGUUUCUUGAAACCCUCUAGUUUAUGCAGAUGCAUGUGAAAUAGAGGUAAAAUUGUUACUCAUUGUCGUCUGAGUUUGGGGUUCUCUUGACGUCACCUUUCACCUUGUCGUUUGUAAUCCAAGAUUUUUAACGCACAAAAUCUUUUGUGCGUAGAAAUAAUACAUUUCUUUUUAGUAUUAUUACAUCUAAUUAUAAUUUUUUUUAUAAUGUAUUGUAUACACACAAUUGUAUUAUACAUCUAGGUUUCAUCCAUAAGAUGCCAUCUAGUUUAUACUGAGGAUCGUACUUCUAGUUUAUACUACUGGGAAUUGGAAGCUCCGUUAAAGGUCCUGGCCGCGCAUUAAAUUGCAAGGCUCAUGACACUUCUUGGCUAAACCAAAGUCUACCAUCAUGUUCGCUCUCAACCUUCAUUCUCCCAUUUGGCAUUUGCCCGCCAAUUCCCCACUUUAUCUCCUUUGUUUCCUUUAUGCCCACUAUUCAUAAAACAGUCACGGGACUAUUUCAAAAAAGAGACAUUUCAUAAAAAAAUAUUUUUUCUCUAAUCCAAGCUAUGACCAUGUUCCGGGUUGUAAUCUGACUAAUUACUGAUACAAUGAGAACUAUAUGUCUAAAUGUCUAAAAUCACAGAAAAGCCAUAAUACCGAACUUUAUUGAUUCAGCCAGCAAGGAUCAGUUACAUGUGAAGAAAGAAAAUAUUUAAAGAAUGAAUAGUAUCGAAACUUCUUACUUAAUUCUUAUAAACAAUAGAAACAACAAUAAUAUUAUAAUAUUGGGAAUAUUAUUAGUAAUUGAAAAUACAAUGAAAAUGUCAAUAUUUAAAGAAUAAAUAUUACCGAAACUUGUAAUUCGAUGGGCGCGAUGUUUGAAUCGGUGUAGUCGUGAUUUUCUCCAUCGUAGUUGAUGUGAGAUUUCUCUUUCGUCGAUGCAAAGUUGUUGAAACUUUUCCAAUUCUUAGGCGGGAUCGUUGUGGCAUACGUUUUGUCUUGUUAGCAAAUGUUUUCUCCUUUGCAAUCUUGCGAGUUUGAAAUUUAGGCGUUGUUGACAUACCUGUAAACGGCCAUGUUCCAUUAUGAAAUUAAUUUGAGUGCUACUACCGAUACCAGUAUAAAGUGGAAAUAGUACUCACAAGGUUGCAAUCUUAUUAUGGCAUUAUCAGAAUAGAAAGGACAAUAUAUGGCAUUGGAUGAAUAGAAACGGCAAUAUAUGGCAUUGGCAAAUUCGCAAAUUCUUGAUUGGAAGAGUUUUAAUUGUAGUGGAAAGGUCUGUGAAGAGUGAAAUUUAACUUGAGGGCUAAUAAGGAUACCAACAGCAAGUGGAAAGAGAUCUUGUGCAAUCUUAUCAUGGAAUUGAAAGAGUUUUAAUGUAAGUGAAAUUCUUGAUUGGAAGAGUUUUAAUUGCAAUCUUGUCAUGGAAUUGGAGUAGUUUUAAUUGUAGUUGGUAGGUAUGUGAGGGGUGUUAGUUGGAAUAAGGUAUGUAAGGAGUGUUAGUUGGAGUUAACUUUUUGUUUGAGAGGAACGUGGGGGUGUAAUGUGCCUAGGAUAUUUUUUACGAAAUAAAUUAAAUGUAAAAUGUUAAAAAAAUAGACUUGAGAGUGGGAAGAUCUGUGAUGGAUUGUUGCUAAAAAUCCCUUCUCUAUCUACCUAACAAAUUAUUGUGUAAUCUAUUUUUAGCAUAAUGUUUUACGAACUCCAUCAAUUGGAUUCCAUGUUAUUUUAGUCAAUCCUUAAGUUAAACAUUACCUCAAAUUAAUUGGAAAGGCAAAAUUUUUUGUUGUUUUUUGAAACCCUCUAGUCUAUGCAGAUGCAUAUGAAAUAGAGAUAAAAUUGUUACUUAUUGUUGUCUGAGUUUGGGAUUUUCUUGACGUCACCUUUCACCUUGUCGUUUGUAAUCCAAGAUUUUUAACGCACAAAAUCCUUUGUGCGUAGAAAUAAUACAUUUCUUUUUGGUAUUAUUACAUCUAAUAUUAAUUUUCUUUAUAAUGUAUUGUAUACACACAAUUCUAUUAUACAUCUAGGUUUCAUCCAUAAGAUGCCAUCUAGUUUAUACUGAGGAUCGUACUUCUAGUUUAUACUACUGGGAAUUGGAAGUUCCAUUAAAGGUCCUUGCUGCGCAUUAAAUUGCAAGGCACAUGACUCUUCUUGGCUAAACCAAUGUCUGCCAUCAUGUUCUCUCUCAACCUUCAUUCUUCCAUUUGGCAUUUGACCGUCAAUUCCUCACUUCAUCUCCUUUGUUUCCGUUAUACCUACUAUUCAUAAAACUGUGACGGGACUAUUUCAUAAAAUAGACAUUUCAUGAAAAAAUAUUUUUUUCUAAUCAAAGCUAUGACCAUGUUUCGGGACUAAUCUGACUAAUUACUAAUACAAUGAGAACUAUAUGUCUAAAUGUCUAAACUCACAGAAAAGCCAUAGUACCAUACUGUGUUGAUUCAGCCAGCAAGGAUCAGUAACAGGCGAAGAAGGAGAAUAUUUAAAGAAUAAAUAGUACCGAAACUUCUAACUUGAUUCUUAUGAACAAUAGAAACAGCAAUAAUAUUAUAAUACUGGGAAUAUUAUUAAUAAUUAAAAAUACAAUGAAAAUGCCAAUAUUUAAAGAAUAAAUAGUACCGAAACUUGUAAUUCGAUUGGCGCGAUAUUUGAAUCGGUGUAGUAGAGAUUUUAUCCAUCGUAGUUGAUGUCAGAUUACUCUUUCAUCGAUGCAAAGUUGUUGGAACUUUUCCAAUUCUUGUGCGGGAUCGUUGUGGCGUACGUUUCGUUUCGUUAGCAAAUGUUUUCUCCUUUGCAAUCUUGCGAGUUUGAAAUUUAGGCGUUGUUGACAUGCCUAUAAACGGCCAUGUUCCAUUGUGAAAUUAAUUUGAGAGCUACUAACGAUACCAAUAUAAAGUGGAAAGAGUACUCGCAAGGCCACAAUCUUAUUAUGGCAUUGGCAGAGUAUAAAGGACAAUAUAUGGCAUUGGAAGAGUAGGAACGGCAAUAUAUGACUUUGGAAAAUUCGCAAAUUCUUGAUUGAAAGGGUUUUAAUUGUAGUGGAAAGGUUUGUGUGGAGUGAAAUUUAACUUGAGAGCUAAUAAGGAUACCAACAGCAAGUGGAAAGAGAUCUUUGUGCAAUCUUAUCAUGAAAUUGGAAGAGUUUUAAUGUAAGUGAAAUUCUUGAUUGGAAGAGUUUUAAUUGCUAUCUUAUCAUGGAAUUGGAAGACUUUUUAUUGUAGUGGGAAGGUGUGUGAGGAGUUUAAGUUAGAGUAAGGUGUGUAAGGAGUGUUAGUUGGAGUUAACUUCUUGUUUGAGGGAAACUUGGGGGUGUAAUGUGCCCAAGAUGUUUUUUACGAAAUAAAUUAAAUUUAAACGCGAGAAAAAUAGAGUUGAGAGUGGGAAGAUCUGUGAAAGCUUGUUGCUAAAAAUCCCUUCUCUAUCUACCUACCCAAUUAUUGUGUAAUCUACUUUUAACUUAAUGUUUUACGAAUUCCAUCAAUUGGAUUCCAGGUUAUUUUAGUCAAUCCUGAAGUUAAACAUUUCAUCAAUUUAACUGGAAAGGCAAAAUUUUUUGUUGUUUCUUGGACUCCACUAGUUUAUGCCGAUGCAUGUGAAAUAGAGGUAAAAUUGUUACUCAUUGUCGUCUGAGUUUGGGGUGUUCUUGACGUCACCUUUCACCUUGCCAUUUGUAAUCCAAGAUUUUUAACGUACAAAAUCCUUUGUGCGUAGAAAUAAUACAUUUCUUUUGAGUAUUGUUACAUCUAAUUAUAAUUUCCUUUACAAUGUAUUGUAUACACACAAUUGUAUUAUACAUCUAGGUUUCAUCCAUAAGAUGCCAUCUAGUUUAUACUGAGGAUCGUACUUCUACUUUAUACUACUGGGAAUUGGAAGCUCCAUUAAAGGGCCUUGCCGCGCAUUAAAUUGCAAGACUCAUGACUCUUCUUGGCUAAACCAAAAUCUGUCAUCAUGUUCGCUCUCAACCUUCAUUCUCCCAUUUGGAAUUUGCCCGCCAAUUCCCCACUUCAUUUCCUUUGUUUCCGUUAUGCCCACUACUCAUAAAAUAGUCACGGGACUAUUUCAAAAAAGAGACAUUUCAUGAAAAAAUAUGUUUUCUCUAAUCCAAGUUAAGACCAUGUUCCGGGACUAAUCUGACUAAUUACUAAUAAAAUGAGAACUAUAUAUCUAAAUGUCUAAACUCACAGAAAAAUCAUAGUACCAUACUUUAUUGAUUCAGCCAGCAAGGAUCAGUUACAUGUGAAGAAGGAAAAUAUUUAAAGAAUGAAUAGCAAUGAAACUUAUUACUUGGUUCUUAUAAACAAUAGAAACAAUAAUAAUGCUAUAAUAUUGGGAAUAUUAUUAGUAAUUGAAAAUACAAUGAAAAUGCCAAUAUUUAAAGAAUAAAUUGUACCGAAACAUGUAAUUCGAUGGGCGCGAUGGUUGAAUCGGUGUAGUCGAGAUUUUAUCCAUCGUAGUUGAUGUGAGAUUUCUCUUUCGUCGAUGCAAAGUUGUUGAAACUUUUCCAAUUCUUGUGCGGGAUCGUUAUGGUGUACGUUUUGUCUUGUUAGAAAAUGUUUUCUCCUUUGCAAUCUUGCGAGUUUGAAAUUUAGGCAUUGUUGAUAUGCCUGUAAACGGCCAUGUUCCAUUGUGAAAUUAAUUUGAGUGCUCCUAACAAUACCAGUAUAAAGUGGAAAGAGUACUCGCAAGGUUGCAAUCUUAUUGUGGCAUUGGCAGAGUAGAAGGACAAUAUAUGGCAUUGCAUGAGUAGAAACGGCAAUAUAUGGCAUUGGCAAAUUCGCAAAUUAUUGAUUGGAAGAGUUUUAAUUGUAGUAGAAAUGUCUGUGAAGAGUGAAAUUUAACUUGAGGGCUAAAAAGGAUAUCAACAGCAAGUGGAAAGAGAUCUUGUGCAAUCUUAUCUUGGAAUUGAAAGAGUUUUAAUGUAAGUGAAAUUCUCGAUUCGAAGAGUUUUAAUUGCAAUCUCAUCAUGGAAUUGGAAGAGUUUUAAUUAUAGUAGGAAGGUAUGUGAGGGGAGUUAGUUGGAGUAAGGUGUGUAAGGAGUGUUAGUUGGAGUUAACUCCUUGUUUGAUGAGAACGUGGGGGUGUAAUGUGCCCAUGAUAUUUUUUAUGAAAUAAAUUAAAUGUAAAAUGCUUGAAAAAUAGAGUAGAGAGUGAGAAGAUCUGUGAUGGCUUGUUGCUAAAAAUCCCUUCUCUAUCUACCUAACCAAUUAUUGUGUAAUCUACUUUUAGCUUCAUGUUUUACGAACUCCAUCAAUUGGAUUCCAGGUUAUUUUAGUCAAUCCUUAAGUUAAACAUUACCUCAAUUUAAUUGGAAAGGCAAAAUUUUUUGUUGUUUCUUGAAACCCUCCAGUUUAUGCAGAUGCAUGUGAAAUAGAAGUAAAAUUGUUACUUAUUGUCGUCUGAGUUUGGGAUUUUCUUGACGUCACUUUUCACCUUGUCAUUUGUAAUCCAAGAUUUUUAACGCACAAAAUCCUUUGUGCGUAGAAAUAAUACAUUUCUUUUUGGUAUUAUUACAUCUAAUUAUAAUUUUCUUUAUAAUGUAUUUUAUACACACAAUUGUAUUAUACAUUUAGGUUUCAUCCAUAAGAUGCCAUCUAGUUUAUACUGAGAAUCGUGCUUCUAGUUUAUACUACUGGAAUUGGAAGUUCCAUUAAAGGUCCUUGCCGCGCAUUAAAUUGCAAGGCUCAUAACUCUUCUUGGCUAAACCAAAGUCUGCCAUCAUGUUCUCUCUCAACCUUCAUUCUCCUAUUUGGCAUUUGCCCGCCAAUUCCCCACUUCAUCUCCAUUGUUUCCGUUAUGCCCACUAUUCAUAAAACUGUCACGGGACUAUUUCAUAAAAUAGAUAUUUCAUGAAAAAUAUUUUUUCUCUAAUCAAAGCUAUGACCAUGUUCCGGGACUAAUCUGACUAAUUACUAAUACAACGAGAAUUAUAAGUCUAAAUGUUUAAACUCACAGAAAAGUCAAAGUACCAUACUGUGUUGAUUCAGCCAGCAAGGAUCAGUAACAUGUGAAGAAGGAGAAUAUUUAAAUAAUGAAUAGUACCGAAACUUCUAACUUGAUUUUUAUGAACAAUAGAAACAACAAUAUAUUAUAAUAUUGGAAAUAUUAUUAAUAAUUAAAAAUACAAUGAAAAUGCCAAUAUUUAAAGAAUAAAUAGCACCGAAACUUGUAAUUCGAUUGGCGCGAUAAUUGAAUCGGUGUAGUAGAGAUUUUAUCCAUCGUAGUUGAUGUCAGAUUACUCUUUCAUCGAUGCAAAGUUGUUGGAACUUUUCCAAUUCUUGUGCGGGAACGUUGUGGCAUACGUUUCGUUUCGUUAGCAAAUGUUUUCUCCUUUGCAAUCUUGCGAGCUUGAAAUUUAGGCGUUGUUGACAUGCCUGUAAACGGUCAUGUUCCAUUGUGAAAUUAAUUUGAGAGGUACUAACGAUACCAAUAUAAAGUGGAAAGAGUACUCGCAAGGCUACAAUCUUAUUAUGGCAUUGGCAGAGUAUAAAGGACAAUAUAUGGCAUUGGAAGAGUAGGAACAGCAAUAUAUGGCUUUGGAAAAUUCGCAAAUUCUUGAUUGAAAGGAUUUUAGUUGUAGUGGAAAGGUUUGUGUGGAGUGAAAUUUAACUUGAGAGCUAAUAAGGAUACCAACAGCAAGUGGAAAGAGAUCUUUGUGCAAUCUUAUCAUGAAAUUGGAAGAGUUUUAAUGUAAGUGAAAUUCUUGAUUGGAAGAGUUUUAAUUGCUAUCUUAUCAUGGAAUUGGAAGACUUUUUAUUGUAGUGGGAAGGUGUGUGAGGAGUGUUAGUUAGAGUAAGGUGUGUAAGGAGUGUUAGUUGGAGUUAACUUCUUGUUUGAGGGAAACUUGGGGGUGUAAUGUGAGGGGAGUUAGUUGGAGUAAUGUGUGUAAGGAGUGUUAGUUGGAGUUAACUCCUUGUUUGAGGGGAACGUAGGGGUGUAAUGUGCCCAUGAUAUUUUUUACGAAAUAAAUUAAAUGUAAAAUGCUAGAAAAAUAGAGUUGAGAGUGAGAAGAUCUGUGAUGGCUUGUUGCUAAAAAUUCCUUCUCUAUCUACCUAACCAAUUAUUGUGUAAUCUACUUUUAGCUUAAUGUUUCACGAACUCUAUCAAUUGGAUUCCAGGUUAUUUUAGUCAAUCCUUAAGUUAAACAUUACCUCAAUUUAACUUGAAAGGCAAAAUUUUUUGUUGUUUCUUGAAACCCUCUAGUUUAUGCAGAUGCAUGUAAAAUAGAAGUAAAAUUGUUAAUUAUUGUCGUCUGAGUUUGGGAUUUUCUUGACGUUACUUUUCACCUUGUCGUUUGUAAUUCAAGAUUUUUAACUGUCGCGCCCCAUUUUUUGAUAAGAAAAAUAAAUGGUUUGAGAAAGAUGUUUUUGAUUCAAUUUUGAUUGGAAAAUGAUUUUUGUGAGUUGAAAAAAAUAUGGGUCCAAUAUGGGACUUGAAAAAGCGACGAUUUGACCCCAAAAAAAUAGUUUUUAAAAAGGGUUUUUGAAUGAGAAAUUGGAGUCGCCACUUGGUAAUGAUUAAGGUGUACCAAGUCACUUAAAAAUAAAUUUUUAAAGACAAAGUAGUAAAACCCUUUUAAAAACGACUCCUAGUCCACGUAAGCCAAAGAAAAAGGUUCGGGAGUCACGUUUGACAAAGGGGAAGGCAAGGAUAGAAUCCAAGGCACCCCUUUGACCUAGCCAAGGCUAGUUGCGCGACUUAACCUUACCUUUCCUAGUUUUCUACCCAAUGUAUGUUCGCACGUUGGAUAUGACUAUAUGAAUACAAAACGGAAAGGAAAAUGCAAUCCUAAAUUCUACGAUGUCUCUUGUGAGGUUUUUGGUCCCAAACCACAUGAAUUGUGGCGGCCAACAAAGGAAAACCUCAUAGAGGUCGAUUAAUGCAAAUGAGAGUUCGAAUUCAAGUGUGCAAGUGUGAAAGUGUAUGAAAGAUGCAAGAAAUGUAAGUGCAAGUGUGCGAAUGUAUAAAAAGGUGCAUGUGUGAAAUUGUAUAAAAUUCAAGUGUUUUUUGUGUGCAAGUGUGUGAAAACAGAAUAAUAGAUAUAUAAGGUAAAGUGGAAUUUUAUUUGUGAAGUGAAAAUAAACGAGUGAUAGGUGAAAUGUAGUAAAAAAAGUAUGGUUUGAGAAAUGUGAAAAAAUGUGGUUAAAAGAGUAUGUAGGUGAUAAAAAUGAAAGUAUGACCCUAGAGGAAUGCAACAAGUCGGGUACGGGGGUUGACUCCUAACUUUUCGACUUCUAUUUUCCCUUUGAUUAGAAGGUGAAACUAGCGUGCUAAGGCUAUCGAGUAGCCACACUCGCUCGUUUCCCUUAUCAAGAGGGGAUUUUCACGCAAAUGAACCCUAACUAGCAUGAGAUGCAAGUCCUAAAGUGAAGGGGAAGGGGUUUGAGGAACAUACCAAAUGAUAAACUAAGGAAAAAUGCGUGAUAUGUGGUGAUCAUGCACUUCAUGAAAAAGGAAAAAAACCUAUUGGGUCUAGCAUUGGACUAGCCCCUCCUAUGAAUUCCGACUAGCGUUGGACUAGUGGAAACGAUAAAAGAAGCCACAACUAGCGUUGGACUAGUGUGGUGACGUACAUUCAUCCAUUCCAUUCAUCCACACUACAAAAAGCGAGUAGACAUGCGAAUCACUUAUAAACACGUAGCACAUAACAUUUAGCAUGCUUGACUAGAUGCAAAAUCCUAAUAAAGCAUUUAACAUAUAACACAUAGGCAUGCAACCAUUACAUUUGCUAACUAAAACAAAAGGGAAAGGGAAAAUGGACCAAAUUACUUGCUACGCCCUAUCUAUUACAAGCCAAGAGGUGUACACAUACCCCAUUAAUAAAAAUCAAAAGUAAAUGAAAUAACUGAAAGGAAAUAAGGAGAGGCUAGGAAAGCAAGUACACAUGCAAAUUUCAAUUAGCACAUUAGUCCACAUAGGAGAGAAACAAAAGGGGUAAAAGAGAUUAUACCUCCCCGUUGGUGAUACUAAGGAAGUAAACAAACUCAACUUGGCUAGAGUCGCCCAAGAAAAGACUAACUUAGGCUAAAAUCACUAAAAACAAAAGAUUAAUGCACCAAUUUAGUGAUAAGAUAUAAACUAAACAAUUUGAAUCCACCAAAUCAUCAAAUUUUCCCCCAAUUGCAACUUAAUGAAGUAAAAAGCUAAUUAAAGACCAAGCAAAAACAUGAUCAUCCAACCUCCAAGCAUAACGUCUACUAAAGACCCAAAAGCAAGCACUACUCAAUCAUUUGAACCUAAUUGAAACAUUUAAAAACACACAAAGUUCCCCAAGUAAAUAACAAGAUCCAAACAAACAUUAUGGAAUUUUGAAGGUCCAAGAAUGAACAAGGGUCCAUGAAUGAUUUAAACAUGCAUUUUGAAAACUCAAUAGCCACCAUUAAUCAACCAAAUAAAACCAAUUGAAAAAUUUAAGAGCUUCAAAAAUCCCAAAAAAACAAUGAAAGGCCAAAUGAUGACUCAAAGUACACCCACCUUAGGACCUAAUUGUGAAGAAAUGAGAACAUGCUUGGGCUUUUGUGGAACAUGGAGAAGCUUGAGGGAUUAAAUUGAUUAAGUAUUCAAAUUACUUGGGCCAUAGUAAGCUAAGGGGGGACUUGGGGGGUUAAAGAGCAAUUUUUGGAGAACAUUUCCAUGCAUGUUCAUGCAAGCUACGUGGGAAAACAUGCUGCAGCAAUAUUUUCAGUAGGUUAUGAAGCUUUCGGCAGCCAAGAAAGAAUCAGAUAUUAUUCAAUCAAACAUCAAAACUUUGAAUUAAGAUAAAGCCACAACAUUGCCAGAACUCAAUCAAACAACAAGCAUAAAAAGAAACCAUGCAAACUCUUAAAAUUUCUGUGCAAGCCUACGGAUGACUGCUGCAACAACUUGCUGCAUUUUUAAUCAACCUUGACACAAUCAUGCAAUGAGGAAGGGAUGAUGAGGUUAGCGACUCAACUCAAAAAACUGAGAAGAUUUGGGAUAAUGAGAAGGAAAAGAAAACGCAGCUUCAUGAUGCAAAAUCAACAUCUCAACAAACCAAAGCAAUAGAAGGAAAAUCACACCAAUGCUGGAGAAAAUUCCAGCCAGCAUUCGGUAACCAGAUUUGUCCAUUCUUCCAAACAAAGUGUUUGACUAUAGCUCAAAUGUUUUAAGGACUCGAAUCAUAUAAACUCAAACCAAUCUUCACCAAUCCAAUUCCUCUCUCCAUAUAAGAUCAUGCAUCAAGUUGUAUGGCCGAAAUUUGGUGAGACAAAUGCAGGAAAGAAAACAGCAAAGGACAAAACCGAAUGAAACAGCCUUUUCUACUUGGGCCUGGACAUGUUUGUGCAUGAGAACUCAAACAAACUUCACUAAUUUAACAACCCAAUGUCAUUAUCCUCACCAAAACGCCAUUUCUGGUUUCAUUUCAUAACUGGUUUCAUUUCUGCAAUUUCAUACUGCUUUGAAAAACUUUUUCUGGUUCCCUUAAACAUUCCAUUCAAGCAGCCCAACCAUUUGCAAAUUUGUCACCGUGAGAAAAACCAAAGCAAACAAGUCAAGAUUCAAUUAAGGCUCAUAGCAAAAUCAUCCAAAAUAUCAACAACAACCCAUGACCUCAAUUUGAAGACAACAGCCUCUCGGACAAACCAAUGAACAUGCCAAAACAGAAAUGAAAACAACGAAGACGACAAGCAAGCGUGACUAAGGAAGCUGGAUCUAAUCGUACUUCAUAUAUGGCAUUCCCAUUUGCAACAAAGUGCAGAUUGAACUUAGCAAAUCAUGGCCAUAAUCAUGCACAAAACUAGUCAUGCAAAAUGAAAUGAAACAAAGCAGAAAGCAGCCAUAGGAUCAGAUUUCUUGCUGCAAGUUUCUGCAACUAACUAGCUGCAAUUUUCUCAUAACUUGCAACUCUAACAAGCAAAGCCAUCCAAAUCCUCUAACAUGAUUUGCCAAAAACAUCAACCAAAUAUCAUUGUUUACCCCAAGAAUCAAACAGAGGUUGGGUAUGAAAUCAGCACAAGAAAAUGAACUUGGAGCAUUGAACAUAGCUGCAACAAAAAACUGCAGCAAUAGAUUUGAACAAUCCAAAAGUUUCGAUCAUAGCUGCAAUUGUUGUAUUCAGUCUAAUGCAAUCCUUUUUGCUCAAAUGAGGUCACAGUUGGCCACAAAAUUGGAUAAAAACAGAAAUAUCAACUCAAUCAACAAACAGAGCAGUAAUCUUUCUCCAAACAAUUGUAAUGAAGAAACAUAUGCAGCCUACCAAGAAAUUGUGAUACAAAAACCAGAGAUUUCAGGCGUCCAUACUUAAAAGACAAGACUGAAAUUUGAAGGUACAGGACAACUUACGAAACUCUUGCUCGAUAAAAAUUCGCAGUUGAUGGCGGGUUUGGUGCGGUGGAGGCUCCUUUCGUUUGGCCUCCUUCAUCCAGCGAGCACGAGACUUUGAGUGAAUCUUGGAAGGCUUCCUGAUGAUGAACCCGUCCUUGACCAGCUUUUCUUGUGUUUUGACGAAAAUCAGUCAUGGAGAUUUUGUUGACUCCAUUGGCUAGCCAGACCUUGCCUCUGCCGCACUGGAGGAUGCUGGCGGCGAGUCUCUUCUGAAAUUUCAGCGACACCUUCCCUUCGUCCAUCGGUCCAUUUCCUCUUCCUCUGGUUUUUCCUCAAACCCAGAUUUCAUGCUCCUCCAGUGAAGGCUUGCUGCAAUUUCUGGGUUGGCACAUCAGUCGCGUGGCUGGCAAAGCUUUCGACAAUAAUGGUGUUGAUGAGUGCUUGUCCGUGGUUUUCCUUCCUAGCCUGUAGACUCUAUCUCUCUCUCUCCAUUGUUCCGCAGCUUCCUUGAAGUUCUUCCCAAAACCUAGCCGCCCUCUCUUUUCAGUUUUCCCAGCCGUGAGUCCUUCCCGUAUGCUCUCCUCUCGGUCUCACUUGGCUGUAACUCUCUAUCCCUCUCUCAAAUCUUUCUCAACCAUCAACUUCAAUCACCUUCGUUGUCCUUGCUGUUCCCCAGAAUCUCCCAAACACUCCCUGCUUUCUCUUUUUGUUUUUGCCGUCCAACUCUUUCCGUCCCAUCCCCCUUGCGGCUCUCUUUCCUCUUUUUAUUUAUAUCAUCUCCCAAUCUCCUAAACCUGCUCUCAAUGGCCAGCAAUCAACCUCCUCUCAGCCCCUUAUCUUAGCCAUCCGAUGGGCAUUGAGGUUGUGCCUUGCACGCUGCAAAAAAAUGCAGCGUGCAUGCUGCAGUAAAUUUUUUUUUUUUUUUUAAAGAAUGCAUAUAAAUAAUAAUAAUAAUAAUAACAAAGUGACAAAACCAUGUAAUAAUAAUAAGAACGAAAACAAAUAAAUAAAUAAAAAAAAACAAACUAAAUAAAAACAACAAAAUGUCCAUUUUUCAAAUUUUCUUCAUUUUUCCUCUCUUUCUUUAAUUUUCUCUUUUCUCCUUUUUUUCUAUAAUUUUUCAUUUUUCAUUUUUCCUUCGAGAAAGCAUUGAAUAAAAACAAAAUGAUUAAAACAUAUUUUUGAUGUUUUCCUUUCCUUCUCUUUUUUUUUUUCUAAAAAACUCUAUGCUAAUCUUAAACUAAAGCUAAAACUAAAAACUAAAAGUAAAAGUAAAUAAGAAUAAAUAGCAAAUGAAAUAGGUCAACUUAAAGGGCGAAAAUGAAUAAAAUUAAAAUAUCAUAACAACUAAUAGUGCAAAACACACAAUAACGAACUAAAAUGCAAGCAAUCUAAAAUGAAAAUCAUGAAAUAGAUGCUACAUAAAAUUAUUCAAAAUUUGGUGUCUACAUUAACGCACAAAAUCCUUUGUGCGUAGAAAUAAUACAUUUCUUUUUGGUAUUAUUACAUCUAAUUAUAAUUUUCUUUAUAAUGUAUUGUAUACACACAAUUGUAUUAUACAUCUAGGUUUCAUACAUAAAAUGCCAUCUAGUUUAUACUAAGGAUCGUACUUCUAGUUUAUACUACUAGGAAUUGGAAGCUCCACUAAAGGUCCUUGCUGCGCAUUAAAUUGCAAGACUCAUGACUCUUCUUGGUUAAACCAAAGUCUGCCAUCAUGUUCUCUCUCAACUUUCAUUAUCCCAUUUGGCAUUUGCCCGCCAAUUCCCCAUUUCAUCUCCAUUGUUUCCGUUAUGCCCGCUAUUCAUAAAAUAGUCAUGGGACUAUUUCAUGAAAUAGACAUUUCAUGAAAAAUAUUUUUUCUCUAAUCAAAGCUAUGACCAUGUUUCGGGACUAAUCUGACUAAUUACUAAUACAAUGAGAACUAUAUGUCUAAAUGUGUAAACACAUAGAAAAGCCAUAGUACCAUAUUGUGUUGAUUCAGCCAGCAAGGAUCAGUAACAUGUGAAGAAGGAGAAUAUUUAAAGAAUGAAUAGUACCGAAACUUCUAACUUGAUUCUUAUGAACAAUAGAAACAGCAAUAAUAUUAUAAUAUUGAGAAUAUUAUUAAUAAUUAAAAAUACAAUGAAAAUGCCAAUAUUUAAAGAAUAAAUAGCACCGAAACUUGUAAUUCGAUGGGCGCGAUAUUUGAAUCGGUGUAGUGGAGAUUUUAUUCAUCGUAGUUGAUGUCAGAUUCCUCUUUCAUCGAUGCAAAGUUGUUGGAACUUUUCCAAUUCCUGUGCGGGAUCGUUGUGGCAUACGUUUUGUUUCGUUAGCAAAUGUUUCCUCCUUUGCAAUCUUGCGAGCUUGAAAUUUAGGCGUUGUUGACAUGCCUGUAAACGGUCAUGUUCCAUUGUGAAAUUAAUUUGAGAGCUACUAACGAUACCAGUAUGAAGUGGAAAGAGUACUCGCAAGGUUGCAAUCUCAUUGUGGCAUUGGCAGAGUAGAAAGGACAAUAUAUGGCAUUGGAUGAGUAGAAACAGCAAUAUAUGGCAUUGGUAAAUUCGCAAAUUCUUGAUUGGAAGAGUUUUAUUUGUAGUGGAAAGGUCUGUGAAGAGGGAAAUUUAACUUGAAGGCUAAUAAGGAUAGCAACAGCAAGUGGAAAGAGAUCUUGUGCAAUCUUAUCAUGGAAUUGGAAGAGUUUUAAUGUAAGUGAAAUUCUUGAUUGGAAGAGUUUUAAUUGGAAUCUUAUCAUGGAAUUGGAAGAAUUUUAAUUGUAGUGGGAAAGUGUGUUAGGAGUGUUAUUUGGAGUAAGGUGUUUAAGGAGUGUUAGUUAGAAUUAACUUCUUGUUUGAGGGGAACAUGGGGGUGUAAUAUGCCCAAGAUAUUUUUUACGAAAUAAAUUAAAUGUAACACGCUAGAAAAAUAGAGUUGAGAGUGGGAAGGUCUGUGAAGGCUUGUUGCUAAAAAUCCCUUCUCUACCUACCUAACCAAUUAUUGUGUAUCUACUUUUAGCAUAAUGUUUUGCUAAUGGAAUUGGAAGAGUUUUAAUUGUAGUGGGAAGUUGUGUAAGGAGUGUUAGUUGGAAUAAGAUGUGUAAGGAGUGUUAGUUGGAAUUAACUUCUUGUUUGUGGGGAACAUGGGGGUGUAAUGUGUCCAAGAUAUUUUUUACGAAAUAAAUUAAAUGUAAAACGCUAGAAAAAUAGAGUUGACAGUGGGAAGGUCUGUGAAGGUUUGUUGCUAAAAAUCCCUUCUCUACCUACCUAACCAAUUAUUGUGUAAUCUACUUUUAGCUUAAUGUUUUACGAACUCCAUCAAUUGGACUCCAGGUUAUUUUAGUCAAUCAUUAAAUUAAACAUUACCUCAAUUUAACUGGAAUGGCAAAAUUUUUUGUUGUUUCUUGGAACCCUCGAGUUUAUACAAAUGCAUGUGAAAUAGAGGUAAAAUUGUUACUCAUUAUCGUCCGAGUUUGGGGUUUUCUUGACGUCACCUUUCACUUGCCGUUUGUAAUCCAAGAUUUUUAACACACAAAAUCAUUUGAGCGUAAAAAUGAUACAUUUCUUUUGAGUAUUAUUACAUCUAAUUAUAAAUUUCUUUAUAAUGUAUUGUAUACACACAAUUGUAUUGUACAUCUAGAUUUCAUCCAUAAGAUGCCAUCUAGUUUAUACUGAGGAUCGUACUUCUAGUUUAUACUACUGGGAAUUGGUAGCUCCAUUAAAGGUCCAUGCCGCGCAUUAAAUUGCAAGGCUCAUGACUCUUCUUGGCUAAACCAAAGUCUGCCAUCAUGUUCUCUCUAAACCUUCAUUCUCCCAAUUGGCAUUUGCCCGCCAAUUGCCCAUUUCAUUUCCUUUGUUUCCGUUACGCCUACUAUUCAUAAAACAAUCACGGGACUAUUUCAUAAAAUAGACAUUUCAUGAAAAAAUAUUUUUUCUCUAAUCAACGCUAUGACCGUAUUCCGGGACUAAUCUGACUAAUUACUAAUACAAUGAGAGCUAUAUGUCGAAAUGUCUAAACUCACAGAAAAGUCAUAGUACCAUAUUUUGUUGAUUCAUCCAGCAAGGAUCAAUAACAUGUGAAGAAGGAGAAUAUUUAAAUAAUGUAUAGUACCGAAACUUCUAACUUGAUUCUUGUGAACAAUAGAAACAACAAUAAUAUUAUAAUGUUGGGAAUAUAAUUAAUAAUUAAAAAUAUAAUGAAAAUGCCAAUAUUUGAAGAAUAAAUAGCACCGAAACUUGUAAUUCGAUGGGCGCGAUGUUUGAAUCGGUGUAGUGGAGAUUUUAUCCAUCAUAGUUGAUAUCAGAUUCCUCUUUCAUCGAUGCAAAGUUGGUGGAACUUUUCCAAUUCAUGUGCGGGAUCGUUGUGGCGUACGUUUCGUUUCGUUAGCAAAUGUUUCUUCCUUUGCAAUCUUGUGAGUUUGAAAUUUAGGCGUUGUUGACCUGCCUGUAAACGGCCAUGUUCCGUUGUGAAAUUAAUUUGAGAGCUACUAACGAUACCAGUAUAAAGUGGAAAGAGUACUUGCAAGGUUGCAAUCUUAUUAUGUCAUUAGCAGAGUAUAAAGGACAAUGUAUGGCAUUGGAAAAGUAGGAACGGCAAUAUAUGGCAUUGGCAAAUUCGCAAAUUAUUGAUUGGAAGGGUUUGAAUUGUAGUAGAAAGGUUUGUGUGGAGUGAAAUUUAAUUUGAGAACUAAUAAGGAUACCAAUAGCAAGUGGAAAGAGAUCUUGUGCAAUCUUAUCAUGGAAUUGGAAGAGUUUUAAUGUAAGUGAAAUUCUUGAUUGGAAGAGUUUUUAUUGUAGUGGGAAGGUGUGUAAGGAGUGUUAGUUGGAGUAAGGUGUGUAAGGAGUGUUAGUUGGAGUUAACUUCUUAUUUGAGGGGAACUUGGGGGUGUAAUGUGCCCAAGUUAUUUUUUACGAAAUAAAUUAAAUGUAAAACGCUAUAAAAAUAGAGGUAAGAGUGGGAAGAUCUGUGAAUGCUUGUUGCUAAAAAUCCCUUCUCUAUCUACCUACCCAAUUAUUGUGUAAUCUGCUUUUAGCUUAAUAUUUUACGAAUUCCAUCAAUUGGACUCCAGAUUAUUUUAGUCAAUCCUUAAGUUAAACAUUACCUCAAUUUAACUGGAAAGGCAAAAUUUUUUGUUGUUUAUCGGAAUCCACUAGUUUAUGCAGAUGCAUGUGAAAUAGAGGAAAAAUUGUUACUCAUUGUCGUCAGAGUUUGGGGUGUCCUUGACGUCACCUUUCACCUUGCCAUUUGUAAUCCAAGAUUUUUAACGCGCAUUUCUUUUGAGUAGAAAUAAUACAUCUCAUUAUUUCACCUUUCACCUUUCACUUUGUGCGUAGAAAUAAUACAUUUCUUUUGAGUAUUAUUACAUCUCAUUAUAAUUUUCCUUAUAAUGUAUUGUAUACACACAAUUGUAUUAUACAUCUAAGUUUCAUCCAUAAGAUGCCAUCUAGUUUAUACUGAGGAUCGUACUUCUACUUUAUACUACUGGGAAUUUGAAGCUCCAUUAAAGGGUCUUGCCGCGCAUUAAAUUGCAAGGCUCAUGACUCUUCUUGGCUAAACCAAAGUCUGCCAUCAUAUUCACUCUCAACCUUCAUUCUCCCAUUUGGAAUUUGCCCGCCAAUUCCCCACAUCAUCUCCUUUGUUUCCGUUAUGCCCACUAUUCAUAAAAUAGUCACUAGACUAUUUUAAAAAAGAGACAUUUCAUGAAAAAAUAUGUUUUCUCUAAUCCAAGUUAUGACCAUGUUCCGGGACUAAUCUGACUAAUUACUAAUAAAAUGGGAACUAUAUAUCUAAAUGUCUAAACUCACAGAAAAGCCAUAGUACCAUACUUUAUUGAUUCAGCCAGCAAGGAUCAGUUACAUGUGAAGAAUGAAAAUAUUUAAAGAAUGAAUAUCAACGAAACUUCUUACUUGAUUCUUAUAAACAAUAGAAACAAUAAUAAUAUUAUAAUAUUGGUAAUAUUAUUAGUAAUUGAAAAUACAAUGAAAUGGCAAUAUUUAAAGAAUAAAUAGUACCGAAACUUGUAAUUCGAUGGGCGCGAUGUUUGAAUCGGUGUAGUCGAGAUUUUAUCCAUCGUAGUUGAUGUGAGAUUUCUCUCUCGUCGAUGCAAAGUUGUUGGAACUUUUCCAAUUCUUGUGUGGAAUCGUUGUGGCGUACGUUUCGUCUUGUUAGCAAAUGUUUUCUCCUUUGCAAUCUUGCGAGUUUGAAAUUUAGGCGUUGUUGACAUGCCUGUAAACGGUCAUGUUCCAUUGUGAAAUUAAUUUGAGUGUUACUAACGAUACCAGUAUAAAGUGGAAAGAGUACUCGCAAGGUUGCAAUCUUAUUGUGGCAUUGGCAGAGUAGAAGGACAAUAUAUGGCAUUGCAUGAGUAGAAACGGCAAUAUAUGGCAUUGGCAAAUUCGCAAAUUAUUGAUUGGAAGAGUUUUAAUUGUAGUAGAAAUGUCUGUGAAGAGUGAAAUUUAACUUGAGGGCUAAAAAGGAUACCAAUAGCAAGUGGAAGGAGAUCUUGUGCAAUCUUAUCAUGGAAUUGGAAGAGUUUUAAUGUAAGUGAAAUUCUUGAUUGGAAGAGUUUUAAUUGCAAUCUUAUCAUGGAAUUGGAAGAGUUUUAAUUGUAGUAGGAAGGUAUGUGAGGGGAGUUAGUUGGAGUAAAGUGUGUAAGGAGUGUUAGUUGGAGUUAACUUCCUGUUUGAGGGAAACGUGGGGGCGUAAUGUGCCUAGGAUAUUUUUUACGAAAUAAAUUAAAUGUAAAAUGUUAGAAAAAUAGAGCUGAGAGUGAGAAGAUCUGUGAUGGCUUGUUGCUAAAAAUCCCUUCUCUAUCUACCUAACCAAUUAUUGUGUAAUCUACUUUUAGUUUAAUGUUUUACGAACUCCAUCAUUUAGAUUCCAGGUUAUUUUAGUCAAUCCUUAAGUUAAACAUUACCUCAAUUUAACUGGAAAGGCAAAAUUUUUUGUUGUUUCUUGAAACCCUCCAGUUUAUGCAGAUGCAUGUGAAAUAGAGGUAAAAUUGUUACUUAUUGUCGUCUGAAUUUGGGAUUUUCUUGACGUCACUUUUCACCUUGUCGUUUGUAAUCCAAAAUUUUUAACGCACAAAAUCCUUUGUGCGUAGAAAUAAUACAUUUCUUUUUUGUAUUAUUACAUCUAAUUAUAAUUUUCUUUAUAAUGUAUUGUAUACACACAAUUGUAUUAUACAUCUAAGUUUCAUCCAUAAGAUGCCAUAUAAUUUAUACUGAUGAUCGUACUUCUAGUUUAUACUACUGGGAAUUGGAAGCUCCAUUAAAGGUCCUUGCCGCGCAUUAAAUUGCAAGACUCAUAACUCUUCUUGGCUAAACCAAAGUCUGCCAUCAUGUUCUCUCUCAACCUUCAUUCUCCUAUUUGGCAUUUGCCCGCCAAUUCCCCACUUCAUCUCCAUUGUUUCCGUUAAGCCCACUAUUCAUAAAACUGUCACGGGACUAUUUCAUAAAAUAGAUAUUUCAUGAAAAAUAUUUUUUCUCUAAUCAAAGCUAUGACCAUGUUCCGGGACUAAUCUGACUAAUUACUAAUACAACGAGAAUUAUAAGUCUAAAUGUUUAAACUCACAGAAAAGUCAAAGUACCAUACUGUGUUGAUUUAACCAGCAAGGAUCAGUAACAUGUGAAGAAGGAGAAUAUUUAAAGAAUGAAUAGUACCGAAACUUCUAACUUGAUUCUUAUGAGCAAUAGAAACAACACUAAUAUUAUAAUAUUGGAAAUAUUAUUAAUAAUUAAAAAUACAAUGAAAAUGCCAAUAUUUAAUGAAUAAAUAGCACCGAAACCUGUAAUUCGAUGGGCACGAUAUUUGAAUCGGUGUAGUAGAUAUUUUAUUCAUCGUAGUUGAUGUCAGAUUCCUCUUUCAUCGAUGCAAAGUUGUUGGAACUUUUCCAAUUCUUGUGCGGGAUCGUUGUGCGUACGUUUUGUUUCGUGAGCAAAUGUUUCCUCCUUUGCAAUCUUGCGAGUUUGAAAUUUAGGCAUUGUUGACAUUCCUGUAAACGGCCAUGUUCCAUUGUGAAAUUAAUUUGAGAGCUACUAACGAUACCAGUAUGAAGUGGAAAGAGUACUCGCAAGGUUGCAAUCUUAUUGUGGCAUUGGCAGAGUAGAAAGGACAAUAUAUGGCAUUGGAUGAGUAGAAAAAGCAAUAUAUGGCAUUGGCAAAUUCGCAAAUUCUUGAUUGGAAGAGUUUUAAUUGUAGUGGAAAGGUCUGUGAAGAGUGAAAUUUAACUUGAAGGCUAAUAAGGAUAGUAACAGCAAGUGGAAAGAGAUCUUGUGCAAUCUUAUCAUGGAAUUGGAAGAGUUUUAAUGUAAGUGAAAUUCUUGUUUGGAAGAGUUUUAAUUGCAAUCUUAUCAUGGAAUUGGAAGAAUUUUAAUUGUAGUGGGAAAGUGUGUAAGGAGUGUUAGUUGGAGUAAGGUGUUUAAGGAGUGUUAGUUGGAAUUAACUUCUUGUUUGAGGGGAACAUGGGGGUGUAAUGUGCCCAAGAUAUUUUUUACGAAAUAAAUUAAAUGUAAAACGUUAGAAAAAUAGAGUUGAGAGUGGGAAGGUCUAUGAAGGCUUGUUGCUAAAAAUCCCUUCUCUACCUACCUAACCAAUUAUUAUGUAUCUACUUUUAGCCUAAUGUUUUACUAAUGGAAUUGGAAGAGUUUUAAUUGUAAUGGGAAGUUGUGUAAGCAGUUUUAGUUGGAGUAAGGUGUGUAAGGAGUGUUAGUUGGAAUUAACUUCUUGUUUGUGGGGAACAUGGGGGUGUAAUGUGUCCAAGAUGUUUUUUACGAAACAAAUUAAAUGUAAAUCGCUAGAAAAAUAGAGUUGAGAGUGGGAAGGUCUGUGAAGGCUUGUUGCUAAAAAUCCCUUCUCUACCUACCUAACCAAUUAUUGUGUAAUCUACUUUUAGCUUAAUAUUUUACGAACUCCAUCAAUUGGACUCCAGGUUAUUUUAGUCGUUCCUUAAGUUAAACAUUACCUCAAUUUAACUGGAAUGGCAAAAUUUUUUGUUGUUUCUUGGAACCCUCAUGUUUAUACAAAUGCAUGUGAAAUAGAGGUAAAAUUGUUACUCAUUGUCGUCUGAGUUUGGGGUUUUCUUGACGUCACCUUUCACUUACCGUUUGUAAUCCAAGAUUUUUAACACACAAAAUCAUUUGAGCGUAAAAAUGAUACAUUUCUUUUGAGUAUUAUUACAUCUAAUUAUAAAUUUCUUUAUAAUGUAUUGUAUACACACAAUUGUAUUAUACAUCUAGGUUUCAUCCAUAAGAUGCCAUCUAGUUUAUACCUGAGGAUCGUACUUCUAGUUUAUACUACUGGGAAUUGGUAGCUCCAUUAAAGGUCCUUGCCGCGCAUUAAAUUGCAAGGCCCAUGACUCUUCUUGGCUAAACCAAAGUCUGCCAUCAUAUUCUCUCUAAACCUUCAUUCUCCCAAUUGGCAUUUGCCCGCCAAUUGCCCAUUUCAUUUCCUUUGUUUCCGUUAUGCCUACUAUUCAUAAAACAAUCACGGGACUAUUUCAUAAAGUAGACAUUUCAUGAAAAAAUAUUUUUUCUCUAAUCAAAGCUAUGACCAUGUUCCGGGACUAAUCUGACUAAUUACUAAUACAAUGAGAACUAUAUGUCUGAAUGUCUAAACUCACAGAAAAGUCAUAGUACCAUACUUUGUUGAUUCAUCCAGCAAGGAUCAAUAACAUGUGAAGAAGGAGAAUAUUUAAAUAAUGAAUAGUACCGAAACUUCUAACUUGAUUAUUGUGAACAAUAGAAAAAACACUAAUAUUAUAAUAUUGGAAAUGUUAUUAAUAAUUAAAAAUACAAUGAAAAUGUCAAUAUUUAAUGAAUAAAUAGCACCGAAACCUGUAAUUCGAUGGGCACGAUAUUUGAAUCGGUGUAGUAGAGAUUUUAUUCAUCGUAGUUGAUGUCAGAUUCCUUUUUCGUCGAUGCAAAGUUGUUGGAACUUUUCCAAUUCUUGUGCAGGAUCGUUGUGGCGUACGUUUUGUUUCGUGAGCAAAUGUUUCCUCCUUUGCAAUCUUGCGAGAUUGAAAUUUAGGCAUUGUUGAGAUUCCUGUAAACGGCCAUAUUCCAUUGUGAAAUUAAUUUGAGAGCUACUAACGAUACCAGUAUGAAGUGGAAAGAGUACUCGCAAGGUUGCAAUCUUAUUGUGGCAUUGGCAGAGUAGAAAGGACAAUAUAUGGCAUUGGAUGAGUAGAAACAGCAAUAUAUGGCAUUGGCAAAUUCGUAAAUUCUUGAUUGGAAGAGUUUUAAUUGUAGUGGAAAGGUCUGUGAAGAGUGAAAUUUAACUUGAAGGCUAAUAAAGAUAGCAACAGCAAGUGGAAAGAGAUCUUGUGCAAUCCUAUCAUGGAAUUGGAAGAGUUUUAAUGUAAGUGAAAUUCUUGAUUGGAAGAGUUUUAAUUGCAAUCUUAUCAUGGAAUUGGAAGAAUUUUAAUUGUAAUGGGAAAGUGUGUAAGGAGUGUUAGUUGGAGUAAGGUGUGUAUGGAGUGUUAAUUGGAAUUAAUUUCUUAUUUGAGGGGAACUUGGGGGUGUAAUGCGCCCAAGUUGUUUUUUACGAAAUAAAUUAAAUGUAAAACGCUAUAAAAAUGGAGGUAAGAGUGGGAAGAUCUGUGAAGGCUUGUUGCUAAAAAUCACUUCUCUAUCUACCUUCCCAAUUAUUGUGUAAUAUGCUUUUAGCUUAAUGUUUUACGAAUUCCAUCAAUUGGACUCCAGGUUAUUUUAGUCAAUCCUUAAGUUAAACAUUACCUCAAUUUAACUGGAAAGGUAAAAUUUUUUGUUGUUUCUCGGAAUCCACUAGUUUAUGCAGAUGCAUGUGAAAUAGAGGAAAAAUUGUUACUCAUUGUCGUCAGAGUUUGGGGUGUUCUUGACGUCACCUUUCACCUUGCCAUUUGUAAUCCAAGAUUUUUAACGCGCAUUUCUUUUCAGUAGAAAUAAUACAUCUCAUUAUUUCACCUUUCACCUUUCACUUUGUGCGUAGAAAUAAUACAUUUCUUUUGAGUAUUAUUACAUCUCAUUAUAAUUUUCCUUAUAAUGUAUUGUAUACACACAAUUGUAUUAUACAUCUAAGUUUCAUCCAUAAGAUGCCAUCUAGUUUAUACUGAGGAUCGUACUUCUACUUUAUACUACUGGGAAUUUGAAGCUCCAUUAAAGGGUCUUGCCGCGCAUUAAAUUGCAAGGCUCAUGACUCUUCUUGGCUAAACCAAAGUCUGCCAUCAUAUUCACUCUCAACCUUCAUUCUCCCAUUUGGAAUUUGCCCGCCAAUUCCCCACAUCAUCUCCUUUGUUUCCGUUGUACCCACUAUUCAUAAAACAGUCACGAGACUAUUUCAAAAAAGAGACAUUUCAUGAAAAAAUAUGUUUUCUCUAAUCCAAGUUAUGACCAUGUUCUGGGACUAAUCUGACUAAUUACUAAUAAAAUGAGAACUAUAUAUCUAAAUGUCUAAACUCACAGAAAAGCCAUAGUACCAUACUUUAUUGAUUCAGCCAGCAAGGAUCAGUUACAUGUGAAGAAUGAAAAUAUUUAAAGAAUGAAUAGCAACGAAACUUCUUACUUGAUUCUUAUAAACAAUAGAAACAAUAAUAAUAUUAUAAUAUUGGUAAUAUUAUUAGUAAUUGAAAAUACAAUGAAAUGGCAAUAUUUAAAGAAUAAAUAGUACCGAAACUUGUAAUUCGAUGGGCGCGAUGUUUGAAUCAGUGUAGUCGAGAUUUUAUCCAUCGUAAUUAAUAUGAGAUUUCUCUCUCGUCGAUGCAAAGUUGUUGGAACUUUUCCAAUUUUUGUGUGGGAUCGUUGUGGCGUACGUUUCGUCUUGUUAGCAAAUGUUUUCUCCUUUGCAAUCUUGCGAGUUUGAAAUUUAGGCGUUGUUGACAUGCCUGUCAACGGUCAUGUUCCAUUGUGAAAUUAAUUUGAGUGUUACUAACGAUACCAGUAUAAAGUGGAAAGAGUACUCGCAAGGUUGCAAUCUUAUUGUGGCAUUGGCAGAGUAGAAAGGACAAUAUAUGGCAUUGGAUGAGUAGAAACGGCAAUAUAUGGCAUUGGCAAAUUCGCAAAUUCUUGAUUGGAAGAGUUUUAAUUGUAGUGAAAAGGUCUGUAAAGAGUGAAAUUUAACUUGAUGGCUAAUAAGGAUACCAAUAGCAAGUGGAAGGAGAUCUUGUGCAAUCUUAUCAUGGAAUUGGAAGAGUUUUAAUUGUAGUAGGAAGGUAUGUGAUGGGAGUUAGUUGGAGUAAAGUGUAUAAGGAGUGUUAGUUGGAGUUAACUUCCUGUUUGAGGGGUACGUGGGGGCGUAAUGUGCCUAGGAUAUUUUUUACGAAAUAAAUUAAAUGUAAAAUGCUAGAAAAAUUGAGUUGAGAGUGAGAAGAUCUGUGAUGGCUUGUUGCUAAAAAUUCCUUCUCUAUCUACCUAACCAAUUAUUGUGUAAUCUACUUUUAACUUAAUAUUUUACGAAUUCCAUCAAUUGGAUUCCAAGUUAUUUUAGUCAAUCCUUAAGUUAAACAUUACCUCAAUUUAAUUGGAAAGGCAAAAUUUUUUGCUGUUUCUUGAAACCCUCCAGUUUAUGCAGAUGCAUGUGAAAUAGAGGUAAAAUUGUUACUUAUUGUCGUCUGAAUUUGGGAUUUUCUUGACGUCACCUUUCACCUUGUCGUUUGUAAUCCAAAAUUUUUAACGCACAAAACCCUUUGUGCGUAGAAAUAAUACAUUUCUUUUUUGUAUUAUUACAUCUAAUUAUAAUUUUCUUUAUAAUGUAUUGUAUACAAACAAUUGUAUUAUACAUCUAGGUUUCAUCCAUAAGAUGCCAUCUAAUUUAUACUGAUGAUCGUACUUCUAGUUUAUACUACUGGGAAUUGGAAGCUCCAUUAAAGGUCCUUGCUGCGCAUUAAAUUGCAAGACUCAUGGCUCUUCUUGGCUAAACCAAAGUCUGCCAUCAUGUUCUCUCUCAACCUUCAUUCUCUCAUUUGGCAUUUGCCCGCCAAUUCCCCACUUCAUCUCCAUUGUUUCCAUUAUGCCCACUAUUCAUAAAACUGUCACGGGACUGUUUCAUAAAAUAGACAUUUCAUGAAAAAUAUUUUUUCUCUAAUCAAAGCUAUGACCAUGUUCCGGGACUAAUCUGACUAAUUACUAAUACAAUGAGAACUAUAAGUCUAAAUGUCUAAACUCACAGAAAAGCCAAAGUACCAUACUGUGUUGAUUUAACCAGCAAGGAUCAGUAACAUGUGAAGAAGGAGAAUAUUUAAAGAAUGUGAAGAAGGAGAAUAUUUAAAGAAUGAAUAGUACCGAAACUUCUAACUUGAUUCUUAUGAACAAUAGAAACAACACUAAUAUUAUAAUAUUGGAAAUAUUAUUAAUAAUUAAAAAAACAAUGAAAAUGCCAAUAUUUAAUGAAUAAAUAGCACCGAAACCUGUAAUUCGAUGGGCGCGAUAUUUGAAUCGGUGUAGUGGAGAUUUUAUUCAUCGUAGUUGAUGUCCGAUUCCUCUUUCAUCGAUGCAAAGUUGUUGGAACUUUUCCAAUUCUUGUGCGGGAUCGUUGUGGCGUACGUUUUGUUUCAUUAGCAAAUGUUUCCUCCUUUGCAAUCUUGCGAGAUUGAAAUUUAGGCAUUCUUGACAUUCCUGUAAACGGCCAUGUUCCAUUGUGAAAUUAAUUUGAGAGCUACUUACGAUACCAGUAUGAAGUGGAAAGAGUACUCGCACGGCUACAAUCUUAUUAUGGCAUUGGCAGAGUAUAAAGGACAAUAUAUGGCAUUGGAAGAGUAGGAAUGGCAAUAUGUGGCAUUGGCAAAUUAGCAAAUUCUUGAUCGAAAGGGUUUUAAUUGUAGUGGAAAGGUUUGUGUGGAGUGAAAUUUAACUUGAGAGCUAAUAAGGAUACCAACAGCAAGUGGAAAGAGAUCUUGUGCAAUCUUAUCAUGGAAUUGGAAGAGUUUUAAUGUAAGUGAAAUUCUUGAUUGGAAGAGUUUUAAUUUCAAUCUUAUCAUGGAAUUGGAAGAGUUUUUAUUGUAGUGGGAAGAUGUGUAAGGAGUGUUAGUUUGUGUAAGGUGUGUAAGGAGUGUUAGUUAGAGUUAACUUCUUGUUUGAGGGGAACAUGGGGGUGUAUUGUGCCCAAGAUGUUUUUUACGAAAUUAAUUAUAUGUAAAACGCUAGAAAAAUAGAGUUGACAGUGGGAAGGUCUGUGAAGGUUUGUUGCUAAAAAUCCCUUCUCUAUCUACCUAACCAAUUAUUGUGUAAUCUACUUUUAACUUAAUAUUUUACGAACUCCAUCAAUUGGACUCCAGGUUAUUUUAGUCAAUUCUUAAGUUAAACAUUACCUCAAUUUAACUGGAAAGGCUAAAUUUUUUGUUGUUUCUUGAAACCCUCUAGUUUAUGCAGAUGCAUGUGAAAUAGAGAUAAAAUUGUUACUCAUUGUCGUCUGAGUUUGGGGCUUUCUUGACGUCAUCUUCACCUUGCCGUUUGUAAUCCAUGUUUUUUAACGCACAAAAUCCUUUGUGCGUAGAAAUAAUACAUUUCUUUUGAGUAUUAUUACAUCUAAUUAUAAUUUUCUUUAUAAUGUAUUGUAUACACACAAUUGUAUUAUACAUCUAGGUUUCAUCCAUAAGAUGCCAUCUAGUUUAUGCUGAGGAUCGUACUUCUAGUUUAUACUACUGGAAAUUGGAAGCUCCAUUAAAGGUCCUUGUCGCGCAUUAAAUUGCAAGGCUCAUGACUCUUUUUGGCUAAACCAAAGUCUGCUAUCAUGUUCUCUCUCAACCUUCAUUCUCCCACUUGGCAUUUGCCUGCCAAUUCCCCACUUCAUCUCCUUUGUUUCCAUUAUGCCUACUAUUCAUAAUACAGUCACGGGACUAUUUCAUAAAAUAGACAUUUCAUGAAAAAAUAUUUUUUCUCUAAUCAAAGCAAUGACCAUGUUCCUGGACUAAUCUGACUAAUUACUAAUACAAUGAGAACUAUAUGUCUAAAUGUCUAAACUCAUAGAAAAGCCAUAGUACCAUACUUUGUUGAUUCAGUCAGCAAGGAUCAGUAACAUGUGAAGAAGGAGAAUAUUUAAAGAAUGAAUUGUACCGAAACUUCUAACUUGAUUCUUAUGAAUAAUAGAAAUAACAAUAAUAUUAUAAUAUUGGAAAUAUUAUUAAUAAUUAAAAAUACAAUGAAAAUACCAAUAUUUAAAGAAUAAAUAGCACCGAAACUUGUAAUUCGAUGGGCGCGAUGUUUGAAUCGGUUAGUGGAGAUUUAAUCCAUCGUUGUUGAUGUCAGAUUCCUCUUUCGUCGAUGCAAAGUUGUUGGAACUUUUUCAAUUCUUGUGCGGGAUCGUUGUGGCAUACGUUUCGUUUCGUUAGCAAAUGUUUCCUCCUUUGCAAUCUUGCGAGGUUGAAAUUUAGGCGUUGUUGACAUGCCUGUAAACGGUCAUGUUCCAUUGUGAAAUUAAUUUGAGAGCUACUAACGAUACCAAUAUAAAGUGGAAAGAGUACUUGCAAGGUUGCAAUCUUAUUAUGGAAUUGGCAGAGUAGAAAGGACAAUAUAUGGCAUUGGAUGAGUAGAAACGGUAAUAUAUGCCAUUGGCAAAUUCGCAAAUUCUUGAUUAGAAGGGUUUUAAUUGUAGUGGAAAGGUCUGUGUGGUGUGAAAUUUAACUUGAGGGCUAAUAAGGAUACCAACAGCAAUUGGAAAGAGAUCUUAUGCAUUGUUAUCAUGGAAUUAGAAGUGUUUUAAUGUAAGUGAAAUUCUUGAUUGGAAGAGUUUUAAUUGCAAUCUUGUCAUGGAAUUGGAAGAGUUUUAAUUGUAGUGGGAAGGUGUGUGAGAAAUAUUAGUUGAAAUAAGGUGUGUAAGGAGUGUUAGUUGGAGUUAACUUCUUGUUUGAGGGAAACGUGGGAGUGUAAUGUACCCAUAAUGUUUUUUACGAAAUAAAUUAAAUGUAAAAUGAUAGAAAAAUAGAGUUGAGAGUGGGAAGGUUUGUGAAGGUUUGUUACUAAAAAUUCCUUCUCAAAUUUAAAUAGAUAUAGAUUAUUUUAAUGUACUUUUUGAUCAAACAAAUGGUUACUCAACAUCUUUUCAAAUUCAAAUCCAUCGACUGCAGCUGCGAUUCUCAGUGAUCAUGGUAACUCUAAAUUUAUCCGCAAUUUCAAAUUCAUGCUUAACGAUUAAUUUUUUUUAAUGCGCUACAUUAUUAUAUUAACUUUCUGUAUUACAUAAUGGUAGAUGAAUUACAUAAUGACUCACCAACUUCUGAAUUUUCUAUUACACCUACGUCAUCAUCUAAUGGUCUCGAUGAUGAUAAGUCCAAGUUUUCUCAUGUAUCUUGACUAAGUAAUCAAUUAUUAUUUAUGCAAUUCAAUUUCUUUCAAUUCAUUUUUUGCAUUUGACUUCCAAAAAUUCAUUAUACAUACAGGCUCAUCCGAAGAAUUUGUUCCUGCUACACAAGACAUUAUGCCUACUAACACAGUUGGAGUAGAACAAAUAGGUAAUCUACUAAUACUUUUCUCAUGUUACCAUAAUUAAUAUUUCUUGCUAUAUGUUCUUAGGCAUACUAAUAUUAUGUGCUUUAUUUUCAUACAAUAACUUUACAAUAUGUCUUUCAUACAGUGAUAGUUUUAGGUAUGUACCUUAUUAUACUUAUUUUAUUAAUGAAUUAGAUCAAAUAGGCCGAACGCGACGGCAACAUCGAAUCACAAGAAGAUGGACAUUUGGUCCAAGAACAGUAAUCUGUCACAAAUGUCAAUCUCUAAUAUGGGUGGAAGAAAGAAUUCAAGGUAGUACAAAAUAAAAUCCAAGAUUGAAUUUAUAUUGUUAAGAUGGGAAUGUUGUUUUACUGUUCUUGCCUCAAACUCCCUAAGUUUUACAACAUAUAUUUACCACUUCAACAUUGAAAGAGAAGAUUCGAUUGCUGAAUGCACUAUUCGGGUUUACAUCCAUGGGAGGCAAAAUAGAUCAUUCUGUAGUCAAUUCUGUCGGACCAUAUUCAUUUCGAAUUAGUGGAGAAAAUUAUCAUCUAAUCGGAUCGCUUUUGCCACCUCUUGGAGAAUUAAGUAGAUUCAUACAAUUAUACAUUCAUGAUAUUGACAAUGAGUUGCAGAAUCGUAUGAAUCUUCUGAAUAGUCAUGAUGGCAAUCCAAUUGGGAUUGAUGCAUCAAUAAUUGAAGGAUUGCAAAAUAUGUUAGAUGAAAUAAAUCCAUAUGUACAAGUUUUUCGAAGUGCAAGAGACAUGCUUCGAAAUCAAAAUAUUGUCAAUAUGCAAGUAUAGAUAAUUAGUGCUCGAGGUGACAGACAAUAUAUCCAACCAACUGCAAAUGAAGUUGCUGCUUUGAUUGUCGGUGAAGAUACUGGUCAUGUCACACACCGUGAUAUUGUGCUUGUCACUCGAGAUGGAAAUUUGAAAAGAAUCAGUGAGACACAUCCAUCAUAUAUGCCACUUCAAUACCCUUUACUAUUUUCAUAUGGAAUAGACGGAUGGCAUUGUGCAAUAAGAUUUUCACCCUCUGCCGUUAGGAAGAGAGAAUUUGUGUCGAUGCGCGAAUUCUAUGCGUAUCGUAUAUAAUUUCGACAAAAUGAAGGCCACAAACUUUUGAAAGGUGCCAAACUAUUUCAACAAUUCGUUGUUGAUUGUUAUGCAGCUAUUGAACACUACAGAUUAAAUUUUAUAAAAACCCAUCAAUCUAUAUUACAUGCUGAUAUAUAUCAAGGUUUAGAAGAUGUUGUACUUGCUGGAGGUACAGAUGAAUCAGUAGUUGGAAGGACAGGAUGCGAUGGCAAUUUGUAGGACAAUUGAAAAUCCAGAUCUUUUCAUUACAUUUACUUGCAAUCCCAGUUGGCCAGAAAUUAAACAAGAGUUGACAAGAAUAUCGGGACAGAAAGUUGAGGACAGACCAGAUAUUACGGUUCGAUUUUUCGGAUAAGACAAAAAAAUUUGAUGGAUGUUUUAAAAAAUACCCAAUUAUUUGGAAAAGGGCUUGCAGGUACAAAUUUUACUUUAUUUAAAUUAUUAAUUUUUUUUCCAAUCCCUAUAUUCUACUAUACACUAAGAUUACUUCCAUAAUGUGCAGACAUCUCUGUCAUUGAAUUUCAAAAACGUGAUUUACCACAUACUCAUAUCACUCUAACAUUAGCUCCGGAUGAUAAGCCCCUUACUCCAGAGCAAAUUGAUGAUAUCAUUUGUGCUGAAAUACCUGACAAAAAUGCUGACACACUAGCUUAUGAUACGGUCAUUAGGUGCAUGUUACACGGACCCUGUGGUGAUACUCAUCCAAAUGCUCCGUGUAUGGUGAAUGGAAAGUGCUCUAAACACUAUCCAAAAAAAUUUUGUAGUGAAACCACUAUUGAUGAAAAUGAAUUUGUAUCAUACAGACGUAGAGAUGAUUCAAAUAAGAGGGUAACUAUUAAUGGUUUUACAUUUGGCAACAGAUGGGUUGUUUCUUAUAAUCGAGAUUUGAUUGUGAUGUUUGAUGGUCAUAUCAAUGUGACCAAAGUUACACGUCCGGAAAUCACUAAAUAUCUGUACAAGUACAUGAGUAAUGGGGGUUGGUAGAGUAAAUGUUCAGAUUGAGAAUAACGUUGUACUUGCAAAUGAAAGUUGUGAUGACCCCACCUCCUCCUAGAGCGUACCCUAGGGUUUAGCGAUUCGCCUGCCCAACUCUCGUCGGGACUCACUCACAUUUAACUCAAGAAAAGAACUUACAACCAUAGAAAAGAAAUAAAACAACGAUUUCAAACUUAACAUAUACAUCAAUACUCAAAUCCAGUUACAAGACUUAUACACACCCAAAUAUAUCAAGGUGUUUACAAUCCAGGUGCAACCAACUCUAGUCCAGCACUAGCGCGAGUACAAUUGUAAAAUCCAAAAAAACUAGACUACGCUAGCCUGUACAAGUCUCACACCUCGUUCGUAUCCCUUAUAAGGAAAACAAAACUAAAAGAAUGAACUAAAAGCCAGUGAGGUUCCAUACACAUAAUCGAGCAAUUAAAUCCAGGACAUUAAUCAUUUAAUAGAAAAUAAUCCAAAAAAUAUUUAACAUACAAAAUCAAUAAUAACCCACUCAUUAAAAGGAUAUAUGCUCACGUGGAGCCAUUCGUUCAUUCGUUCGCCAACCAUUUUUCUUAUUCCUCCAACAUUAGAAAACAUUUGCAAAUGAAAACUCUUCCAAUGUUUUUGACAUUCAUUCAUUCAUUCAUUUCAUUUCCCGCCACUAGCCAAUUCACUGGAUAGUCUCCACCAAUCUUCGUAGUCAUACUCGAGUAUACCAAACAUUAUCUCAGGGUCACCAAUCGUCCGACCGAGUCUGCUUCUGACUCGAGCCGACUGGCAACAAAGAGCAAGGGCCAAUUCAACUAAAAGUCUUACAUUCAUGCACAAGUAGCAUUUAAUCAUUGAAAAUUUCACAUUUAUUUAGGUCGAGUACGAUAAAGUACACACUCGCCUAACAAAAAUUCAUUUUAGCAAUCAUUGAAAAUAUUUAACAUUUAAUUAAACAUUCACAAUAAUCCACAUGGUCAUUUGAAGCAUAACCUACAAAAAACACUCACCAAUUUAAGUAAAAUAACGUCAAAAGUUUCCUUCCAGAUUAUGCCCUUAAUCACCGACAAACCCUAAGAAUGACCAAUCCUAAAUUGAAGUGAGCAAAGGUAAUUCAAAGUUUUCGAAAGAAAACUAGCACUUUUCAUCUUAGUUGAUAUCAAAUCUUGGUCAAAAUAAUUGAUAUAUUAAUAUUGAAAUGCAUUCAAGGAUACAUAUGUAACUUAAGAUCCAACUAACCCUAAACUCAAACCUUACAUCUCACUAAUAUUUAUAAAAGCAAGUAAUAGAAAUUUGGGCAGCAUGCCCUUUGUAUUUUGCCACUUUUCAGCCAUUUAUGAGUUCAUUUUUUUCCUCAACUCAGCCCAAAUUCAUACAUAAGCAAUCUUAACACAAUAACCCUUCAACUACGCUUAAUGUCAUCCAAAUACAAGGCAAUUCUAGCAAUGCAACCAUAAAAAUCAAAGUUGGAAACCAGUUUUGAAGACGAAUGGCUAAGUAGCAGGUUUGACAUCUUCCGGCGUUUUAAUCACAUUUGAAGCUACACUUAUCGGAUUGGGGUAAAUUUUAUGGAGUUUCAAAGCUAAGACAUAGACCUACAUUUCCUAUGAAGAUAUCGACACCCAGUUUGUGCAUUUUCAGGGUUAAAAUGUGCAAUAUCAGAGAAAACAGAAAGCUGCCUGUGAAAUAGGGCUUUUGGCAGUCAGGGGUAUUUUAGUUAUUUCACAUGAUACAGUACUCAGAUUGAGCUGAAAGUUUACAGGCCGAUAGUUAACUCCAUUCCCUACAACUUUUAUGUUUUGAUCUAAAUCUGAUUCGGCCUCUAUCAUGGACGAAUAUAUAGGUCAAAAAUAGGGCAAAUUCAUCAUUAAUAUUGGAAAUUUGAUGUUUCAAUGCUUAAAACUAACACCCAUGCCUUUAAUCAUUACGCCAAGUCCCUAUCCAAACUCAUAAACAUCAUAUACAAGAUAAACAACUUUAAUCACAAUUGAAAAUUACAAACUAGCUGAAAAUUAUAAGCUAAUAAGUAAGACCAUGAAAUCUUCCAUAAAAUUCAUCACUAUCAAGUCAUGCAUUGCUUCAAUUGCAAAAUAAGAAAGAAAAAGAGAGGUUUCUAGUAUAAUACCUCAAAAAUCCCAAAAUAAGUUGUGAUACAAGAACUUUCUUCCUCUCAAAAGUUGCACCAAGCUUACCUCCAAGCUUCCCCGUAGAUUUAUCGGAGUGGAUUCAAGUUUUACUUUACUUUUCUCAAGAAUCAAGCAAGCUAUCAAGAUGAAAUUUUUGGAAGUUUUUCUCUCUUUUCUUUCCCUAGAAUUUCAGCCAAGGUGAAGGAAAUGGAGAAGAAAUGAAGCCAAAAGAAAGAUAAGAAGAUAGGAAAUUAAUUUGGUCAAAAUUGGUUGGAUCCUUGAUACUUGUCAAGCCAAGAUUUCCUUUCUUUGUUUUUUUCUUUUCUUUCCUUUCCUUUGGUCAAAAAUGGUGGCUUCUUUAUAGGAUAUUUUAGGGGUAAUUAGCUGAAAUAAAAGAAAGGAAAUUAAGAUAAUAAAGUAGUGUUCAAGUGGUGUACUCACUCGGUAGCAAACGGUGUACGUCGGUUCGAGCUGUUUUUCCUUAACUCGCACGUACUUGUGUUUUUACUUAUGGUUCACUAAUUUAUUAUUAUCACUUCUAAUCGCACACUUUUUCUUAUUUAGUACACACAGUUCACCAAGUAAUCACACGGUCAAAAUACGCGAAAAUCCUAAUUUACGCUAACUAUAAAACUUAAGGUACAACCCUUGAUUCUAUGAUUUAUUGUAACUAUUGAGGGAGUAAAUGAGUAGUAAAGAUAUUAUAAAGUAAUUUAAUCAAAAUAAAAGGAUAUUUUAAGAAAAUAAGAAGAACUUUUCGAGUCCUCACAAAAGUGGUCAUCGUCGUUACAGAAGCGCUGAUGAGAUUAAAUAGUACUUAGAUUGUCGAUAUUUAUCGCCAAUUGAGUCAUGUUGGAAGAUAUUUGAUUUCGAAAUGCACAGACAGUAUCCAUUAGUGAUUAGAUUGCAGUAUCAUCUUCCUGAUCAUCAAUUUGUGAUAUUUAACGAUGAUAAUCAUCUUUAUGACGUUCUUGAUCGUGAUCACAUACAUGACACAAUGUUGACGAAAUGGUUUGAAAUAAAUCAAAGCGAUGUUUCAGCUAGAAACUUGAUGUUUGUGGAGUUUCCGAGUAAGUGAAAUUGGAACCAAAAUAAACGUCUAUGGGAGUCCAGAUUGCAAGGCUACCAUAUGCACAUCCUCAUUCUGGUGAGCGAUACUAUUUGAGAAUGUUGCUGCAUAAAAUUCGUGAUGGACGAAGUUUUGAACAUUUGAGAACUAUUGAUGGAGUUGUGCAUCCAACAUUCAAAGCUGCAUGUGCAACACUUGGUCUUUCAGAUGAUUAUAAUGAGUGGAAUGAAGCUUUAGCUGAAGCAUCUACAUGGGCAUCUGCCAAAAAAUUACGAAACAUGUAUUGUACAAUACUUAUGCAUUCUGAAGUAACUAACCCUUUUGAUAUAUGGUAGCGUCACUGGAAAAGUAUGACAGAUGAUUUGCAAUAUCAGAUCAGAAGGGAUAUGGGAAACUCUCAAAUAUGCAUUGAUGAUGAUGAGUUACAAAAUUUGGAAUUAGUUGAACUCGAACUCAUUUUGAAUAAAAAUGGUCAAUCUUUAUGAGAUUUUUCACCAAUGCCAUUGCCGUCAUUUGAAAAUGCUCAGUUUUCCAUGAAUAGACUUAUAAGAGAAGAGCUUGAUUACGAUUUUACAUCAGAGCAACAAUUAUUUGAUAAUUUAUAUGCUAGUUUGAAUGAGGAUCAAUUGAAAGCAUAUGAUCUUAUUAUGGAAUCAUACACACAUAAUCACGGAGGACUAUUUUUUGUGUAUGGAAGUGGUGGGACAGGUAAAACUUAUUUAUGGAGAACAUUUAUUGCUCGAAUUAGAUCGCAGAGAAAAAUUGUUCUUUCAGUUGCAUCAUCAGGCAUUGCUGCAACACUCUUACCAGAUGGAAGGACAGCGCAUUCACAUUUCAAAAUUCCUAUUAAUUUGGAUAUGUCAUCAAGUUGUUCAAUCAAUAAAAAUUUUGACUUAGCCAAAUUAAUUAGAGAGACAUCUUUGAUAAUUUGGGACGAAACUCCAAUGACACAUUGACAUGGAUUUGAAGCGGUGGAUAGAACUUUCAAGGAUAUUUUAAAGUUGAGUGAAAAUGAUUCUGAGGAUUGUAUUUUCGGAGGAAAAUUGGUUGUUUUGGGUGGUGAUUUUCGACAAAUAUUACCGAUUGUUUCUAAUGGUAGAAGAAAAGCAACAGUAUCAGCUACAAUAAAAGAUCAACGAUUUGGGAUCACUGUAGAGUACUGGAUCUUAAAAUAAAUAUGCAAUUAAUGAAUUUACCUCUUCUUGAAAAUAUGCGCCAGCAAUUGACAGAUUUUGCAAAUUAGUUGUUGUCUGUUGGUGAAGGAAAGGUUUCAGCAAUUUUACUUGCUGAAUUUGGGGAAUCAAAUUGGAUUCGGAUGCUGUCGCAAUUUCUCAUAAAAAAUGACAGUCAAUCUUUGAUGCGGUUAAUAGAUUCUGUCUAUCCAAAUUUGAGAAAUUCAUACAAAAAUAGCACUUACCUCAAGGAAUGUGCUAUUUUGGCUCCAAAAAAUGGUGAUGUUGACAAGUUGAAUGAUAAGAUGCCAUCAAUACUUCUUAGUCAAUCACGUGCCUAUAUGAGUGCUGAUACUUUUUGCAAUACUAAAGGUGACAUUGUUGAAAAUAUGAAUCUCUUGAAAUGUUGCAUUUUUUGAAUUUUCCUAGACUUUCAAAUCAUUUUUUGGACUUAAAGAAGGAACUCCUAUAAUUUUUUUGAGAAAUCUCAAUCAGUCAGAAGGUCUUUGCAAUGGAACACGACUUGUCGUUACUAGAAUAGGGGAUAAAGUUCUCAAGGCAAAAGUCAUAACAGGAUCUAAUAUUAGAGAUUUAGUACUCAUACCUCAUAUCUCUUUAACACCACAGAGUGCACGGACUCCUUUUCCAAUUAAAAGGAGACAAUUUCCUGUGAAAGUGGCAUUUGCAAUGACUAUCAACAAAAGUCAGGGCCAAACAUUGAAAAAUGUUGGCGUUUACCUUCCUGAACCUGUGUUUGCACAUGGUCAACUUUAUGUUGCUCUGUCCCGUGCUACUUCGCCAGUUGGAUUGAAAAUACUCAUUGUUAAUAGAGAUAAUGAUCCAUGGAAUUACACAAAAAAUAUUGUGUAUCGUGAGAUUUUUGACUCCCUUUGAUAAAUUGUGGACAUCGCUUUGUUUAAAAAAAUAGUAUAUUUACUUCAUAUUAUAUGUACUAUAUAUGCUUCACACUUUGACAUUUUUUUGUACUUCUUUGAAUUUGUGUUACUUGCUGUCUCAACUACAGUGUUUAAAUAAUUAACCUUCAUGCUAUAUUAUAAUAAUUUACAGUAUUCGAUGUAUACCUUUUCUCUAUCUAGAUCCUUGCGGAUACUGAUGGAAUGUAAAGGUUAGAUUGUUUCGAUUAAUAAAUAUGACCAUAUAUGGAGUGCUUCAACGUUCGGGAUGUAUCAAGAUACUUUUUGUAGAUGAUCAGGUAAUAAUUAAGAGCGUAUGUUAUUUAUUAUAUUGAAUAUAGAAUAUUGAAUAUUUACUAAUCUGUUGAAAACUAUCAUAAAUUUGUCAUGCAGGGACUUAUAAGAGGCAGUAAUAUAAUAAACAUUUUCGCAGAUCAUCUCCAUGAAGGCAAGGUAUACUGGUUUCAAAAAAUAUAUGUAUAUAAUUUCGACAGAUCUUAAAUAACAGCUUGCACCGCAUUAGUACCAAUUAUCGUUUGGAAACGAUACGAAGAUAGUGAAUAUUUUAGAUGAUUGUCGAACCAUACCCCGUUUCAAGUUUAAUCUGGUCAAACUAAGAGAUACAGAACAGCACAUGGACAAUGAUUUGCAAUUGAUAGGUAUUUCAUUCAUAAUUAACCAUACUUCUAUUUAAGUUGUAUAUUUGAACUGGUAUUACUUAUACUUUUUGAUCUUUUGCAGAUGUAAUUGGUUUAAUUGUAUCUGUUGGUUCACACUAUCAAACAUCUAUCAAUGAUAAAACUAAGUGUGACAUACUUUUACUUGACAAAAGGUUAGUUAAUAGAUUCAAUAUCUUUGAAAUAUUUUAUAUUCUACAAAUUUUGAUUUAUACUUACCAAAAUUCUCUAAAUGAAGUUUGACAGUAGUUCAGUUGACUUUAUGUGAUAAAUUUGCAACUGAUGAUGGUGAACACUUGCAUCAAACUAUUACAAAAAUGUUUUGCUAGCCUGUGGUAUUUGUGUGAGAAAUUAUAAAGGUAAUUCAAUUUAUUUUCACUUUAUUUUAUUUAAUUUUUAUAGUUUAUCAAUAAAUAUAGCACAUUGUGCAGGACCGUCACUUUAUACUAUUCAAGCAAGCAAAUUGUAUGUGAAUUGCUACUUGGACUUUGCUCAAUACCUACAUAAUUGGUAAGUUUUACAAAUACCAAAAUAUUAAAUUAUUAAUAAUAUUUCAUACCCUUACGAAUAUGUAUUUGAAAAAUUUGCAGGUUUGAGAAUGAUAAAUGUGCUCAGAAAUUAGUGCGUGGUUGCAGUCAUGCAAUUUUACAAUGUCCCUAGCAUUGUUGAUAUCAAAUGCUAAGAGAAUAUGGAUAUCCAAAUAUGCAGUUAUACCUACAGUACAAUUCCUCUCAAUUAAUUAAGUAAUGAACGAGUAUCUACAUGUAGUUUCGAAUUAAUGUAAUCUAUACAUUCUUUGGAUGGUUUUAGGUUAAAUAUUUUCGGAUACUUGCUUACAUUCAAAGUAUCAACAUAGACAAUAUGUUCCAUGAGUUAUGCAAAAAUUGUGGACAAUCAUGUUAAUCUCAUUUUGCAAAAUUGGUGUGUAUCCAUUGUAAUGACGUAGUCGACACUAUUAUCAGGUAAUUAUUUUCAUAUAUUUUAAAUUUUAAUAUAAUUUUUUGCAUCAUAUAUCACAAUUUCUUCUGAACAGAUACAAUGUUAACAUAGAAGUUAGAGAUUCCAGUGGUAACCUAUACCUUGCUCUUCAAGACAAGCAUGCAUGAUUCAUGUUUUGUUGUGAUGCUUCUUAUCUUAGAGAUUUAAAAACAAAGGUAUACAUUAUUUAUAUGUAUAUAUUUUUAUACAAUAUUAUUUACAAACUGUCUAAAACAAAAGAUAAUUUUGAAUUAUGCAUGCUUUUAAUUGUCAGGAAAAUGGAGGUGCAUUGUUUGACCAACACAUUAAUUCAUGCAAAAAUCGUACAUUCUCAUUUAUAGUACAAACUCCACAAAAAUCAACAGAAUUAAUUAAACCCCCCCCCCAAAUACUGGCAUUCGUGCUCAGAGUUGAUCGGUGUGAAGGAUGUUAACACCUUCGUAGAAGAUUAUCAAAUCAAAGGCAAAAUGUUUGUAAGUAUUUCAUUUAUUUAUCAAAUUAAAUAUUCAAUUAUAUUUAAUUGGACCCUUAUGUCGCUCAAUUUAUGAUAUAGAUUUCUAUUUUUUUUCAAGAUCCAACCUUCAUCAAAGUGAUAGUUUAUAAAUAAUGGAGAUGUUUUUAUCAUAUAUUGAACUAUUGUUACAAUAUUUCAUUUUUUUAAAUAUACUUUCAUGUGCCCGUGAUUAUAAUAUUUUACUAUUUUUAAAUUCCUCCAUAGAUUGUAAUUUUUUUCAAAAAUGUAAUCUGCUGUGCAUAGCACGAGUAUUUAUACUAGUUUUUUAAAAUGCUUAAUGCCAUCUACCAAUUGUUAAGUCAAAUGGGAUGACUGUUACUUUUGAACCUCAAGAGGUAUUGGUAGUUUGGUCAAAAUGGAGAGGUAAAUGUAAUUAAUUCAAUACUUGAUUUUGUGUUGUGCUAUAGACAAAAAUUUUUUGGUUUAAAAUUAUUUUUCUUUUUUUGUUGCCACUUUAUAUAUAUGAGUUUUCAGGCAAUCAUUAUCCAAUAGAGACAUCCAACGAUAGGGAUGGCAAUUUCUGGCACGACACGACAAUACGACUGGAACAUGAUCCGUAAUUAAUAGGUUUUAGCACGAAAUGAAUUUUAAUGGAUCAUUAGUGGGUCAGCUUGUUAGUGACACGAAUGUAAGUGAGUUGGGUUUGGUCAACCAGCAGGUUGACACACUAACCCGAUAAGGUGCUUAUUUUAUAAUAAUAAUUAACACUAUAGAAGCCAUUUUGAGUAUUUUGUAAAAACUAAGAACGAUUAAACUUGGCUUGAACAUUUCAAUUAGAUGUUUUAAAAACUCAUAUUUUGUAUCUUCUCAUUUAUGGAAAUAUCCUACCAUGUUUCUAAAAGGUUAAUUGGAUCUCACUUUCUAGAGAGUUUUUGGAGAAAAAUUACUUUAAUACUUCUUAUAGGAUGUUAUAUAUGUGAGAUAAAGGGUGAUUGAAAUAUGUGUAGAAGGAAUAUUCACAAAAUGUGGAGAAAUUUUUCAAAAAUAGCAAUCCAAAUAAGGUUGACUUUGUAACUUAUAUUAUGCUUGGGAAGCUUCAUCAUCUAUCAUUUUUUUAAUGUUUUACGACAUGAAAGUCUAAUUGGUUGGAUUAGGGUUGAGAUUUUCUAACAUAAACACGAUAACGAUACGACACGAUAAGUGUAGAGUAUUUAACGAGUUACGCGAGUUCGUUUGAAUCAACUCGUUAACAAAUAGAUCAUGACAUAGCACAAAAUGAAAGUCUAAUGGGUUGGGUUAGGGUUGAGAUUUUUCUGAGAUGAAAAUGAUAAUGACAAAACACAAUAAGUACACGACACGACCCAUUGCCACCCUUACACCAUGACACAUAGCGAAAAAAGGCCCAAGUAGUUUAUUAAUUCUAUUGUUUACUUAAUUCAAUUCAUCCAUUACUUGCAAAUUAAAGACAUAUAAUUUUAUCUUUGGAAUAAUUUCGUAAACCUCUACGGAGGUUUCUAAUAGAAUCACUUGGCAGCAAUUUUUAAAUAUCUCACUUGUCUCUCUUAAUUUAAGUUUUUUGUAGCAUUUGAAAUCUAUUUCAAAAUAUAAUUUUAAAGAACUCAUUUUGGGAGAGAGAAUAUAAUUUUAUUCUGAAUUUACCCUUUUGUUAUCUUACUUUUUAGUAAAACUUUUUUAAACCAAGGACUGUAGGGGAAUAGACCAAAGUUUUCAGUACAUGGGGAUUAAAAAAAAGCCAAAUAAAAAAGGAGUGCUACUCCUUAACAUAUAUAAUAAUUUAAGAAACUUGAGUAUAUUAAUGAUAAUUUAAAAACAAAAUCCAAAAGCAUGAAAUUUUAAUUCUAACAGGAUAAAAUAUAGUGCGCUUUUAAAACACAAAAUAUUUCAAAGUGUAUUUGAAGACUUUCCAAGUUACAAAAGUAUUAUUUUCUUUACUGUAAAGUGUAUUGAGUUAAUUUAAAGAGUUUUAUAAAUACUUCAUAUUUUCUAAGUUUUCUAAUUUUUUUAAUCCAAGUCAAUAGCUUGCAAACUAGAAUAAUAAAAAAAUGCUAAAAAUUAUAUAUAAACUUGUUUGUGAUGUUUCCAAAAAAGAUUAUUUUCAUUACUAUAAAAUUUUCAAGUUAUUUUUACAAGUAUUGUAAAUUAUCUAUAAUUUUAAAUAUCUUAAUAUUUAUUGUUCGAACUCGUGACAUAAAACAAUAUUAAGAGUCUUUCGAACCCAUUACCGACUUUUUAAUUUCAAUUAAAGAAUCAUAUUGACCAAGUUGAUAAAAAUUGAGAAAUAAAAUUAAUGUGAUAUGACAAUUAAGAUUCCACAAGAAAAGGGUAAUUAUAGAAUGAGAUUAUAUUAUCUAUUCUAAAAUGAGUUUUCUAAUUAUUAUAUUUUGAUGUGGGUUGCACAAGUUAGAAAAAAAAUUCCAAAAUAAGGGAGGCGAGUGACAUUUUUCAAAGUUUAAAGGUACCAAGUGAUAUGUUAGAAGCCUCAGGGGAGGUUUCUGCAAUUAUCCCCUUAUGUCACCGUGCUUGACUUUGACCUAUACCGUAGGCGUAGCCGUCUUCUCCCUCGAGUCAGCCUUUCAUUCUUCUUUCCUCCUUCUCCUUUCCAAAUUUCACCACCGCCCGCCGCCUUGCGUAUGAUAUGAGAGCCUCCUUGUCUUCUUCGCCCUUUUAUUUUUGUUCCUCCUUCUCUUGAACCUCUGCCACCCAUCUACUGUUUGGUGAAGAGUCUGCAAAGAGAGCAUUUUGGGUUGAAGAUUGAUUUGCUAUUUCUGUCUUUCUGUGCAAUUUCUCACAAAUUGGACACGGGUAAUUUUUUUUCUUUGAAAAUCAUGGUGAAAGCCUCCGUUACUCGGUAGACUUGGCCGCUCUUUUGAGUUCCGGAGUCGACUCAGUCCGAAUAAAAUGCGUCCACCAAAUAACGGAGCAAUACUUUUUCUCUGAUUUUUUUCCCCUUUCAUUGCAGAGUCUUAUUCCUUUGGUGAAUGUAUUUCAGAUAUGGUUUCUGGGCUUAGGUGAUUUUGGUGCGCAUAUGGGGACUCGAAAUUUUUUAUGGAACUCGGCUAAGAAGUUUUUCACCAUUGGCCUCAUAGGCCUUACGGUAUCUGACCGGUAUUUUAGCAUUGUUCCUGUUCGAGGUUAUUCAAUGUCUCCUACUUUUAAUCCCCAAAUCAGCAGUUAUACAGGAUCCUUGACUGGUAACUUUCUUAUCUUCUUUGUUGUCUUCUGAACAAGUAUGCUAAUGCACCAAGUUUUGCACUUAUAUGCUUAACUUUUAAUGUUAAUGAUAAGUCUAUUGUAGAUGACCGUGUCCUUGUGGAGAAAUUUUGCCUCGAAAAGUACAAGUUCUCAUGUGGUGAUGUGGUGGUCUUCUGGUAGGUUCCUUUUUGCUACUUCUGGAUGAGAGAAUUUCUCCCUCUUAUUUCCUGCUGGUGUAAAUAUGUGCUUGAGCCACAUGAUUUUUGAGCUAUGCUUAAGCUGAUACAUAAACUUAGAAAAGCAGUUUUACGUUGUGAAUAUGCACAAACUUGUUGAGUGACUUAUAAUGGUAAUUGGUUAAAAGAAUAUUACUUUGAGGCUUAGUGGAUAAACAAAACUAUAGAUGGAAUGGAGAACAUUGCAUGGAUACAAAGCAUAAUUUAUUAUAGAUGAUCUGUAGACCAAAAAUUUCUUGGGACUCAAUUUGCAGUUGAAAAUCAUGAUUUGAUGCCAAGCUUAGACUUGAUAAAUGAGUUGGCGGCCUAAUUUUAGAUGUUAUGGUGCAUUCUGUGUUUGCCUUUAAAAAUUUAGCUUAGUGGAGUUAAUCUCAUGGAAUGUUGUUGAUAGUGAUUUUUUUUAAAUCAUGGCUUUGUGCAGCUCUCCUAGUAAUCAUAGGGAAAUGCAUAUAAAGAGAAUAACUGCCCUACCUGGUGACUGGAUCAGUACUCCUCACUCUUACGAUGCUAUUGUGGUCCCGAAAGGGCAUUGCUGGGUUGAGGGAGACAAUUCAGUGUUUAGUUUGGACUCAAGAUCCUUUGGACCGGUAUAGACAUUCUUCACCGUACUUUUGAAUUCAGUUUAAGGAGUAUGUAGAGUACUAACAAGAAAAGAAAAAAAGAUGCCCUCUUUGUGUUUAUUCACCUAUAUUUAUGUGUAUUUCCACGGGAUUUGCGUCUGUGUUUGUUAAAUUGUUGAUGGUUUGUUCGUAGCAUUUAAUUAUCAAUAAUCAUGCUCUUUUACAAUUCAAAGUGCCUGCUUAGAUUAUGUCAUGUCUGGAAAUGCUGUUGUACUGGAUGUUUUAGAUCAUUGAACGGACAAAAGUUAAAUGCAUGUAGUUACCCAAAAAAAGAUGUUGAAUGCAUAUGAUAAUACAUGUUUGCUGACCACAGUAGGGCAACAAGUUGUGAAAACAUUUUUAGUCCAAAAUAAAUGUUUGAGAUUCCUGCUUUUGACAUAAAUGGUUAUUGCUGGAUUAAGUCUCUGUAUGUCUGCAUUUGUAGAAAAAGGCUUUGUUAGCUAAUGAAUUUCUUGAUGGUUUACUUCCAGAUUCCUUUGGGUUUGGUUCAUGGAAGGGUCACACAUAUUGUCUGGCCUCCCCAAAGAGUUGGUAAAGUUGACAAAAGAAUCCCUCAGGAGCAUUUGCCUUUCUAAUUUUUUUUUUGAGUUUGUCUUCUGUACGUUCUACCAAUUUUUGCCUAUGCUAAAUUGAUGAAGAUAUAUUCUUCAGAAGUUAAGAGUUUAAGGUGGAGCAAUAUUAUCUUAAACUCUUCAGGCCACAAAUUAUUGUUGGGUGGAGAUUCUGCAAUUUUGGCUCCUUUUUCUUAAUGACAUUUGUUGUUUCUUGUAUAAGGCAAUUUUCAACCAUCCUGUUUGAGUUUUUUGUUUAAGGGUCAAUAUUUCUAUUUAUUUGGAUUUGUUGGUGCAAAAGCAGUGUUUUUAGUCUAUUUUCCAGCCAUUUAAGUACAGUAUUGACUAUUUAUAUUCGUCAUAAAUAGAUGAUUAGAGUAAAUUAAGGAAGGAAAAAAAGAAUUAUGCAUGGUAAAGGGUAUGGAGUGCAAAGAUGGAGAGGUGUAAACAUUUUGCAAUUAUGAUUAUUACGGCAGUGUGAAUAGGUGCAGUUGUAGACAUGGAUAAGUGGAUGUUUAGUCCAAUUCUAAGAUAACCAUAUUAAUUAUGACGGCGGGAAUUUUUAUUUUUAUUUUUCUUUAUAUAAAGUUGACCAGUUUUACCAUUUCUGAUUAGGUAAUCUAUAUAAAGAAUAGGAUGGCACCAGUAAAACUAGUCUUGUAUUUGGUUCACUUAGACCGUUUAAACACAUAAGCUGGAACUGUGAAAGCUAUCGAGCAUGAAUAGAGCUUUUAGGCCACAACUGCAGGGUGGACUACAAUAGAGGUCCAAUCUGAUUGCAAAUUUGUGGUGAGCCUAAUCAACUCAAGCAAUGUGCAAGAUUGUAAGGUACAAACGAUCCUGGAAGACAUUGAAGACUUGAAGAAGAACUUUGAAAGCUGUUUGUUUUUGUUCGUUCCCAGAACUGCUAAUAGUUGUAGCCAUGCUAUGGCUCAAUUUGCAGUUAAGUCAGUUAGGAUGAUUGAAUGGGAGGGAGCAUUCCCAUUUUGGUUAUCAGAACUAGCUAGAAAGGAUAUGGGGGUAGUUACCCCUUUUUGUAAUUAACUCUUGUAAUAUCAAGUAUUAAUAUUUAUAAAAUUGGUAUCGUUUGGUUUUAGGCAAGUAAGCAUGAUCAGACUAAAACGAGAUUUUGUGUUUUGAGAUGAUGUGACCAGUUCUCUAUUGCUUUUGAAUUUUGUAAAGUUGCCUUUGUAAAAGAUCCAAAUUAAAAUCCAAAAAGCAGGUUUAUGCUAUCUUCUAAUUGAGUUAAGAGUUUGAUUUAUGUCAAAUGACUCCAUAUUAGAACACUUGAUUUUUACAAAAUAGUAGUACUAAAUGCUAAUGCCAAGGAAUUGUGAGCCGUUGGUGUGGAGGUUUGAAGGAUGAAACUGGAGAGCCGUCACUGCUGUGGAAGGACUCCCCUCUCCAUCCAUCCUGAACCUGAGCAGCAAAUUGCAAAUUCCAGAGGAUAUCCUCAACUGAAGGUCUAUCUGCAGGAUUCUGGAGCAAACAUUUGCAGCAAAUCUCGAUCAUAGUUUUCAGUGAUUGGUCCGAACAUGCAUCACUAACAGCCGGAUCGACCACUCUCUUUCUGGAUGCAUCAUCUGCUGUAAUGACUGCUUGUAGCUGCAUGACAGGAAAAAACAAAUUCUUUUCAUUCAUGGGCGUUGAGAACAACUUUGGUAGAACACUCAGUUCUGUACACCUACAACUGAUGGAAGUCAAUAAUUAUCAGUCAGGCUCACAGAUUCUGCUUUUCUAUAAAUGCCAACUUGUGGAUUCAAAAUAAAGAAAAUCUCCCCAAGAUAUCGAGAAACCUAUUAGGAUGAUGCAUCUCUCUCUCUCUCUCUCUCUCUCUCUCUCUCAUGCGGCCGCACACGCACAAUAAGUGGAACAAAAAUGCUUAAAUUUGAUUAGGUGAAGGUCUCAUGUUUGUUUAUCAGAUUACAGAUAUUAGAGAUUACAUGGCAUGUCCUGGCCUAGGCACUCCUAUUAAGGUCCUUUUGAGAUGCCAUAUAUUGCUAAAUGCAAAUAUGAUUACCCUAAUUGAAGGUCUUACAACUUGCAGGGACUUCAUGACUAUAUUGUCUUCACUGUCAUUACAAAAUUGCAGUUUUGUUUUGUUCUUUUUUCCCUUAAGUGUGACAGGGAGGGGGGGAAAAUGCAACUGUUCCGGAAAGAUUUUGUUCAUUUCAACAAAAUAUAAGUUGAUUUUUUCAGAAUGCAAAUGACUUUGAAUAGAAGGUAAUUUUGGAUUAAUUUUUAUGGACCAGACGUAUGGUGUUAAAAAGGAUGGACACCACAUGAUCUUAAUCUUGCAUUUUUUUUCUUCUGGGCCAAUCAUUGUCAACCUUCAACAAAGGUUGCACUAGCCAACUAUUCCUGCCUAAUUGGUGUAUCAUAGGAAUUAUUGUCAAAAAAGGGAAAGCAAUGUAUUUGUACCUGUCUAUAGCUUCUAUUUCAAAGCAAAAUAGCAGCUUUGUAUUAUUCUCUUUUUCCUAUGUAUGGUAUGAUUAUAUGAGUUAAUGUCUCAAGGGCAAAGCAAUAUACUUAAAGCCAGCAGCACCGGACAAGAGUGAGAGCACAAGUCUCAUUAACCUCAGGACCUGUGGAGCAUUUUUUUUACCUGUCUACAGCUUCUAAAUUUCCUUUAAAUUUAGCAUUUCGCUAUUAGAUUUCAGCAGAAUUGGAUUCUGUAUCAUAUAACUCCUAAAAAAAUUCAAAAGAAAAGAAAAGAAGAAGAACGUUCUGCAAAGUGGAGUUUGCUAAUUGAGAACAAACAAAACAUGGAAUCCAACACUAUGCAAAUUGAGAAUAAAGAAAAGAAAAUUUCGCAAUAUUGAUGCUGAGUAGUAUCUGUAACUAGUCCAAACCUGAGCUUUGGCUCCCAAGACAAGUUAGAUCUGAUAAAGUUACAUUUAUAUACCUGAUCUUUGAGAACCACCACUUCUCUCUCGGAAAUUAUUAGCCUUCCGGAGAUGAUCUCCAGCAAUAUUAUCCCAAAGUCAUAGAUAUCAAACUUUUCUUGAUGCAUUACCCUGUGAACCAAGAGUGUAGUUUAAGCAUUUCUUAUCGAAAUUUUAAGAAGUGCACCACAUAUUUGGUAUCAGUUAUGUCAUUGAUGGUACAAGUCCAAGCACUUGUGACUUUAUACAAAAGGUAGAGGACUUGUAACAACUGAUAGUUUGCAGAUUUUUCUCAAGUAUUUGACUUCCAAAAAUUAAAAAAAAAUGAAUAUUGAGUAAAUGCCAAUGAAAAUAUAUGUGGAAGACAAUAUAAAAGAUGAAUGGUUAGUCAAAAACAGUAGAUGCAGCAGAAAAAGUUGCUGAGAAAGUUAAAUUCCCAGAUCAAUAGUUGUGCCCCUUGAGCACAAGGUUUUCAAGUAAAGGCUUACAGUAAAGGUAUGAAUUUGGCUAUUGAUGAAUAGCAGUAACCAGAAAUCUUGCAAGUAAAGGAAGUCCUGUGUUGUUAACUAUUCGUCUCGUUAAGCAGAGACCAGAAUGCAGAAAGUUGGACAAGAACAAACCUUAGGUUCUUCAACUGUGUAGAUGUAUUCGAACUAUGAACAUCAUCCUGUAAAAUUAAGUAGCUUUCAACACCUAUCUUGUGCAAGAAAACAUCUUACAAUACUAGAAUUUAAAAUUCUUCAUUCAAGUUUCAUACCUUUCCCAUAUGCUCUGCUAGCAAAGGCAGGUUAUAGCUACUAACUUUUGCAACAAGGUUCUGAUCCAAUAGAACAUCUGUUAUUUUCAAAUAAUUUGGAAAGAUACCAGGCACUAUUCCUGUAUGCAGGAAUUGUAUACCCUUUGCUACCCCAAUUGCAGCUGCAAUACGUUGUGUCCAAUUAAGUUUCGAUCUGGCACGUCUAUCUGUCAUAUAACAAUGAGAUCCACUUAAAAUUGUAAAAGAACAGAAAAUCAAAACAGUUUGCAAGUUGAAUAGCAUAGAUAAUCAACUAAUUCCUAAUUUGAUUAGACAGCGUGCUUUUCUUAAAAGAGUUUAAAAAGUUAGCUGAUGGUGAAUCCGCUAGGUGGAUGACUCACUGAAAUCAGAAAAUUAUACAUGCUACUAAUGCAAGUGGUAUUCUUUUAAAGAGAUGUCGGCUUAUAAGAUGUUAUCUACUGCAUCCAGCCAAAUCUUUUUUCAUGAAAGAACAUGAUUUGAAUAUGCAUACUGAUAUCAUAAAACAUUUGGAAUACCUGAUAUCCAGCUCCUCAAUGUCCCAUUUGGAACAUAUUCAAAGACAAGGAAUAUUCUGCUCACACUUGAAUCAUCCAAGUAACACUCGAAGCAGUGGCCAAGAGCACUGACCAGAUGCUGAUGUCUUAGUUUCGAUAUUAAUUCAAUGUGAUGCAAGAAAUCUUGAGUGCUGUGCCUUCUUUUCAUUUUCAGGCAUCUAAUAGCAACGUAGGUACCAUCCUUCAUCUGGCCUCUGUACAUCUGAGUCAAUGGCAAAGAAAAUUUCAGCUAUAGUCAUUUAAGUAGUCUAUGGCUUCAUAUUUUGGGAAGAACUAUCCCAAAAACACAAAUUGGCGGCAUGUGUCACAGCAAACAGUUUCUGUAAUUUUGAAUUAGUCUAUAUGACUCAUUUCCACAUGUGAAGAACAGGUUACAGCCAUACUGCAUAGUCAUUUAAGUAGUCUAUGGCUUCAUAUUUUGGGAAGAACUUCCCAAAAACACAAUAGGCGGCAGGUGUCACAGCAAACAGUUUCUGUAAUUUUGAAUUAGUCUAUAUGACUAAUUUCCACAUGUGAAGAACAGGUUACAGCCAUACUGCAUAGUCAUUUAAGUAGUCUAUGGCUUCAUAUUUUGGGAAGAACUAUCCCAAAAACACAAUAGGCAGCAGGUGUCACAGCAAACAGUUUCUGUAAUUUUGAAUUAGUCUAUAUGACUAAUUUCCACAUGUGAAGAACAGGUGACGGCCAUACUGCAUAGUCAAUUUAUGCCAGAAGUAAAGUUGGUGUAUGCAUAUAACUUUCAGAUUCAGGUUUCAUUAACCACGCAUUAAUAUAUAUACCAAUUGUACCUUUUAUUUUUACCAGUUCUUAGAAUAUAAAACAUGAAGAUUAAAUAUCUAAUUCUUUACGAUUAUAUCCAAAAAACCAUUCUCUCCAACUUCACAACCUGCAGAAAGUUGAUUACCGAUUAGAUAAAAUAUCUGUUACAAAUUAACCUGAAAUGAUUGGUGAGAUGUGGGUCUUUUUACUGAGCUAUGUUCUGGAAGAAAUCAGUGUGAGAUCAGAAUGUAGCUCAGAGGAUAGAACUUGUGGUUACAGAUGACAAUGGCAAGGAUUCGCCCCUAACUCGCAUAGAAGGGAAGUAGAUUUUGCUUCAGGAGAAGAGUUGUCUAUACAGCAGACACAAAGCAAUGGAACGAAGAGUAUUGAUCAAAGCAUUUUUGGCAGAAUCAUUUUUGGCAGAUAGGGUUUAUACAAGUGAACUUAAACUUUUCUACACAAUUGGUUUCAUCAUCACAUAGUAUGGAGGGUAAGAUAAAAAUGGCGACUGUAAAGACAAACAAUGAGUUGAAUACUAGUAAGAAAUAUCAAUUGGAGGGAAUUACUCCAACGUCUCAUACUCAAAUAAUUUCAGUUUCAUAUUUUCUUCAACUGUCUUCUCAUAAACGGUUCGGGAGAACCCUAAGAUGAAGUGAAGACACUGAAAGCCAACUUAUUGAUGCUAGUACAACAAUUCAAUUUGCAUUGGGAAAUUGUUAUGAAUAACACAUUUACCUGACCACAAGAGCCUUCCCCUAUGAAGGAUGAUGUGUCAAAGUUGUUUGUUGCCUCCUCAAGCUCUUCCAGUGAAAAGGUCCUGUAGGCUGGAAGACCUAUUGCUCCAAGCUUCAUUGCUUGUGUAAUAUAUCCUGGAGAACUUGCUGAUUAGUUGUUAAGACUCUCAUUAAUGCUUCAUAGCUGCUUUAGGAUCAAAGAUAUCCAGAUGACUAGAUAUAUUUCUAUUCUAGACUGAAUAUUCAUGGAUCCAAGAAAUAUUGUUAAAACAAGAGAACUGCAAUCAAUUAGUACGAUUGUUACAUUCUCCUUCUUCAGUUGAAUCACUCCAUCUCUUUCUGAGACCAGAUGGUUAUUCAGUUUAAUCAACCUGUAAGGUGGGUGCAGACUAUCGGAUGAGGGAGAGAGAGGCAAAUUUAAAGCCAAAUUUGUGACGUUGUCGUUGUGCUUUCACCUUUUUGGGCUUUAGGGUCAAAGAUAAAGAAUUUUGUUUCCUUAAACUCAGCUCUUGCCACUGCAGAAGCUUAAAAUUGAGUGUGCUGUUACAACAGUUUCAAUGUACAAUGAAGAAUUUACAAAAACUUGUGCUUUUCUAUGCAAGAUUGAUCACACAUUACAUAACCAGUAAACCAGUCCUGGAUUUGGUCCAUUGAGAUAACCUGUCAGGUAUGGUGAAUGCCAAUGAAAGGAAAAUUCAAGAAUGUGCAAAACUUGUACUUUGUAAGCACAGUCCAUUGAGCACAAUAUUUUGUGAAUUUAAAAAGAGCAAAUUCCAUUAUUAUAAGUAAAAAUCACAUUUCACACCAGCAAAUAAACUUCCCAUUAGCAGAUGAAAAGAUUGACGACUUACUUGCAUCUGAAAGUAUUUUUGAGGUGUACCCUGUUGAGGCAUUUUCUUCAAUUAUUCUAACAGGAAGCUUUUGUGCUUCAUUCUUUGCAAGAAAUUUUCUUACAAGAACAAAAGCUAGAGCGAGUAGUAGAACUGCACCUAUAGUACUUCCAGAUAUGCUCAAGGCCAGGAUUAUUUUUGAAGCUUCCUUUUGCCUUCUAUGAUGAGGCAGGAUUCCCACAGCCAAAGCUUGAUUCUGACAAUAUGAGUUCGGUUGUUGAGUUACAUCCUUCGUUGCCAAACAAUUUGCAGCAUAUUGAAAAAUCCUGUUUCUUGAAUUGGACAGUAGACAGCUAGGCACCAUCCCAGUCAACAGAUUAGCAGACAAAUUCACAAACUUAAGUUCAGUAUUGCAAGACACAUCUUCGAAAAGCAUUCCAGUAAAUCUAUUAGCUGAAAUAUCCAGGUAUGUAAUUGAUGGCAUGGACAGAAGAUAUGAUGGAAAUGGCCCCACAAAUUUGUUGGAUGACACAUCUAGGUGAUCAAGCUGAUAGAAGGAUUUCACUUCAUCUGGAAUGCCAUAGGUAAAUUUAUUUUUCCUCAGUACAAGGCUUACAAUUUUUUUAUUAACUGGAGGAAAUUGAGGUCCAAGAGAAUUGUUUUCCAAGUCUAGAACCUGAAGGUUUUCCAAGUUUCUAAGAUCAGGCACUUCUCCAGAGAAAUUGUUAUUGGAUAAGGCAAGGAUUCUUAGAUUUUCCAAACUUCCUAGGGAAUCGGGCAGAGAUCCACUACAAGAAUUAUUUCGCAUACUCAAAACUGUCAAAACUGAUAGUGAUCCCAGCUCAUCAGGAAAUCUACCAUUAAACAUAUUGCCAUCAAAUAUGAGAGCUUGGAGACCUGUUAAUGACAAUAUUCCUCGAGGUAUGGUACCGUAAAAGAAAUUCGAACUUAUGUCCAAUAUUUCCAGAGAUGACAAGCGGGAAAGUUUAUCUGGUAAUGCCCCCCAUAAACCCAAAGAAACCAACCUGAGGACCUUCAAAUUGGGAAGUUUAACCAGUGUAGUAACAAAUGAAUCAAUAGAGAAGUUCUUAGAAAGCUUAUUAGUCUCUUUCUCCCCAAUUAUAUGCAGCUGAGUUAUACUUUCCUCAUAGCAGACUACUGUAAGAGUGGACCUUGGUUCUGGAUUGCAGAAAUCUGUAUCAUUCUUCCAGCCACUCAAAGACUCAGGAAAAUUCAAAAACUGUUGAAUCCUUAAAAGAGUUUGUGCCUGGGAUGACUGCAAUUUUUCUGAAUGGCCAACUAAGACUGACAAUGCAAAAAACAGAACCAGCGCUGCAUGGCCUACCUCUUUUCCCAUCCUGCAGAACAACAGAACAAGAGAUCCCACAAACAGAGCUGACUAAUUCAAAGCUUAAGUAUUCACUUGUUUCGACACAUGAAUCACUAACAUCUUCAAAACUCAACUUUUGCAACAGCGGAACAGUUGAAAGCACAAAAGGGACAAUAGGAAAAGGAGCAAGUUAUUGUUUCAUCAUGGAUACCUGAAGGUAGAAAAAAUUAUUCACCUUCACUUGCUACUCUUUGGUUCUCAAAUGAUUUUCUUGAUAUCUACUUAACUACAACAAUUACAUAUGCUGAACGGGACUAAUCUAUCUUGUCUGCAUUAUUAACAAAAGAAACAACUGAAAUGAAAAUUUGAAGCUGAUAGAAGGCUAACCUCUAUACUGAGAAACAGAAGCCAAAUGUUAAUCUCCAAUUUUCCUUGGUGAAGUAAGUUUAACCUUCAUUUCCUUCAAAUGAAGAAAUAAACUACAGUUCCAACAUCCCAACUUCCUAAGUAGCUUAGAAACAAAGGCUGACCAUAAUCAUAUCAACCUACCACAUCUUCCACACAAUAGUC